CUACCAAAAAAGGUAGACCCGUGAGCUCCAUUCCUAAACAGAGUUCUUGAAAUUGAUCUAUCUCGAAAAAGAAAUGGGUGCCAAACGCACAGUACACUACCGAGCUUGGUUCAAAUCCGUUUAACCAAUUAUUCCAUCGAUCUUCUAGCGGCUUACCACUCUUCCCUUGUGGAUCAAGGAACAUUGGACCGGUUAAGAGAACUUUUCUCUGACAUUGUCUUUCGAUGAAAUCACAUAAGUUACCUUCGAUUUCUGCACAUGUCCUUAUGGCAAUGACGUCGCAGUUCUUAAGGCCUGUGGUGACUCGAUCAAAGAGAAAUUUGCGGGUGUUUGCGAAGAGUGAAUAGAUGUUAGCGUCAUGUCCACGUAAUGCUACUUUUGAUGAAGGAAACCCAGGUGGAGGAGAACCUAAUUCAGCACGAGGAGCGAAAAACAUAGCUAUAAAAGCUGCCGAUAUGAUCUGGUAACUUACACUUUUGAUUCCUAAUUCUUUUGCCAUUUGUGGAAUCCAAUCAACAAAAUCGAAGAAAAUUAGGUCAGGUUUCAAAGAACGAAUCUUAACUUCAAUCUGUUCGCGUAGAAGAUCCAUGGCAUCAGCGAGGACUCUCUUAGAUGAGUUCGGGAGAUCCGCGGUUGUCUCUGCGCCAACAGGGAGACCAUCAACAUGAGGAAGAGUAACAUUCUCGAAGUGAAUGCUGUUUGGGAACAAGUUGAGAGGUUCGAGUUGUUUCUGAGCUUUCUUGGGAGCCAAGAAAGUAACCCUAUGACCUUUUUCAGCUAAUUUGUUAGCUAGAUGAAGAUACGGAAUCAUAUGACCAAAACCAAACCAUGGAUAAAGAAAAGCAUGAAACUUUGACCCCAUUUUCCUUUCCCCUAAAUUGUCAAAACCUAAAACAAGAAACUCAAACGAAAUAAAAACUUUGUAUUUUCUUUCUAAGAGAAAAAACUGUUAUGUGAUUGAUGCUUCUCGUCUAUUCAGGAUACCACUACAUGAAGCAAUGAACGACUAAUUUAAUGGUAUUUUAGGUUAAGUGUGAUUAUCAGUGAAUGGUUAGUUGAAUUAGGUGGGAAUUAUUAGUUUACUUUAAUAUAUAAAACCAAAUUAUUGGUUUACUACUUUACUUGUUUCAUGUGUUAGUGUGGUUGUCAAGAAUGGUUGUGGUUGCCUUUUCAUUUUUGUCCUUAUAGAAAAAUUGUUUGAGUAAAUUUCAUUAAUGUAUUACGUCAAAUAGUUGCAUAUUUUAAAGAAGGCAUACGUUUUAUCACAUAAUAAGAUAAUUGGCCGACAAAAAAAAAACAAGGCAUAGAGACACGUAUAAGAUUUUUAAUCAUAAAAUAUAAUGUAUUUAAAUAUUUAAAUGUUAUGUAUAUUUAACUUUUUCUCGCAAUUUUGUUUUUGAUAUUCGAAUGAGGUUUUCUUUAUUACUAUCGACGGAUACAUUGGGAUUUUGGAAAGAAAUUAUUCAUUGAAGAGUAAAUAAUUUUGUACACGCUCAAACUUUUUAAUGACAAUGUAUUUUCUCCUACGUGAUCGAGGUUAUCUGAUGAUCUCUUCUAUUAUAAUAUAUUAUUUGGUUUACAUUUUGUGAUUGAAAGUUUUAACUUAACAGCUUUAACAAAUAAAAAAUGUUUAAGACCACGAUAAGGGUUUACUAUGUUGGAAUUAUGGUUUAGAUAUGAGAAAAUAAUAUUGCAAAUGAAGAAAAACAACAUUGUUGUAGAGUAAACACAAUAUGUUUUUCUAGAAACGUUAGAAAAGAUUUCUAAAAGCUUUUGAAAGUUUCCAAAUUUUUUAUCUUUCAAGUGAAGAAGAUGGACAUUAUUUAUACAGUGUAAACACGUAAUUUUAUAAAAUUAUGUUUUUGUUAUCCACAAGCAAUGUGCUUUCUUCAAUUCAAAGGUAUUUUCGUAAAUAAAAUGUAUUAUAUGCUGAAGUUGAACAGUAACAUUCCGAAAAUUCAAAAGAAUCUUUGAAGCAUUACUAUAAUAAAAAUACUAAAAUUUGCAAAAUAUACAAAGUUGAAAUCUUGUGUAAACUCCAAAUCUUAAAAACAAAAUAAAUUAAACUUUAGAAAGUCUACCAAGUCUCGCUCUACGAAUAACAAACUCUAAACCUCAGCUGCAUACCGCUUCUCGUCAAUGCUCUCUGCACGGAAUCAGAACUUAUGUGAGUGAAAAAUCGCUCAGUAAGACUACAAACCCGAAGAACAAGUACCAACACGGUCUGAUCCCGCACAGAAUAAUAUUUACGUGUUGGUACUAACAAACAUAGUUUCAAUUCAAUUAAUUUUAAAUAAAGUAAAGCACGUCAGAACUUAUGCUAGCAAAAUACAUAAUUAAAUCAUAAGAACAUAAUAAUAUCAUCAGACAGAAUAAUAACCUCAGAACAAAACGAGCAUGUAUCCAUCAAUGCACGUCGGAAUGGUACAACUGCAGCAUUAGUCGACCCAAACCAUAUACUGACAGAAUAUUUACAUAAUAUACUCGAUAGAGAUGUUGGCCCCUAACGAGGUGAUAAAGAAGUACGGUCCACGGAAUUAACCGACCUCAAUCCCACUAACAAAAUACAUAAUAAUCUGUUGGCGAUGCCGACUACCACAGAUUGCACAAUAGAGCUGUAACAACCCGUCCCGUGGGACCCGCCCACGUGGACAUACUCCUCCACGUGGCAUCAUGUUGGCUCUGUAUCGCAUCGAUCCUAACCUCUCUCCUUGGGCCACCUAAGCCCACAGGUAGGUUAUUGGUGCGCUUGGCGUUCCACGAACUCAAGACCUCACCCUAUAACAACGUUCCCACAAGACAAGCUGUUACCAAUUGAUCUAAGUCGACUUUUAUAUAACAACCCGUCCCGUGGGAUCCGCCCACGUGGCCAUAGUCUGUCACGUGGCAUCCUGUUGGCUCUGCAGCGCAUCGCCCCAUGCUGAUACUGGUCUUAACAGAAUAACAUAUCUUAUUAUCAUAAUAUCCAAAUUAAUUAUCGAAUCAAACAAAUAAAUUUUCAAAAAUUAACCUUCAAAUAAUUUAAUUGAUUAUUUAAACUCACAUUUAACAUAUUAUACGAAUGUACCAGUCUUAACAGAAUACCAUAUUUUAUUUCUAAAUAGAAUAACAUAUCUUAUUACCAAAAAACAUAUUCAUAUUAGUUUAUCUAGAUAACCAAAUUAAUUUUUACAACUUAUCAUGCAACUAAUUUAAUUAAUUAGUUUUCUCCCUCCUAAAAUAUUAUACAACGGAAUAAUAUCUAAAAGGGAUUUAGAACUCACCUGACAAAGAUAUUCAGAUAUUCAGAUCGAACGAGUGAUCAACCGUAAUUCCGGACACAUUCCAAACCACCAAACAAUUUACCUAAAUUCAACCGUUAAUAAAAAAAAUACCUAAACUACACCAUCGGAAAGAUAAUUUCAAGUGAAAUCUAGAACAGGUAUCUGAUUUGCCAAAACCGGUUUAAAAAGAGCCGAACCGGUCAGAAUUGCUAUGGGUUUAAAAUCAAAACUCAAUCAAUUCCAAAUUAGAUUUCAAAAUAAUAUUCUCCAUAGACAUAAAAUUCCAGAACCGGUUUUAAAACCUUAAGAACCGGCUUAAAUAAAUUGCGAUUUGACUAUGAAUCAACAAAAUUUGAAAUAUUUACCAAUCAGAUUCCGAUCGUUUUCGACUUUCGUUUGGUGAAUUUUCAGCGACGUUGGUUUUUUAUUGAAGAGAGCUUUCUAACAAGGUAUAGAUCAAGUUCUAAUUCUUCCUGAAACGAAAUCCACCAUUAAAGAGCUUGAAGCUCACUUCCAUGGAGAAAAUUUGAAUAAGGAAGAAGAUGAGGCUUACCAAACUCUUGUACCAAAGCUGAAUACAACCCAGAACUAAAGCUCUAAUAUGAAGAAGCACGAUCAACCUAACUCACAACAAAAUCCGAUCACAAGUUGCCCUAAAAUAAUCAAAUCGAAGUUGAUGAAGAAAGGUCUUGAAAUCUCAUCAAAACUUCCAAUUCAUUGUAAUCGGCUUCUAAAUCGUUGGGGCUUUAAAACGCAUAUAUAUACGAUAUAUUAGGGUUGAGAGAUAGAGAUUUGAGUUGCCAAAAACUAUCCCUCUGAUUUUGGAACGAUGAACUCGAGUUGCCCUCAUUUUUUUUCGUUUUUGCAGUUUAGUCUCUGAACCUUUCUUUAUUUAGAGAUUUUGUCUUGGACUUUUGAAUCAAUCAGAAAUCUCCCUGAAGUUAUACAGUUUUUAAAUUAUCAAAUUAACUUUUCCCCUCUUUCAAAUUUGGGGUGUUACAUGAAUUACCCACAGCAAGAAACUGAAAAAAGUUGAAAGUCGCAUGUUUGAUGAGGGCCGGCCCAGACCUAAAACGUAACAAACAUGUGCUUUAAACAUUAAAAUAUAUUUAAUUUUUAAGAGGCAUCAUAAUUACAAAAUCGUCUAUUGUGCAGUGGUAUUUGUCAAUUCAAAAAUUUGAAUGUGGCGGGUUCAGAAUCUGAACUACGCAAAUUUUAGAAAUUGUUUAGGGAAAUUUGUAAGUACAACCAACAAAAAUUUAAUAAUUAAGUAACUAACCUAAUAAAAAAAUCUCAUAUGAUAUUCUCCAUAUUUUUCAUAUUAAGACUAUUUUACCCUUAUAUUCAUUAUAGUCUUUCAUCUCUUAUCUCUCAAUUUUUUGUUUAUACCAACUUAACAAAUAUUUUUCUAGAAUGUUACUAUUAUUAAUAAUUUUGUUAAUUUCACAAAUCAAAACCUAAAUUUCAUUACAAAAUUUAUAAAAUUUAUUGCUUGGGUUCCUUAUAUACUAUCAUUUCUUAGGGUUUAGUUUUAUCUAUUUAAAAACAAAAAUCUUGUAGAUAUAAAUACAAAUAGGAAACCCACUACAAAAAACAAGGGAUCUAAAGUCACUUUUUAAAUGAGUAUUAUUAUCAAAAGGCCCAUUAUCUCUCUAGACCUAAAAAUCCUCUCCCUUCUCUCUAAAAACAAAAGGAGCUGCCGCCUAGGUUUUUCCGGUUUCGGUGGCUUCCACAGCACCGGAGCCGGUGAAACUCUUUCUCUUUCUUUGUUUUAUCUCUUUCCUUUGGCACAUCUAUGAUUUUUCUUCCAACGGAAUCAAUUCUAGUUUUCUAGAUCUAGAUUUUUAAAGCUUAAUCUCCUCAUCCUUGGGUUCUUGAUGUUUGGAUCUUUUGUCUCCGCCAUUCUUAGCACCAGUUCUGGUCGUAUCCUUCUUGGCAGAGGCAGUCUUCAACCGGUUCUUCACUGCCUCAGAUGAAGAUUUUUCACCAUCGUAGAUCUAGAUCUUCUUCCUUUCUUCAAGAGACAUUCUUUGUGUCUCUAGGCUUUGGAUGUGUCUCACUGCCUCCGUGGCUCCUUGGAGCAGUAUAAAGUGGAUCGCACGGCACUUUCAUUCGGUUUUAUCUUGUGGUAAAGGAGAUUCUUGUAUUAUAAUCCGUUUGUGUGUUUUUGUAAGUCUCAAAUUUGUUUUAAUUUGCUAGGUUUAAGUUUUGUUAAAUCUUUUUUUGGAUAUCUAGAUGCUGAUCCGGGAAGUAUUAAUGGAUGUUGUUAGUUUAUUUGUUUGGGUUUUCCCCUUUGUUUACCUUGUUUAGUCUUUGUCUCCGGGAGUUUUCUGUUACUCGCCGGCUAAUGUCUCCGGGAGGUUUUUGUUACUCGCCGGCUAAUGUCUCCGGAAAUGUUCAUGUUCUUGCCGGCUUUAUUGUCACAGUGGAGGAAUCGAUCACAAUCUUUUGUAGCCUGCCUAGGGCUACUCUUUUUAGCUAUAGAAUCUCUUUGAAGUUCAUAAAUGCAUUACUUAGGUGUAGUGAUUUUUCUGUAGUUGAUUGUCCUCAUUCCUUUUGUGCUUUUGUAAACAACUUGAUGUGUUAUAUCAUAUGAAUCAUUCAGACGAAAAAGUCACUUUUUAAAUACCCUAACGUCAGUUUAAAACUAACUCUAACAAUAUAAAGUCACUUUUCAAAAUGACUUAACAAGUGAUGACGUUAAGUGUUUUAACAUCACUUGAAAAACUAACUUUAAAACUAACGUCAAAAGAUACAAUGGGCUUUAAUUCUUUAAUGGGCUUUAAUUUUUUGUCUGAAUGCAAAACACAUUUGCAUUUACACUUAUGUCUUGUCUGAAUCCAAAUACAUAUUUUCUGAAUUCUUUACAUUUUGUCCGAAUCAAAGCUGUAAAUAAAACAAGGGACAAUAGCCAAAAGAAAUCAAAUAUCUCAAUAGUAAGAACAAUACAUAAUAUAUAGUUUCAUGUUUAGAAAGUCAAAUAGAAAAAUACAAGAAUAUUGUUUGGUAUACAAUUGCCUUGUUCUCUUUCAAUUUCUUUUUCAAUCUGAUAUGCACAUCUUCUUGUACCUCUUCUGAAGCAUAUCUGAAAUGAAACAAAAACAUAUAUGGCAGUCUCAAUUUUUCUCAUUUUUACAACUACAACUUUAGACAAUAAUAACACUACUUGUCCCUUUUGAUUCCUUAACUAUAAUUUAGCCUUAACUACAAACGAGAAUCACUAUAACAACAAGAUCUUUUUAUUCCACAACUACAACUUAGACGAUAAUAACACUACUUAUACCUUUUGAUUCUUUAACUACAACUUAGCCUUAACUACAUACGAGAAUCACUAUAAUAACAAAACCAUCCAAGAGAGAAGAGAGAAGAGAGACAUACAAGUUUCCAUCCAAAUCACAUUAAUCUAUGUUGUAGUUCAAAUUCCAGUUCUUAAAAUGCCAUUUUCCUGAAAUUCCAGUUCAAAUUCAAUUUUUAGCUAAACAAAAGAACCAUGAAUUCAAUUGCCAUUGCAACAAUUUCAUACGCCAAAACCGUCACAUGUACAUAAACUUUUGUUACCUGGUCACUGUUGAUACUAGAUGAUUGAUGAAGAUCGGUUUUCACUUUUUUAUUUCCAGUUGUUGCACUUGCAGUCACCUAUAAAAAAUAAAGUUUCUAUUAUCUUCAUGAUAUGAUAACAUUUGGAUCAGAAAGAAAUUGUAACUUACUUGGAAUUGGCUUUUUGAUUUAACAAGAACAAGAAGAGCAUCUGUCACAAUGUCUAGCUUCUCUUCAAGUCCCUUCAAACGAGUCUUCAUCUCUAAAAUUUCAGUAUUAGACGUCAUAGAUUCAUGAUUCAAAAGAUACUUGGAUGGUGUUACUCCACGUCCCAUACAUCGAACUCGACCCGAAGGUUCAUAACCAAAUACUUGUUCAAAUGCAUCAUAUGGUCUAGACUCAGUACUCGUCUCGGAUGCUUCAUCUUGAAUAUUCUGAGUCAUUACUUGGGAAAGCUUAUCCUGCAAAACAGACAUGAUUACCAAAGUGAAACACAGAACCUUCAAUCAAAAAGCAAAGAUGACAAGUUUACCAAAGUGAAUCUUGCUUCGUUGCACAAUAAACUUUCAUCUGACUUAGUCCUUGAUACAAUAAAAAGUUCAGCUCGAUUUGGUUCUUUGCUUGUCUCCUCUUCCUAAUAAAUGGAAAAUUACAACAAAUUAAAGAGGAUUAACGGAACCAUAAAUCUGACUAAGGGUUUAAUAAACGUACCAUUUCAUUAGGUUUUCUUGCUAAACUCUUUCUUUCAAGUGUAUGUGGUAUUUUAUGAUUGUUUCGACUAUUAAUAUUACGCUCUCUCACUUUCUUUAUUACAACAAAGCAGUACAUAUUUAUAUGUGAUAUAUACAAACUAUAAAGUAGGGUAAGCAGAUUUUAAUAGGUUUUACCUUAGCCUUAUCAGUGAACUGUAUUUCCACAAAUUCUCUCCAUUGAUCUUCUGGAAUUAGUCCUCGUCUUGCUUCAAAUGCUUUCUCUAUAGUAUUUCUUCUAUACUUCAUCCAAAUAUGUUGCUUUAAGUCUUUACAUCUACCUCCUAAUGCAGAUAAAACAUAUUUCCUCCUCCUCCUUGAUUUUUUUUUUUCUGUUUUUAUUUAAAACUAGAUUUUAAUCCGCGGUACACCGCGGAGACAAUUCAUUUUUUAAAAUUAAUAUAUAUAAAAAUUUGUAAAUUAUUUUAUAGUUUACCAUUGUUACUAAGUAACGUCCUGCCAAACCCGUCCUGCCAAACCUGUCCACAAAAAAAACUAAUUAUUUUAUUAAUAUUGAUCUUAUUUAUAAUAUGUUUAUGAAUCAUUGUCAAAAUCUUUUAGUCGAUGCGGGACGUUGAACCCACACAUUUUCGCCAAUUGGUUAAUAUAUGUUCAUUCUUAAAAUUUCGAAUCACAAAAUAUGACGAAAGUUUUUUUGAGAUUUUUUUAAACUCUAUAUAUUAUAUAAUGAUGUUAAUUAUUUUUGAUAGAUUAAACUUUUUAUAAAUUCAAAUAUUAAUAAUGUUUUAUGAAGUUUAAAUAUACAAAUAAUAAUAUUUAAAAAAUUAAUAUUUUUUGCCUUUUAGGUAAUGAUAUAAUAACUCUAAAAGCAAAAAUUUAGAAGAUUUAAAUCUUUAAAUAAAUAUUUUCAUGUCUAAAUAAUUAAUGUGAAGUUUAUGCUAAUUUUAAGGGAUUGAUGUGAAGUUUGUUUGGAUUAAAUUUGAUUGAUAAUGUGAUUGACAAUUUAAAUUAAAAAUUUAAUGUAAAAUUAAUUAUUUUGGAAAAAAAAUUUAAUGCUAAUAGCAUUGGGUUGUAAAUAAGUCCAACUCUAUGAUUUAUUUGCUAAAAUGGUUGCAAAAAUGUAUAUAUAGAUGGUGAGAACUUAUCCAAAGUAAAGUAUAAGUAACUAUUAUUAAAAACCAGAGAUUAUGUAUAUGAGAAGUAAUGAAAAUACCUGAAUAACUCUCCAAGCCAUUUCUGUUCUUGGGAACUUUCCUCCAAUCUGUAUAGUUAAUAGGUAUUAUAUUAAAAUCAUUACUUAGUGAGCCUAACCACGAACCAAGCAAACCUCCAGAAUCUUUGAUAGGUUGUCCUCUCCUGUUAAAAUCAACCAUAACCCGCCGAUUUAGCAUGCUCCACACUUCUUUUCCUAAAAUCUUUUCCUCUGUAAUGUUUCUAUAACCAUCUAUGACAUGAACUCUCCAUUUUCCACUAGCUUAUUCUGGUCCAAGAGGAGGUGGGGCCAAAGAAUCUGUCUCAUACAUAUUUAAACCUACAAAGAUAGAAACAUAGUUGUUAGAAUAAUAUUGAAGUCAUAAUCACCAAGCAAAAACCAAGCAAAUAUAAUCAACAAAUAUAAUCACCUCCAUGUUAUCAUAUAAAUCACAUGGAAUGUGAGAACUUUCAAGAUCUUCUAUUUGCCUCACUAAUCUAAUAUUGAAAACAUUAUCAGAUAUAAUCAUUGAACUUUGAACAGGAGGAUCUUCAAUGAUGACUUGAGGAGGAAAUUCAUCUGAACUAGUAGGAUCUUCCAUAUUAUACAAGUCUCUUGGUUGGAUAUGUACAACAACACUCCAUUCUUUUUCUUGUGCAUCUUCCACAUAGUACACCAAUCUUUCUUGAGAUGCCAACACAUAAGGCUCAUCUUCCUCACCACUUCCAAUGUGUAUCAAACGAGAGAACUUUACCAAAGUGUGACCAAACUCAUGCUUCUUAAAUCUUUGAGCAUCACGAGUAUCUACCCAUUUACAUUUGAAUAAUACAACUCUAAAUGAAUCAUAGUAGUUCAGUUCCAGAAUUUCUAUUAAUUUUCCAUAAUAAGAAACAUCUCUAGCUAUAGGAUUAUUAUCGCGAGAACUAGCAUAACUAAUGGUUUCAGCUGAGACAAAAACUCCACUAUUCUGAAUUUUCAAAUCUUGGUCCCUUUCUAUAAUCCUAAAAUUGAAGCCAUUCAUAUUAUAUGCGGAGAACUUUAUUACCUUACUAGAUGGACCAGGUGUAAGGCAACGAAUAUCAGCAGAAAUACCAUCGAGACCAUUCUUUUCUACCUUUUGCUUAAGCCAUUAACUCAAAUGGAGAUGCACAUGCCGAUUUAUAUCUAUCACAUUACCUCUUUUUCUACGUCGUAAUUGUGAUCUUUUUAAUUCACUUUUAAAUACCGUAUAAAUUUUCAAAGGAAGGCAAAAUUACUAUGAUAAACGAGCAUAAUCAAUAUAAAAAAUCUUUCAGCGUAAAGUAGAAAACUUACUUGCGAUAGUCAUCUAAUAAUGAACUAUUGACUAGAAUGUAUCAGUGCGUUUGCUGCCUUUCUAUAGGACUAAGUGUAUCCAAUAUGGAAGCACCAACUGGUCUCCUAAGAGAAGGAAAAAUUUGUGGAAUUUGUGAUUCAAGACCUAAGUCAUGCUCCACCGUAGUGUGAUCAUCCACUCUACCAACACGAUUAAAUCUUGUUUCUAUAUCAUCAAGAUACAUAGAGCAAAAUGUAAGACACUCAUCAACAAUAUACUGCUCACAAAUAGACCCUUCAGGUUGUGCUCCAUUUCUAACAUAAGACUUGAAGCGACCAAAGAUCCUUUCAAUUGGAUACGACGUAUAUAUGUUUGAAUAAAACUAUGUUUCGGUGGAAUUGUGAAUGAUUUUAUGUUUUUUUUGCAAAAGUGGCAAUUUAGAAAAAAAGUAAUUAAAUUUUUAACAAACCAAAUAAAAUCAUCAUUAACGAUAAGCUCUUAAUAAAAGUCUCUUGACAACAAAACAAAAAAACUUUUUGUUACACUAUCAUAAUUUAAAAAAAAAAAAACAAAUUAGACUCGUUUUACCGAAUUAAAAAAUGAUGAUAUCAAUACGAGAGUGUGGCAGACGAGAGAUCAUGAAUUUUGAGUUCCAACGUAAAAAUGUCUACAUUAUCAUCAUGAGAUUGUGGCGAGAUCAUGAAUUUUGAGUUCCAAUGUAGAAAUGUCUACUUUAUCAUCAUUUAAGUGACAAACGAGAACAGGGGAUUUGAUGUAAUAUUAUUGGUGCCAAUUUAUUAACAGAGAAAUAAAACAAAAGCAAAAAUAUCAUUAUAGUGUGAAAAUGUGAAAUUGUACUUAUUAUGAUUUGUCAUUAAUGUCAAGUGUCUGAUCUAAACCUAAAUUAUUCUUUCAUUGCAAUUUAAAUAUUGAUUUUUAGUGGCUUUUGUUAUAUGUAAUAUUGGACUCCUUCACGAUAUAUAUAUAUAUAUAUUAAUGAGAAUGUCGAAAAAAUAUAUAUUUUUAGAUCCUCAAUCUGGAAACAUUAGGCAAAUCAAAGAUUUUUAUAUAAAAAGAUCAUGAAACUUAACCAUUAAUAUUCUUUAAGAUUUGGAAUCUUAACUUAAUGACAAUAUUAAUCAUUUAACUCUCAUAGAACAAUGGAAUCAUAAAUGACUAGAUGAGAAUAUUAAUCGCUUAACUAAAUCGUUUAAAUAUUAUCAAAAUUAAUUAGAUGAGAAUAUGAAACGAUUUGAAUAUCAUUAUUAGGGAAUAUUUAGGAAAGCAAAUAUUAUCGCAAUUAAUUAGAUGAGAAAAAAUAUAUAUAUAAAUAUUCUCUUCACUAACCGUCGUCUUCUCACAAACCAUGAAAAGCUUCUCUCUUCUCUUUCGCUCGAAUAUUCCGAUUUUCUCCUUUGACAUUUCCAAUGACGAAGAAACUCGAUCCACUAUUGGCAACUUCAAGCGACGAAGAUGACUUCGAGACUUCCGAAGAUGAUUUCUCUUCAUUUAUUCCAUCUAAAUUGAACUGGACCUCCUAAUUUCACUUCUUCUAUCAGAUGGAUGGUCAAAUGUACCAUUACAGUGAAAAAUGAUGGAGGAAAUAUCAUUUCUAAAUGGCAUAAUGUAAGUGUAAUAUGCUCAUGUAACUUAUCCACAUCUUGAAUAUCCAAUACCUUUGAACUUAUUUUCCCAAAGAAGCGACAUAACUUUGUAAUAACAAACGAGACUGGAAUAUUUAGGAAAACAAAUAUUGUCGCAAUUAAUUAGAUGAGAAAAAAUAUAUAUAUAUAUAUAUUCCCUUCACUAGCCGUCGUCUUCUCACAAACCCUGAAAAGCUUCUCUCUUCUCUUUCGCUCGAAUAUUCCGAUUUUCUCCUUUGACAUUUUCAAUGACGAAGAAACUCGAUCCACCAUUGGCAACUUCAAGCGACGAAGAUGACGUCGAGACUUCCGAAGAUGAUUCCUCUUCAUUUAUUCCAUCUAAAUUGAACUGGACCUUCUAAUUUCACUUCUUCUGUCAGAUGGAUGGUCAAAUGUACCAUUACAGUGAAAAAUGCUGGAGGAAAUAUCAUUUCUAAAUGGCAUAAUGUAAGUGUAAUAUGCUCAUGUAACUUAUCUACAUCUUGAAUAACCAAUACCUUUGAACUUAUUUCCCCAAAGAAGCGACAUAACUUUGUAAUAACAAACGAGACCUCCCGAGGCAAAACAUUACGUAUAGCAAUAGCUAACAACUAACCUAUCAAGAUGUGGCAAUCAUAGCUCUUUAAGCCCACCAUUUUUCGUUGAUUCAGAUCAACACAAGAAGAAAUGUUUGAAGAAUAUCCAUCUGUAAGCUUUACACUCUUCAAGAUAGUAAAAAAUCUAUCUUUCUCUUGUGUACUCAUAGUAAAACAUGCCAAAAGAUAUUUCCCAUUAUCAUUAGAGCACAACUCCUGACGAAUUCCAAGCUCUUGCAAAUCUUUUCUAGCACUAAGAUUGUCUUUUGACUUUCCUUUGUCAUCUAAUAAUGUAAAGAUGAAAUUAUCAAAUACAUUUUUUCCUAUGUUCAUCAAAUCAAGAUUGUGACGUAAAAAAAGAUGUUUCCAGUAAGGCAGUUUAAAGAAUAUACUACACUUCCUCCACUGAUUUUUCUGAGCUUCUAUCAUGCGCCUCUUCUUUCCAAGAGAAUCUACAUUCUUUCCCAAAAUUACAUCAAUAUUGAGAAUAACAGUUCCUGGUGGUGUAAUAGGAGCAGCCCUUGUUUCAAUACAACCAUCAAAAUGCUCCUUAUCUUUCCUGAAAUUAUGAUUAUGAGGAAGAAACCGGCGAUGUCCCAUGUAGCAGUUUUUCUUUCCAUGACGUAAACGAAAUUCCAUAGCAUCAUAAUUACAUGAAGGACAAGCUAAUCCUGUGUAUAUGUUCCACCUAGAUAAAUUUCCAAGUCCUAGAAAAUCACUGAUGAUCCAUAACAAUGUUGCACGCAUACAAAAUGUCUCUUUUGAAGAGGCAUCAAAGGUUAAAACACCAUCAUACCAUAACUCUUUUAGUUCUAGUAUAAGGGUUUGAAGAUAGAUAUCAAUAUCAUUACCCGGCAUGUGUUUUCCAAGGAUUAUCAAUGCAGAAUCAUUGAUGUUUGCUUCAUUGACAUCCAAGGCGGAAGAUUGUAAGGAAAUAAUAGCACAUGCCAUACACUAUAGUUUGUACUCAUAGAACCAAACAGAUUAAACCCAUCAGUUGCCAAUCCUAGUCUGAUAUUCCUUGGAUCUGUUGCAAACUCUGGAAAUUAUUCAUUAAAUAUUUUCCAAGCUUUUCCAUCUCUACGAUGCCUUAGCAAACCAUCUUUAUUCUCAGAAUUAGCAUGCCACCUCAUAGAUUUAGCAGUUUUUGAUGACAUGAAAAGACGCUGCAACCUUGGUUUCAAUGGAAAAUAUCUAAGCACUUUAGCAGCUUGUGGCUUUCGUUUCUUUUUCUUGAACUUGAACUUGUGUUUUUCAUCAGCAGCUUGUGUUUUUCAUCUUGAACUUUCACAGACUUUGCAUGUGUGUCUAGAUGCAUCAUCAUCCCAAUAAAACAUGCAGUCAUUGGGACACACAUGAAUAAUCUCAUAGUUAAAUCCUAACUUCUUCAUAUCAUUAAACGAAUUUGGCAGCUUUGCAUGCUCAAAUGCUUCUUUCAAGAGAUCAAUUAUCAUAGACAUCCCUUUGUCACUUAUCCUUGAUAUGCAUUUGAUGUGAAACAACUUGAUCAUGAAAGAUAAUUUGCUGAACGUGUGACACCCUUCGUACAGAGGUUCAUGACAGUCUGAUAACAAAUCAUCAAAUGCCUCAUUUUACUUGGAAUGAUCCUCCCUAGGACUAUUAGGAGCUUCACUAAAACUAUUACUCAUACUUGGAAAAAUAUCUCCAAGCAUAUUCAUAGUUGGGUUUUCAAAAUGAUCCACAUUAGAUUCUUGUUCUACUCUUGUUGUCUGAUCCUGAAAAUCUAGUUCCUCACCAUGAAAAUACCAAUUUGUAUAUGAAGGUAGAAACCCAUAACAGACUAAAUCACCUUCAACCUCGACUCUGAGCUUGUGUUUAGUAAGACAACAACGCUGACAAGGAUAUUUUAUCAUGAUAAUCUUACUAUUACCAAAGGCAAAAUCCAGAAAGUCUUUCACUCCACUUAUGUAGUCUUGAGAAAAAAAAUGUUUUGUUAUCCAAGAUUUGUCCAUUUUACAAUCAGUCUAUGAAUAAAACAAACUAGUUAUGGGAUAACUAGUUAAUGACUAUAUUUGAAAUAUAAAAACCCUUUGAUUUUCAUAGAAAUGGAAAUUAAACACUAAAGAGAAACGAAGCAUCAUAAGCAGAAAUGAAAAUCAAGUAGCAGUUUAUGUAGUAAAAUUAUUAUGUGUAGCAGUUCUUUUCACAAGAAGUUUAGCAGUUUAUGUGUGGCAGUUUAUUAUUUUCAGUAGCAGUUUAUGUGUACUAAAAUUAUCUAAUCAAGGCAGUGAGAUCAAAUCAUUUUUCAAGUGGUGAGAUCAAAGGCUACACAUCAUUCACGACUCAUGCAUCUAAUCAAAGCAAUGAGAUCAAAACAUAAACAUCAUUCACGACUCAUGCAUCUAAUCAAAGCAGUGAGAUCUAAACAUAAACAUCAUUCACGACUCAUGCAUCUAAUCAAACCAGUGAGCUCAAAACAUAAACAUCAUUCACAAUAGCUAAGUUUUCUUCACGAAAGAUGAGAACAAAGCAUUGAAAAUGACCACAUAAUCAUAAUCAAAGAGUAGUACCUUGAAUAACUCUGAAAUAUGAGAUUCACGCCUCUUGGAAAUUCUACCUCAAAUUACUUCACGAAUCCAUUGUAUCCUUCACCAAAAUUCACCACAAUUAUCAAAUCAUUGAGCUAAUCCAGAAACUAGGUUAGAUUUGAGCUGUUUCGUCAUAAACACAACACAAAUUUAAAAAAUUACAACCAUACAAACCUUUAGAUCCCGAUUGAGCUUCAAAUCCUAAUCGAGCUUUCGAUUUGACCAAACAACGAACUGAUAAACAAAAAUCAAAGCGAUCUCUAUGGAAGUGAAAAUCAAAGCAAUCUCUGUGAAAAAUCAAAGCGAUCUAUGUGGAAGUGUCGAGAAGAUUUUUGUGAAUUUAGUUAAGUGUCGAUGAAGAAGAUGAACAUUAUUGGGCCUAAUGGGCUACUAAGUUGUAUUGUGGUAAAACUAAAUUGAUGGCCUUUUUAACAACGACAAAAAUAUUGAGAGAAACAUUAGGCUUACUAAUUAAUUAGAUUACGUUACUUUAUUUAGUCAGUUUAAUAAAUGAACCUCAAUUCCUUCCUUUUUCCUAAAUUAACAUCAGUUAUCAAAGUAACGUUAUUUAAGUGACUUAAUCCAGCUUAAUUCUUGUAGUGACCAUCAAUUUAAAAAAAAAAGUGAGAAAUAUUUCCUAUGUGAAUGCAUAGUUGAACCUACGGCACGAGGUUUGUGAGAAAUAAUUUUUAUCAAAUUUAAAUUUCAGAAUUAGAAUCUAUAUUUUUGAAAAGAUAUAUAACAAAAAAAUACAAAUGGGUGAAAACUAAACUUAGUGUUACUAAAUCAUCUCACCAACCACUCCACACGAAAAUAGUCUUUUCCCAACCCUUAUAUGCUACUUUCUUAAUUUAUAUGUAUAUAAUAUUAUAUUCUUAAUUAAGUUAUCAAAUAUGGCUAGUUUUGCAAAUCACCCAAUUUUUUAGUAGGCCUCGAAUCGAGACAUCAAUUUGGAAAACAAUUAAACAAGUAAUCCUUAUUGAUCUUACCAAGGUCUGUUAUUACAUGAAACAAUAACAAAGUUUCAGGCUCCGUGAUCGCAACCCAAACUCACGCAUGAGUUGUGAUAUACUCUAUAUUUAUCACUUUAUCAUGGUUGUUAAGAGUAAUUUUAUUGUGUUUCAUUCGUAUUUUCAUUGUGUUUUGUUGCAUUUAGUGUCCUAUAGUGUGUUUGUGUGUAUUUUGGUGUUUUGUGUGUGUUUUAUGAGCUAUUUCAGGUUAAAAUAAUGGAGGACACACAUUUGGAUGCAAAGAAAGGAAUUGAUGAUUCAAAACCAGUCCGAAGUCCCUCAAAGAUCGACUCGGAUGAAGAUCUUUCAUUGAGAUUUAGCUUUGGACCUCUCCACGAAAGUUAUAAGCAAUUGAGUGAGCUUUCUAAUGGAUGUCAUUGCAAGCCAAUCCGAGCUACUGUUUGGGGGUUAUGUAUGUUUUCGUACACAUAUGUUAGUCUGGCACGAAGAAGAAACUCGUCUAUAAACCUCUCUUGAAUACGGACAGAGCAUGUUCUCCACAUCUCAUGUAUACUCGUCUAGUUAAAAGUUUGUCAAACACAAAAAGGGAGUGGAAACUUGGCUACAGAGCAAAUAGAAAAGGAAAAAAAAGAAUUGUUAUUACGAGAAUAUAAGCACACAAGCAAUUUCACAAAGUUUGGUAAUGUGCCUAAUUCUCAAUAACUUUUUAUUAAAACAUAUGUAGACAAUUAAACCCUAAACUUUGCCUAAAUGGAAUUUCACUAAGACACCCGUUAGUUCGACUUCAACAAAUUCCUAGUGAACUUUAGACAGUUACAUUGAUACAAAACCUAAGGACUACUCUAUUUCUCUCAAGAACAACUCAAAAUGCUUUUUAUUGGUGUUUGUCUCUGUAAUGGCCGGGCCUCAAAGAACCUUCUUUUCUUUACUUUUUAUCAUCUACUUUAAUUUAUGCUCUCUUUAAUCUAGAGGAUUUGAAAAUAACCAAAUUAUCUUUACUGUACCACAAGAAAACAAUGCUAUAAGAUAUAAAUUUAUUAAUUAACUAUAAUAAUAUAUCCCAUGGAAAUAUUUCAGUAAUAUUUCUCGGAAAUACGUUCUCUUGGAAUUCUUUUGGAAAUCUCGGUCCUUUAGAUAUCCCUCGGACAUAUUUGUCCCUAAGAAAGUCCUCGGAAAUAUGGUGUUCUUGCAAAACUGAAAUGUUGGAGCAUCGGGGGUGUGUGUCUUGUGCUCUAACGCAUUAGAAACAUGAGACCAUCUCUUCUUCACUUCUGAUUACUCUUUCGAAGUCUUGUCAGCUCUUGCCAAGAACAUAUUCAGCUCAAGGUACACAAAUGUCUGGCCAUCGAUCGUUCUCUAUGUCUUCCAAACCUCGAUCCACACAUUAUAGAGAGAGAAAAACAAAAUGCGGCAUGGUCCGAUGGAUUGAAAAACAAGCAAAUACUCAUCUAUCAUAUAUUCAAGCUUUAGGUGACAAACGUCGUUGUAGAAAGGGACCGUUAGUAUAAUUACAAUGUGGUUUGGUUCUAGAAGUUAAAAUUUGUAAAGUCUUUUUAAAAAAAAUAAUUCAGAGUCAAAACAACGUUGAAUGUAAAAACGUUAUUUUUUCUUUGAAUUUUAUUUAAUAUUACAUACAAAAAAAAAGAGAAAAACAAAGUGUAUUUUAGGAAAACCUUAUGUUUACUUGUAGAUAUCUUUUAAUUCGUUAGUUAAUACUAUUAACUCAUCAUCAUACAUAUUCAAGCUUUAGGCGACAAACGUUGUAGGAAGGGACCGUAAGUAGGAUUCUAGAAGUUAAAACUUGUAAAGUCUUAUUUUUUAAAAAAAAAAUUCAGAGUCAAAGCAACACUGGAUGUAAAAGCCUUAUUUUAUCUUUAAAUUUAAUAUUCUUACAUACAAAGAAAAAAGAGAAAAACAAAGUGUAUUUUAGGAAACAUCUGUUUUCUGGAUUUUAAAACUUUCAAUAGGUUAUUUAGUUAUUCAAAAAAUAAAAUGAGUUAUUGUAACUAAUCACCCAAAUAAAUAAUCACAGUUUAAAUAUCUAUAUUCCAAAAUAUAUUGAUAUCUAAUUGUAGAAUUAAUUUCUUAAUUAUAGAUAGUUGCAUAACUGGUAAUUAUUUAAGAACUUUAAGAUUAUAUUUUUCUACAGUACUUCAUGUUAACAAUUUUAGUAGUCUUGAGGUCCGCGUAGCGUACACAUCUUAAACCAGUCUGGUUCUAUACUUAAACCAAUUGGCUAGUUUUAAUUGUAAUCCAAAAUACACAUCUUGGCCAAUUCAAAAGUUAAUUACUAACCUAAGAACAAACCGAGAUCCUCAAUCCAUAAAUGCUUCUAUACUUAAACCAGUGUGGUUCAUGAUUAGAGAUAGGUUCGGAUGAUACACAAAACAUUUCCAUAAACCACACAAAAAGGAAAAAAAAAAUUACAUCUUACAAACAUUAGAAUCAAAGACCCUAAAGAACCAUUUCUAAACCAUUUUGAAACAGAUAAAUAAAUAUGUCCAUCUCACAUUUCUUCAAACACAAGCCGAUCUCCACACCUCCGGGUUCAUCCCUCCUCUCCGACAUCGAAAACGCCUCGUUUCGGUCAAUGGACGCAAUCUCACUGUUACAUGGUUUUCCCCACCCGAAAUCUGACCCGUAUAGCCCAAACUGGUUCGAACCGGCAAUGGAUCCAAUCUGUGUACCUGGUUUCACACUCUUUGUUCCAUUAAUGUACAAUUCGCAAAUUGUUUCCAACUUUCGUAAACCAAUACUUCUAACCGAAUCACUUAGAAUUUCGACCAUAUUAACAAACCCAUCUUCUCCCAAAAACACAUUCGCCUUGUAACCAAAGCAACCUAUCGGGAACACGCAGUUCCCGAAAUACAUCUCAGGAACCGGUGGAUCUAACCGGUUCCUGAAAUCAGCAGCAUACAUGAAACGGACCGGUCUGUUCUCAUCUCCUCCACGCGUCUUUACCAAGCAUGUCCAAAGAUACGCGUUGGCAACAACGAACGUUGACAAGUGAAGCUCAUGAUGAGAGCGAGCUGACUCCCUCUUGGCUUGCUCCCUAAGUUUCUCUAUAUUCUCUCGAGUCAACUCGAGCGAGAUCCGUACUAGGUCGGGGCUGAUCUCCUUGGGAGGAAGCAGCUUCAAUGAUCUGAAACUAUCUUUCACUUCUGAGAAAUAUGACAAAAGUUCAAUGAUUUUUGCAUCAAGACUUGCAGGGACAUUGAUAACCGUACGAUCUAAAACCGGAGUCAAAUCCUCCGGUAAAUCCAUGGCUCCAUGUUUACAAAUGUGAGCCCAUGAUUUUAUAAACCUAACCACUGUUUUCCCGUCCAUAACAGAAUGAUGAGAAGCGAUACCAAUACAAAACCCUUGGUUGGGGAACAAAGUGACUUGCAAAGAAAGAACCGAAGGUGAGUCACAAGAAAGCGAUAACUCGGGCACCAAAGAGCGUAUCUCCGAUUCGGGACGUAUCCCUUUACCGGAGAUACGGGAGAAAUCAGCAUCACUCUCCGCGACAGUCAAGGAAACAUAGUCGUUCGGAGAGACGAUGAUGCUAGGUUUAGGAUCUUGUGAGCUCCAUGUGAGGCGGCCAGCGAGCGGGAGGUAGUGACGAAGGACGAUGGAGAGAGAGAGCUCAAGUUUGGGGAGGAUCACGGAGAGGAAGGACUCAAGAGAUGAGUCUUUGAUGAGUUUGUAGAAGAUAACUCUUUCGGUGGGAUGGAAUUGUAACCAACGUAAGUCGAAGAACGUCAGUGGAAGAACCAUCGAGUUGGCUGAGUCAUUGGACGAGUUACUUGCUGGGCUGACUUGGGAGAUCUUGGUUACCUUUAGCGCCAUUGAUGAUGAGUAUGUAGCUCAACAAUCUCUAAUGGUAGUAAAUAAACAAGAUUUUUCUUUGCUUUGGUCACAAAUAAACAAUAUUUAUAUAUCACGCCAGAUUCAUGUUUCCUGCAAAAUCAAAUUAUAUUCAUUUACAAAUCAAAUAACUAAAUUAAAUGGAGUAAAAUUUAAAUUUAUAAUAAGUCCUGAUUCAGACCAGCUGUUACCAAGUGUGAAUGUUUGGUAAGGGAUUUUAAUAACCUUUGUGGUAGAAUUUUAAAAUAGAUAAAGAUGCUUCAGUAUCAGUCUAGAUUAAAAAUGAACUUCCCACAAUUUGCGCUAAUUAUCGUCACAAUGAUUUGUUUUGAUUUUUUUUUCUUACACCUAGAUUAAAACUAAACUUUCCACAAUUUGCAGUUUAAAACAGAUAUUCUUUUACACCUAAAUAAAAGAAGAUCAUCUUAACAAGAUACUGUAUGUUUGUAGGACAAACAAUUAGACUACUGAUCCUCUUCCAAAAUCUUUUUAACCUCACUUUUGAAGUUGAAACAAUAAAAAUUGGGUGACAGAGCCGUAUCUAAUGCAUCAAAUUUUAGUAUCCAGAUCAUACAUAAAUAAGGUAACUUUGACAAAUUUAAAAAUUCUGCAUGGAAAACGUUACUUGACCAAGAGCAAUGACAUAUAUGUGUAAUGUGUUGUGCAUAAUAUUGCAACAAUUGUUUUUUUCAAAAAGACAAAUUGCAAGCAAGCACCACUAAAGAGGUGAUACAAUUAUGUCCAAACCAUAAUUAAACGAAGACAUAAAAGUAUCCAUCUCACUCUGUGCAGGGUCUCGGCUCCCGAACCGUACGUGAGCUGCCUCGUACGGCUCUUCCUAAGAACUUGAAGCCCCAAAACUUGAACUACGCACAUACAUACUUUAGAGAAAAGGUAAAGCCAAGAGAGCUGCCCUCAACCCUACUACGAGGAUAGCAUCUUCUUCAAACACAAGCCUAUCUCAGCGCCACCGAUCUCAUCCCUCCUCUCUGAUAUCGUGAACGCUGCAUACCGGUCAAUGGACACAAUCUCGUCGUUUACGGGUUUAACCCACCCAAAAUCUGACCCAUAUACCCCAGUUCGGUUCGACCCCGAAACAGAGUCAACUUGAGUACCCGGUUUCACCUCCUUCGUUCCAUCAAUAUACAACUCGCAAGUGCUUCAAUUCCUUGUGAACCCAAACUUUUGACUGAAUCUCCAAGAAUCUCGAUAGCGUUUAAGAAACCGUCUCUUCCCGACAAUAGCUUUGCUUUGUAACCAAUAGGGAACACCCAGUUCCCAAAGUACCUCUCUGGAACCAGUGGAUCUAAUUAACCGUUUUCUAAAUUCGGCUGCAUGAAUACAUGGACAGCACCGUUCUUUCUUUGCUGCCACCGCGCGCCUUCACCAGACAGCUCCAGAGAUAGGCCAUUGUGACGACGAACGUUGAGAAAUAUAGAUCAUGUAGAGAGCGCGCUGAUUCUUGCUUGGCUCGCUCCUUAAGUUUCUUGACUUUCUCCUGAGUCAGCUGGAGUGUGAUUCGGACAAGAUCGGUGCUGAUAUCCCCCCUUGGAGGCGGCUUUAGGGUUCUCUUGCCAUCUUUUUCAUACAAGAAGUAGCACAUUGAUUCCAUAAUCUUUGAUUCAAGACCGGGCGGGGCAUUGAUGUAUGAGUACGAUCUAAAAUUGGAGUCAAAAUAUUUGGAAGGCACGUGAACGGUUCCAUGUUCUAGUAAUUUACAAAUGUGAGCCUAUGAUUUGAUACACAUUAUCGACCCUGUUCUUCGCUCUGUAUGCAGAAAGAACAUUCAAAUAUUUGAAACUAGAAGAUCCACGUCGAUGCAUGGAAAUAAUUUGAAUUUCUUAUGUUAUGAAAAAAUAGUAAAAGAAACCUUACUUUUAGUUUUUGAAUUCACGAAUGUGAAAAGAUUAUAGUAGUGCAUUUCAAUAAUUCAAUAAUAGUUACUAUCAUCUCUUAGAUGUAAAUGUACAUUAUAGAUUUAGUGCAUGGAGUUAAUAAAAUAAUCAUAAAUGAAGACUUUUUUUUUUGCUACGGAGUGUUAACACUUUGGACUAUAUUAUUCUCUAUGCUCAGAAGAAUCAAAAAUUAAAAAUAUAACUUUUUUUUUGUAUUAUUAGUUCUCUCUCUUAAUUUAUGUAAGUUAGACAAAAAUACCUCAUCGCAUAUAUCAAAUUAUUUAGCAAUGUAAUUAAAUACUUAGGGAAAAAUGUCAUUAAAAUCCCCAACUUAUAAAAAAGUAGAUUUAAAUCCUCAACUCCCGACAAAACGAAAUUAUUAACAAAGUUUUGUUGACUUUCCAAAUAAAUACCAAACUUUCGUAUAUAUGACCAUAUUAGGCAUAAUAUUAAGUAGAUUAACAUAUUGUGUUUACGGAGUUAAUUUUCUGUUAACAGAUCCGUUAAUUCAAAACGUUAUUGUUUCUUAUAACAAGAAAGCGACCUCGUUUUGUUAUAACGACCAAAUUAAAUCCUCAAAUCCAAUCUUAGAUCUCCAAAUCGAGCAAAAUUCCUAACCCUAAAUCUUCAUAUGAUUUGAAAUUAGGAUUUAAUUGAGCCGUUAUGACAUAAUGACGUUGUUUUAUUGUUAUAGGGAACAUUGUCGUUUUCAAUUAACGAGUCUGUUAACAAAAAAUGGACUCUAAUAACAGGGUCUGUUAAUGUCAUGCCUAAUAUGGCUAUGCCAAUAAAAGUUUGGUAUUUAUUUGAAAAAUCAACGAAAGUUGUAUAUUUAUUUGGAAAAUCAACAUAAGUUUGAUAUUUAUUUCGUUUCGUAAAGAUUUAAAGAUUUAAAUAAACUUUUUCAAUAAGUUGGGGAUUUUAAUGAUAUUUUUCCCUAUGUACAAUGGUAAACUUAUUCAACACCCACCUUUUUCCCUUUUUAACACUCCACGUUAUUUUUUCUUUCCUCCACAUAAUAAUUCAACACCUACUUAUAUGUUAAACACUCUAAUGGUUUUGUUUAAUAAAAUUCAACACUCUACCCCACUAGUUUUAUUUCAUUAUUUAUUUUUUCUUUUAUAUUCAUAUUUUGUGAUUACAUAAUAAUAAUAAUUAUUAAUAAAUAAAAUUAAAAUAUCGACAAAUUAGAUUAAAUUAACAAAAAUUAAUUAUUUUAUGUUCUUAACUAAUUUUUUUGAACAAAACAAAUAAUUAUUAUUAAAACAAAAAAAAUAUUACAAAUUUUGAUUUACAAUAUGAUACAAGCACACAACACAAUUAAUAAUAAACACACUUCACUUCAAAUACAUACGGAUUAACUCACAAACAAUUAAACUCUUAAAUCACACAACACAUAAAGACAUAAAAAUCUCUUUAAUUUCAGGACAUUCUGAAUUUCGCCAAGAUAUGUUUGACUAGAUCUGCUUGCAAUUCAUGAUGUGCAUUUGAAUCACGUAACUCUCUCUUGAUGUAUUUUCUUUUGUUACGACGUGGAUAAUCUUCUUCAACAUUGUUGCGACGCUCUCUAGACUGGUUUAUUAUAUACUUCUCUUCAAUUUGAUAUUGUCUAUUGUAAGCUUCAAUAUCGAAAGGAAAUUCUGAUGGAUCCAUUGGAUUUUUUUUAGUAAGAUGAUGUUUGUGAUAUUAUUUCAUCAAUAGAAAAAUGAAUUCCCAUUUAUAAAAAAUCGAGUGGUUGAAAGAGAAGGAUAAGAUAAGGAUUUGAUGAAAUAUCAUGUGGUUGAGAUCCAACAGAUAAGGAUCAUGUGGUAAACUAAAAUAUAAGGAUUAGAUACUAAGUUUCUAACAUAAAAAGCCAAAAUCGAUGGAUUACAUUGUCGGAAAAUAAUGGAAUACUGACAAACAAAUAUUAUUGCAUAAAAUGACAAACAACAAUUAUAGCAUAAAAUGAUAAAAUACACACAUACAUAUGACAAACAUAAACAUUAAAGUAGAAAGUGACGAAGUGUACACAUACACUUCAAAUCCACUAAUUUCCAAAUACUUCGUAGUUCAACUUCUCUAACAGCUUUUUGCUCCAAUCAUUGCGAUGCUCACUCUCAAAUAGCUUCAUAAACAUCUCCAUCUUCUUCAAUUUGUUUGCCUCUUCUGUCUCUUGGCAAUUUUUUCCAAGUUUUCUAACUCUUUCUCUUUCAAUUGCUUGAAAUCAUUUCACUCUUCAUUAACGACUUCCAAGCAUGCAUCACCCUUACCUUUUUUUUAACUUUCUUUUUAGACGCAUCCCUCCCCAUGGGACGAGCACUAGAUCCUACAGAGUUUGAGUCACUUGCAUUAGGAUUGUGAGCUCUCUUAGAUCCACUGCUUCCAGACCCCGUUUUUCCUCCUACCUGACUACUAUAGCAUGGUUGAUCAUGAACAGCAAGUCACUCUAACAUUAAAUUAAAAUACACAUUCUUACCAUUUGAAUAUAGUUCAUGUGCUUUUGCGAAUACAUCAAUCUCUGACCAUCCGCUUUGUUACAUACACUUAGCAUUAUCGUAAGCGCCAAUCCAUUUGCCCAAUAUUUUGUUCACGUAGUUGAAAUGAUUUCUGCACGUAACUCCAUCAUACGGAGGAUCAAAUGAGCAUUGCUCAUUACAAUAUUCAGCAAUUUUAAUCCACUAUGAUUCACUCUUUUGAUUUCUUUCAACAAUGCUAUAUGUUCCAUAUUUAAUUCAUCCACUCAAAAACACCAAAUUUUGCUUAGUUGUCCAUUUGGGGCUUUUUCGUCGAGUAGAAGUUGAAUCUUCAUUGUUUGGAAUGUCUUCAUCAGCACCAGUCAUCCCUCCAAGAGUCAUUUGUGUAGAAAACCCAGUAAAUUCAGAUGGUGGUUGAGAUGAAUAUGACAUCAUCGAUGCAUAAUAUGGAUGAUAGUAUGGAACAGAUGAUGGCACUGAAAAAUUUGGUGGAAAUCCAUAAUUUGAGACAUUUUGAGACUAGUUGAAAGAUGGAUUUUGAUAUUGAUAAUUACUGGAAUUUGGGUAUGGAAAAAGAUAAUUAGUAGAAUUUAGGGUAGAAUUAUUAUUGGAAUUUGGGUAAGAAAAUGGAAAAUUUGCGGAAUUUUGUGAAGGAUUAUUAUUAAAAUCCAUUUCACAAAACAAAAUUAAAAAUAAAAACAAUAUUUUUUUGGAGAAUAAUUAAAAAACUAUAGUAAAAAUAUUUGUUUUUUAUGUGUCCAAAUGAACCAAGUUUAUAUUUAUAAAGAUUAAAAUGUUAUAAAUUUUCAUAUAAAUAUUUUUUUAUAUAUAAAUUGUUAAUUAUAUAAUAAUUGAUUGUAAAUAGAUAAGAUGGGAUAAAAAAUCUCCAAAAUCUCAAAUGCCAAUAAUAAUAUAACAAGUGUUAUUAUCUCAAGAAAGUGAACUCUUCACUUGCAAAGAACGUGUGUGAAACGUACAUCUCAAUAACAUGGUGACAUGUGGAAUAUAUGGACCCAAAAAAAAAAAGUUUCGACAUGUUGAAUUUAUUCAACACUUAUUAAUUCACAUAGAUUUUUUUUGAGUUUUCAACACCUCCAUUGCAAACAUGAAACAGUUGAAUCUUUUAUUCAACAUGUCCAUUGCACAUAGUUUAAAAAGAAUAUUUUCAAAAAUUACAAUCCCAUCUAGUCAAUCCUCUAUUUUUAUGUUAUUUCGACUAAAACCAAAAACAUGCAUUUAAUUAUUAUUUUUUUAAACUACAAUAGGAUAAUUUUAUAAAUCUCAAUACAAUGCCGGCACUGGACAGAGCGAAGAGAAACAUUGGUAUGAGGCCCCCAUUUUUAAGGGGCUCCCAUUUAAUUUUGUUUUUAUAUAUACAUAUUUAUAUAUCUUACAUGUCCUAUGCUAUAUGCUAGAGCAAAAAUAUUCACAGAAUAAACAUGAUAUGAAGAAAGAUAUGUUAAAAACAAAAUAAAAAAUCAAUUUAUGUAGUGUCACGUGUCAGCCAUUCAGCCAGACAAUCUAUAAAACAAAAACUCAACUUUAAUACAUAAAAAAAAAAACUACAAUAAUGUUUUGGUUUGUCAUUAUACCCAUGACCUUUGAUUAUCUUCCUCUUCUCUGUUUCUCUUUUCAUCAACGUCGUUCUUCAAUCUCUACUUCUACAAUCAAUUCUCUAUACUCAUGACUGAUAAUUUUCCUAUUUUAGUCGAUAAUGUGUUUAUGUUUAUACUUAAUUUUUAGUUGAUUUUGAUCAUAAACUUAAAUUUAUAUAUAAACUUUUUUAGGUAUUUCAACAAGAAAAACAAAGUGUAAAACAAGGGCUCAAAAAAGAAAGAAACAGAGAAAAGAUGAAGAACUUGUGAAAUCUUUGAGUAAUUCUAUGUUGAGGUAUGUUAAAAGAUCAAAAUCUGGUAAGUUUGAUGAAAGUGAUAGAGUUGGUGAUGAGAAUGAGAAUCAAGAAGAUGAUAAGGCCGGAGAAGAAACAAUGGCUGACUGUGACAAAGAGGAAUGUGAAAAAAUCUCUAAAGAAGAUGAUGUGCCUGUGGAUUUAGAAAAACCUCCGGAGAUUUCGAUUUUACAAUUUACAGAUCCUGCAAAUUGGAGAAAAAAUGAUCAGGGAUUAAAAGAUUAUCUAGUGCAAAAAAGUUCUAUGGAAAGAGUUGAAAGAGACUACGUUUUCCCCAAAAAUGAUGUUGGUAGACAUUUUUUUUAUAGAUAUUUCAAAAGGGAGUUGAAAAAUGGAGAAAAAUAAGAUAGGAAUUGGUUACUUUAUUCAAAAGCAUAAGACAAAAUCUAUUGCUUUGUUGUAAGUUGUUUAGAUGGGAACAAGAUGCCACUCAGUUGUCAAGCACAUGAUUCAACGAUUGGAGGAAUGUCAAGAUAAGACUCGGCCAACAUGAAAUUAGCCAUAGUCACAUCUUUUGCAUGGGUUAGUGGAUAGAAUUAAUUGAGAUUGCGAAAGGAGCAUACCAUUGAUAAGUAUUUAAAAGAAGAAGUCAAACGAGAGAAAAACCAUUGGAGAGAAAUUUUGUUGAGACUUUUUGCAUUGGUGAAAAAUCUUGCUAAGCAGUAUAUAGCAUUCCGUGGAACUAAGGAGAAGAUUGAUGAGAGAAAUAAUGGAAACUUCUUGAGAUUCAUUGAAACGUUUGAAGAGUUUGAUUCACUUACGCAGGAGCAUAUCAAACGAGUUAAAGAAGGUAAAAUUCACUAUCACUAUCUAAGCUCCAAAAUCCAGAAUGAGUUGAUUGCUAUGCUAGGAUCUGAAUUCAAACGUAUGAUCAUCAAAAAAAAUUCAAGAGGCAAAAUAUUUAUCAGUAAUUCUCGAUUGUACUCUAGAUAAAAGUCAUAAAGAGCAAAUGAGUUUUGUUAUCAGAUGUGUUGAUGUCUCCACCACAACGACACGAGUUGAAGAACUUUUUGUGACGUUUUUAGAAGUCAUCGAUAGAUCGGGGAAGGACUUUUUGAGUUGCUUUGUUAUACAUUCGGUGAUCUCAAGUUGAAAAUCGAUGAUGUGAGAGGACAAGGCUAUGAUAAUGGAUCCAAUAUCAAAGGAAAACACAAAAGAGUACAAAAGCGAUUGCUUGAUAUCAAUUCAAUAGCAUUUUAUGCGUCAUGUGGUUGCCACAGUCUUAAUUUGGCACUUGCUGAUAUGGCCAAAUCAUCUUCAAAAGCGAUUUUAUUCUUUGGAAUAUCCAACGCAUCUACUGCUUGUUUUCAUCCUUUACACCUAGGUGAGAACUCCUAAAGAGAUGGUAGGAGGUCUCACACUUAAGCCAUUAUCAGAGACUCGUUGGGAAAGUCGCGUAGAAAGUGUUCAAGAAAUUCGUUUUCAAGAUCCAAAAAUAAGAGAUGCUUUAGACUAUUUGGCUGAAAAUUUUGAUGAUCCUAAAGCUCGCAGCGAUGCCGACGCUCUUGCUACAAGUGAAACUCAUGGAAUCGGAAGGUUUGAGUUCUUAUUUGGUUUGGUUAUUUGGUAUGAUCUUUUAUUUAUCGUAAACACGGUAAGUAAGGUGAUGCAAAUAGAGAAUAUUGCUAUUGAUACUGCUCUUGUUCAACUAAAGGGGUUGCUCUCGUAUUUUAGAAACUACAGAGAAGUUGGUUUUGAAGCAGCAAAAGCGGAAACUAAAAUAAUUGCAGAAUCUAUGGAUGUCGAGCCCAAGUUCCAGUGAAAAGAAAGCGUAUCAUCAAAAAAAAAUGCAUUUUGAUGAGGAGGUGGAGAAACAUGGUGAAAGUGUGAUGCUAAGCGAGGAAGAGAGUUUCAAAAUCGAUUAUUUCUAUACAAUCGUGGAUCAAGCUAUAGUAUCUCUUCAAGCGAGGUUUGAACAAUUUGAAGAGUAUGGGAAACAUUUUGGAUUCUUGAUUGAUUUGAGAAAGCUCAAAAGAGAAACUGAAGAUGGAUUAAAAGCAUCAUGUAUCAAUCUUGAAACUUCUCUUAAACAUGGAAAGAAUUCAGACAAAUAAUUAACUUCAUCUAAAUGUUAAACACUAUACCUUAACCCCUACCAAAUAACACCAAUAUUUAACUUAGUUUAGAUGUAUGACGCUAUAUAUACAUACUCUAACACUCAUCUAAAAUAGAGAAUGAAAUUAACUCUCUUUUAAGAUCAAUUUUUUUGUUGUUUUUUCGUGAAAUUGGCUCUUAGAUGAUUCAUUUUAUGUUGAACGUAAGAGAACUACUUAUUAAAAUAACAGUUUUAUAUUAUAAAUUCUACAUGUCGGCUCAUACAGUCCGCUGGGAUGCUGUAGACGGCAACAAAUUUAACUCACAAAAUCAUUUUUCCUUUGAAUAUACGUCUUCAAUACUCCCAAAAAUAAAAAUUGAACUUAUCGAUAAUAACAAAAAAAUAUGGAUGCAGAGCUUGCAGCCCUUAAAACUUAUCUUUAAAUGACUGUAUCAACUUUGUUUCUAGCAUUAUCUUUGCUAUAAAAAAUUUUAAAGUAUCUUUUCAUAUAAUUUUUCGACAUAUGUUUCUUUUGACUACUUUUUCUGGGAUAAUUGAAGGUUAAAAUAAAUUUGGAUAAACAAUUUAAAAUUUUCGGAUCAGUAUAAUUCAUGGUAAAGUAAACAUUAAGAAAUUAAGCACCAAGGUAAUUAAAGAAAUACACAUAACAUAAUACAUGUUUUCCAACAAUAACACAAUAGUUGACUACUAUACACUUUCAAAAUUGCCAUCACAUCUCUUUCAAAACUUUUCAACGGAUUGAAAAAAAAACACAGAGCUCACUCACAUUACAUAAAAGUUUUAGAAGUUGAGAUGGUAAAGAACAUGAUCUCAUAAGCUCUUCUUAGUAUUUAGCACUUAAAUCCUCAAGAACCACAAGUGUUAAAGUAGCUAAUUAACUUAAAUGAGAAGAAGGCACAACUAUUGACAUUUACCAUCUUUUUAUUAUUGUUUAUGACCAAAAUUAGUGUAUUAUUAGUCUCCUCCGCACCGGAAAAACUUCUAGUUUAGGACAUGUACAAUAAACAAAUAUAUCUCUACUUUGGAGCUUUAUAAAAUGCAUGGCCAUCUCAAAAAUCUGUUUUGCCAUCUUGACGCUGAAAUGAUUUAUCAUACCACUGAACAAUGCACUAAAGAAAAACGAUAUGAAAAUGACAUAUGUACUAAAAAAAUUUAGAGUAGAGAACAAUGGAUUAGUUAACGACAACAAAACCAAAUACCGAAAAUAUCCACCAUCUUGAUUUCUAGGUCUGCUAAAAGUCUCAAAAAUCAAAAGAAUUGAUUUUGCUUUUUAUAAGUUUUUUUUAUUAAACAUUCUCUUUUACGUUUGUCUUCUUAUAUUUUCUUCUUCGAUCUCCAGUUUGUGGUGCAAUGACCCAUCAUAAAACUCAAAAACACUUAUCACAGUAACAAAUAACGAUAGCGGAUGGGAUUUAUGAUGGAUCUUGUCAAUCUAUAGUCUUCAACUGGUAAACUAAUCCGAGAAGUAAAAAGUAUGUGUGUAUCCGGAUACGUUUUAUACAAAACUUUUGUUUUACUUAAAAUGGGGAUUUCUCUCCAAAAACUAUUCAUAUUAUAACCAUGUCCUUAUAAACAACCUUAAAGUUGAUAUAUAUGAGUGUUAUGCUUAUAUCAUAUCACAUCUAGAAAAGAAUGAUUAAAAAAGUCAACAAAGACCAGCUUUCAACUUUCAUAGCCUUUAAAAAGGCAUCAACGUUUGUGUGUCUAUAUAUUUUUAAGUCUCGCAACUCUCAUUAAUCCCACCCAAGCUUCAAAAUAGAACACAAAGACAUGAACCGAACACAAUCUCUAAACACGCUCUAUUGUCGUCUUGGCAACACUUUUUCUUAUGAGUCUUGUUGUGUGUACAAACACAAUUUCUCCAAUAACUUUGUCUUGCUGAAAGCCGAUUACUUUGAGCUCCGACCUUAGGCUAUUUUCUCCACUGGAUAUAUAACGAAACAAACGGUACCGUUUCCAUCGUUUUUCGCCAACAUGGAACCGCUCCUUCUUCUUGGAUUGCUUGGGGACUUAACCCAAGUAAUACUCAUGGUUGGGACGCAAGCGCUAGUCGCCUUAACCAACUAAAUGGCCAAUUCCAGGUCUAAAAAAUCGAAAGAAUUGAUUUCUCUUUUUUCAAGUUUCUUUUAUUAAUAAAACCUUUUCUUUUACGUUUAUCUUCUUUUCUUUUCUUUUCUUCUUUGAUCUGUAAUUUAUGUGGCAACAAUCUAUCAUAAAAGUCAAAAACACUUAAUCACAAUAUAAAAAAACUAAUAUAAACCCAUCAUCAUCCAAGCUCCCUUGAGUUCCUAGAGAUGCAAGGCGAAGCCUGACUUUUUUUUUAUCGGAUAUAAAGAGACAUACCUUGAAAAGAUGAACCAUCUUACGCCAUAAAAGAGAUAAAGAUACAGUAGAACCUCUAUAAAUUAAUAUUCGACAAACGAAUAAACACUAAAAAAAAAAAAAAAAAAUCUCUAAAAAGAAUGGUAGAUUUGUGUAUUGCUUAGGUUUAUUUUAGUAUAUGAGCCUUUAUUCUCUAGUGAUUUUUAAUAAUCUACCAUUUUAAAAGCUACAUAACUCCUUAUUUUUUCUCUAAUUCAAGAUAAAUUUUAUAUUAAAGUGAUAGUUGGUGACACUCUUUGAUCAUAAUUUGCAUAACACAAAGUACUAAAUCUAUUGAAAAUAUGCAUAAGAUUGAGUAUUUUUCAAAACAAAUAUAUGUCCAACAUUAUAAUUUGUUAUUUCAUUACCAACACAGAAAUCAAGAUUUAAAGAUCCAUUGAGAAUAUCAUGAAAAACCACGAAAGGAAAACAGUUGUCAAACCUCAAAUCUCCUAUAUAUGAAAUGAAUUCACACGCCAAAAAUUUAAUUAUAUAGACAUCAUCUUUAUAUAGAUCCCCAUUUGCAACUAAUCAGCUAUUUGCAUUUAUUCAAAGAACUUCAAAUUAUUAUUAUGAUUAUUAUACUUUUUGUAAUAUGAUAUUUUCAAACAAAAUGCAAAGUUAUAAUUAUAUAUUUUUUUGUGUAAAUUACUAUAACUAUAGGUUUCUUUCUUGUUUCAUGUAUGUGUUGUUGAAAGAUUCUCUUUGAAUUUACCCAAUAAUUUCCCCAAAAAAAGUCCUUUUAAGAAAAGAGAAUUUAAUUAACUAUUUUUGCGUGUGUGGUCGAUCAAUUGUUUGAGAUUUCCUGAUUAUUCUAUAUGUCCCCCACAGACACAGAAACUCAUAUACAGAGACAUAAUAAAACUGAAUUGGCAUCCCUUUUCUUUGGAUGGAUUUAAUACAAAAUUUGACCCAAAUCUAUAUAGUUGAUGUUCUGCAUACAUAAAACGUGUCCCCAUUCCUGUGACGCAUACAUGUGAAGUGUUUAAUUGUAAUCUCUUUGCUUUCUGGUUUCCAUGAAGAGAAGACAGAAGAGUUUUGAGAUGAGACAAAGUGAGAUGAUUAAAGAUGAUAUAUAAGAGAAGUAAAAGGGUUACUUCUAGUGUUGUAUGAAGCAAUAGAUUAUUCAAUGUAAUGCUAGUACAAUGAUAACAAAAGAAAGCUUUGUAUACCAUUAGGGCACGGGUUCGAGACUUGGGAAGCUCUUGAAUAAAUUUCCCAAACCCACUCAGCCUAACUCUACGCUUAACUUCCACCAUCGCCGGCCACUCGCUCGUUUCUGCUUUCUCACCACUGCCAUAGAAAAACCUAGUCAGAGAAUGAAAGCAUAUAUUCAAAUGUCAUAACUGUCGUCAAGAUUCAUGGUGAUUUUGCACAAGUACCAUGAUAUUCUGAAUUUCUGAUAGAAGGAAACAUGAAACCUACAGAUGGACUCUGGAGCAUCCCAUACUCUACUCAGAAUACUUGACCCCCUUAAACAACUGAUGCAUCUUCUUUUUUAUACUUUUCACAGACACUAUCUAGCUUGCUGAUGUUUCAAUUGAUCUAUUCUUAAGCUUAUUCAAAUGCCAUUCUAAUUGAAUUAGAGAAGAGAUUGAUUGCUAACACAAUUCCAGUUCAAGUACAAUUUAUAAUCUUCAAAGAAAUAUCUAAUAUUAGCAUAGAGCAGAAAUUGUCUGUGCCCGAAGAAAACAGUAUCAAAAAUAUUGAAUAAUAGUAGCUAUAUUAGUUAAGGUAAUAAGAACUUACCUUUUGAAAAUGCCAGCAACAGGCACUACGGAAGACAUACUCAGUUGCAGUAACCAUCCCAUGCUCUCUCUCCCUUAUCAUCACUAAGUGCAGCUGCUUUCUCAAGUCUAGAGAUAUCGUCAUCAUACAUAGGUUAUUAAGCAAAGUAGUCGUCAAUGAGUCUUUGGUUUCCAGCUACAUGAUCUCUCUUGAUGUAUUUUCUUUUGUUACGACGUGGAUAAUCUUCUUCAAUUUUGUUGCGACGCUCUCUAAACCGGUUUAUGAUAUAUUUCUCUUCAAUUUGAGAUUGUCUUUUGUAAGCUUCAAUAUCGAAAGGAAAUUCUGAUGGAUCCAUUGGAUUUUUUUUAGUAAGAUGAUGUUUGUUAUAUUAUUUCAUCAAUAGAAAAAUGAGUUUCCAUUUAUAAAAAAAUCGAGUGGUUGAAAGAGAAUGAUAAGAUAAGGAUUUGAUGAAAAGAUCAUGUGGUUGAGAUCCAACAGAUAAGGAUCAUGUGGUAAACUAAAAGAUAAGGAUUAGAUUCUAAGUUUCUAACAUAAAAAGCCAAAAUUGAUGGAUUAUAUUGUCGGAAAAUAAUGGAAUACUGACAAACAAAUAUUAUUGCAUAAAAUGACAAACAACAAUUAUAGCAUAAAAUGAUAAAAUACACACAUACAUAUGACAAAUAUAAACAUUAAAGUAGAAAGUGACAAAGUGUACACAUACACUUCAAACCCACUAAUUUCCAAAUAGUUCGUGGUUCAACUUCUCUAAUAGCUUUUUGCUCCAAUCAUUGAGAUGCUCAUUCUCAGAUAGCUUCAUAACCAUCUCCAUCUUCUUCAAUUUGUUUGCCUCUUCUGUCUCUUGGCAAUUUUUUUCCAAGUUUUCUAACUCUUUCUCUUUCAAUUGCUUGAAAUCAUUCCACUCUUCAUUAACGACUUCCAAGCAUGCAUCACCCUUACCUUUUUUUAACUUUCUUUUUAGACGCAUCCCUCCCAUGGGACGAGCACUAGAUCAUACAGAGUUUGAGUCACUUGCAUUAGUAUUGUGAGCUCUCUUAGAUCCACUGCUUCCAGACCCCGUUUUUUCUCCUACCUGACUACUAUAGCGUGGUUGAUCAUGAACAGCGAGUCACUCUAACAUUAAAUUAAAAUACACAUUCUUACCAUUUGAAUAUAGUUCAUGUGCUUUUGCGAAUACAUCAAUCUCUGACCAUCCGCUUUAUUACAUACACUUAGCAUUAUCGUAAGCGCCAAUCCAUUUGCCCAAUAUUUUAUUCACGUAGUUGAAAUGAUUUCUGCACGUAACUCCAUCAUACGGAGGAUCAAAUGAGCAUUGCUGAUUACAAUAUUCAGCAAUUUUACCCCAGUAUGAUUCACUCUUUUGGUUUCUUUCAACAAUGCUAUAUGUUCCAUAUUUAAUUCAUCCACUCAAAAACACCAAAUUUUGCUUAGUUGUCCAUUUGGGGAUUUUUCGUCGAGUAGAAGUUGAAUCUUCAUUGUUUGGAAUGUCUUCAUCAACACCAGUCAUCCUUCCAAGAGUCAUUUGUGUAGAAAAUCCAGGAAAUUCAGAAGGUGGUUGAGAUGAAUAUGACAUCAUCGAUCCAUAAUAUGGAUGAUAGUGUGGAACAGAUGAUGGCACUGGAAAAUUUGGUGGAAAUCCAUAAUUUGAGACAUUUUGAGACUAGUUGAAAGAUGGAUUUUGAUAUUGAUAAUUACUGGAAUUUGGGUAUGGAAAAAGAUAAUUAAAAGAAAUUUGGGUAGAAUUAUUAUUGGAAUUUGGGUAAGAAAAUGGAAAAUUUGCGGAAUUUUGUAAACGAUUAUUAGUAAAAUCUAUUUCACAAAACAAAAUUAAAAAUAAAAACAAGAUUUUUUUGGAGAAUAAUAAAAAACUAUAGUUAAAAUGUUUGUUUUUUAUGUGUCCGAAUGAACCAAGUUUAUAUUUAUAAAGAUUAAAAUGUUAUGAAUUUUCAUAUAAAUAUUGUUUUAUAUAUAAAUUGUUAAUUGUAUAAUAAUUGAUUGAAAAUAGAUAAGAUGGGAUAAAAAAUCUCCAAAAUCUCAAAUGCCAAUAAUAAUAUAACAAGUGUUAUUAUCUCAAGAAAGUGAACUCUUCACUUGCAGAGAACGUGUGUGAAACGUACAUCCCAAUAACAUGAUGACAUGUUGCAUAUAUGGACCCCAAAAAAAAAGACAUAUAUGAACUUAUUAAUUCACAUAGCUUUUUUUGAGUUUUCAACACCUCCAUUGCAAACAUUAAACGGGAAAAAGUUAAAAAAACAAACAAACUAAUUUUAAUUUGGAAGUUUAAUACCCAAUAUUUUUAGAUUGGAAUAAAACUACCUCAUCUAAUUAUUUGUAGUCACAAAAUACCUCAGAUAUAAGUUAUUGGUGGAAUCAAAUCCAGUCGUUAACGGGCGUUACGGAAUCAUUUAACGGUGUUAAAUUCUAAUUCCGUAUGAUCUAGUUUAUAUAGGGGUUGUUUAGAUUUAUUAGUUGAGAAUAUUAUUGUAUCCUAGUGGCUACACACGAGGCUAACUUAUUCUCCUUACUCGGGUUUGAUACCCCUAACUCGCAAUUUUUUUUUUAGUUUUUUCUUCUUCUUCUCCUCCGGGUGUUCGUUGAGAAAUCAAAAUUGGAGAGAAAUCCAGAGUCAAGGGUCGAAGAAGCUUCUCAUGAUUCGGAUCUGCUAUUUGAAAAGGUUGAAAGAGAAGAGCUUCUUUGUAGAAAGAGUUUGGGGAGAGUUCCAAGUUCCAACAUGGGCGGAUUGAGGUGGAGGAGGUGAAAGAAGUGGAGUUACAGAAGGUGGAAGGCAAGAAGGAGGCGUUGGAGGUGGAGGAAGUGGAGUUACAGAAGGUGGAGGGCAAGAAGGAGGCGUUGGAGGUGGAGAUGAGGUGAUUGGCGGAUCUGUUAAGAACCACCGGCGAAAAUAAGAAAAGGGCCUUACUAGGGAUUCGAACUCGGGUUAAUAGGGUUAAGUGACCUUGCUAAAUACCACUAGGGUACGGUAAUAAAUUUCGUUUAGUGUAGACAAACAAUUAUAUAUAUAUAUAUAUAUAUAUAUAUAUAUAUAUAUAUAUAUAUAUUAAACUAGUUAGAGUUAAAAUUUAACGCCGUCAAAUAAUUCUGUAACGCCCGUUAACGGUUGGGUUUGAUUCUACCAAUAAUUUGUGUCUGAGAUAUUUUUGGAAUACAAAUAAUUAGAUGAGGUAUUUUUAUUCCAAUCUAAAAAUAUUGGGUAUUAAACUUCCAAAUUAAAAUUAUUUUGAGUUUUUUAUAGCUUUUUUCCCAACAUUAAACAGUUGAAUCUUUUAUUCAACAUGUUCAUUGCACAUAAUCUAAAAAUAAUAUUUUCAAAAACUACAAUCCCAUCUAAUCAAUCCUCUAUUUUUAUCUUAAUUCGACUAAAACCAAAAACAUGCAUUUAAUUAUUUCUUUUUUUUUAAACCACAAUAGGAUAAUUUUAUAAAUCUCAAUACAAUGUCAGCCCUGGACAGAGCGAAGAGAAACAUUGGUAUGAGGCCCCCAUUUUUAAGGGGCUCCCAUUUAAUUUUUGUUUUUAUAUAUACAUAUAUUUAUAAAUCGUACAUGUCCUAUGCUAUAUGCUAGAGCAAAAAUAUUCACAGAAUAAACGUGAUAUGAAGAAAGAUAUUUUAAAAACAGAAUAAAAAAUCAAUUUAUGUGGUGUCACGUGUCAGUCACUCAGCCCGACAACCUAUAAAACAGAAACUCAACUUUAAUACAUAAAAAAAACCAACAAUAAUGUUUUGGUUGGUCAUUAUACCCAUGACCUUUGAGUAUCUUCCUCUUCUUUGUUUCUCUUUUCAUCAACGCUGUUCUUCAAUCUCUACUUCUACAAUCAAUUCUCUAUACUCAUGACAGAUAAUUUUCCUAUUUAGUCGAUAAUGUGUUCAUGUUUAUACUUAAUUUUUAGUUGAUUUUGUUCAUAAACUUAAUUUUUAUAUAAACUUUUUUAGGUAUUUCAACAAGAAAAACAAAGUGUAAAACAGGGGCUCAAAAAAGAAAGAAAUAGAGAAAAGAUGAACAACUUGUGAAAUCUUUGAGUAAUUCUAUGUUGAGGUAUGUUAAAAGGUCAAAAUCUGGUAAGUAUGAUGAAAGUGAUAGAGUUGGUGAUGAGAAUGAGAAUCAAGAAGAUGAUAAGGCCGGAGAAGAAACAAUGGCUGAUUGUGACAAAGAGGAAUGUGAAAAAAUCUCUAAAGAAGAUGAUGUGCCUGUGGAUUUAGAAAAACCUCCGGAGAUUUCGAUUUUACAAUUUACAGAUCCUGCAAAUUGGAGAAAAAAUGAUAAGGGAUUAAAAGAUUAUCUAGUGCAAAAAGGUCCUAUGGAAAGAGUUGAAAGAGACUACGUUUUCCCCAAAAAUGAUGUUGGUAGACAUUUUUUUUAUAGAUAUUUCAAAAGGGAGUUGAAAAAUGGAGAAAAACAAGACAGGAAUUGGUUACUUUAUUCAAAAGCAUAAGACAAAAUCUAUUGCUUUUGUUGUAAGUUGUUUAGACGGGAACAAGAUGCCACUCAGUUGUCAAGCACAUGAUUCAACGAUUGGAGGAAUGUCAAGAUAAGACUCAGCCAACAUGAAACUAGCCAUAGUCACAUCUUUUGCAUGGGUCAAUGGAUAGAAUUAAUUGAGAUUGGGAAAGGAGCAUACCAUUGAUAAGUAUUUACAAGAAGAAGUCAAAAGAGAGAAAAAUCAUUGGAGAGAAAUUUUGUUGAGACUUUUUGCAUUGGUGAAAAAUCUUGCUAAGCAGAAUAUAGCAUUCCGUGAAACUAAGGAGAAGAUUGGUGAGAGAAAUAAUGUAAACUUCUUGAGAUUCAUUGAAACGUUUGAAGAGUUUGAUUCACUUACGCAGGAGCAUAUCAAACGAGUUAAAGAAGGUAAAAUUCACUAUCACUAUCUAAGCCCCAAAAUCCAGAAUAAGUUGAUUGUUAUGCUAGGAUCUAAAUUCAAACGUAUGAUCAUCAAAAAAAAUUCAAGAGACAAAAUAUUUAUCAGUAAUUCUCGAUUGUACUUUAGAUAAAAGUCAUAAAGAGCAAAUGAGUUUUGUUAUCAGAUGUGUUGAUGUCUCCACCACAACGACACGAGUUGAAGAACUUUUUGUGACGUUUUUAGAAGUCGUCGAUAGAUCGGGGAAGGACUUUUUGAGUUGCUUUGUUAUACAUUGGGUGAUCUCAAGUUGAAAAUCGAUGAUGUGAGAGGACAAGGCUAUGAUAAUGGAUCCAAUAUGAAAGGAAAACACAAAAGAGUACAAAAGUGAUUGCUUGAUAUCAAUUCAGUAGCAUUUUAUACGUCAUGUGGUUGCCACAGUCUUAAUUUGGCACUUGCUGAUAUGACCAAAUCAUCUUGAAAAGCGAUUUCAUUCUUUGGAAUUAUCCAACGCAUCUAUUGCUUGUUUUCAUCCUCUACACCUAGGUGAGAACUCCUAAAGCGAUGGUAGGAGGUCUCACACUUAAGCCAUUAUCAGAGACUCGUUGGGAAAGUCGCGUUGAAAGUGUUCGAGCAAUUCGUUUUCAAGAUCCAAGAUCAAUCUUGAAACUUCUCUUAAACAUGGAGAGAAUUCAGACAUUGAUGGGGAUCAUUUAUUUUUGGAGCUUAAAGUUCUAAGAGAAGUUUUACCAAGAGAGAUCAAGAAGCCUAUUGAGGAAUUGGAUUUUUUGAAAAAGUUUGAAAGUUGUUAUCCAAAUAAAUGGGUUACUUUUAGAGUGAUGUUAACCGUUCCAGUUUCCGUCGCCUCGGCUGAAAGAAGUUUUUCCAAGUUAAAGUUGAUAAAAUCUUACUUGCAUUCUACUAUGUCGGAAGAAAGAUUGAAUGGGCUGGCUAUAUUGUCAAUGAGAGGGACAUGGUUGGAGAGCUGGACUGUACAAGUUGGAUGGAUAACUUUGCCGAGAAAAACGCAAGAAGAAGUUUGUUCAAAAAAUCGAAACAAAUAUUGAAUUUUGAUUGUUUUUUUGUUGAAUUUGUGUUUCAUGGCUAGUUUUAUAUUUAUGUUUGAAACCAAAUAUGUUUGAGCUUGAUUAUGGUUUUAAGGUGCGACAUAAGGACCUCCGUUUUUGUCAGGGCCUACUCUGUCUCAAUAUUAUGUAAAAUAGCCUAACUAAGGCCUAAACUAUCAUCUCCUAAUUUCUGGACAUUUUAUAAUUAUUCUCACCGCUUGUUUUUAAAUUAUCAACAAAUUAUACUUUUUCUGAAAUAAUUUCAAAAACCUAUUAAAAAUAUUGAUAAAGUCAACACUAAAAUUUUCUCAUCAUCAAACUUAUAGCAUCUCCAAUGGCUCAAUAUUUCUCCCAAUGGUUUCUCUCAACAAAAUUGUUGAAAAACUAAUUCAGAAACCUUUUAAUCGGAGAGAGAUGUCUCUCUUGAGAAAAACUUUUGAUGAGAUGAGAAACGUGUACGUGGCAUGUUCUCAUUGGAUGUUUUAUGUGACAAAACUGAAGGAAAAAAACGCAUGGAAAAAAUUGUUUCUCAUCUCUCUCUCUCUCUCUCUCUCUCUCUCUCUCUCUCACGUUCUCUCUCUCUCACGUUCUCUCUCUCUCUCUCUCUCUCUCUCUCUCUCUCUCUCUCUCUCUCUCUCUCUCUCUCUCUCUCUCUCUCUCUAUCUCUCUCUCUCUCUCUCUCUCUCUCUCUCUCUCAACGAAACGACGAUGGCGAAGGCGACGGCGACAGAGCCGGACUUUUGAUCCGACGAUUAAGGUUCAAUUGAAGCAGUCGAUCUGUUGUAUGAGCAGUUGUUGGGCAUGAGCAAACGACGACGACGACGGAUGCGGAUCCGUCUUUUGCAAAACCGGUGGUCACGAGCGCAUGUGGAAAAUGAAUCGAAUCGGAGAAUCGCUGACUGAAGCUCAUAACUGGUAAGAAUCUAUUUCUUUCUGCAAUUUAUCAUGAUUUAAUUUGGGAAAUUUGAUGUUUCUUUUAGGGUUAUUUGAAUUCUGAAUUUAGGGUUUUAUAUUGUAAGCAUUGAGUAGGAGUUUUUUUUAUUAUCAAUGGAGGCUAAGUGUUUGUUAUUUGACAUGAUUGAUGUGAGGAUGAGUCAUUGAAUGUUUGAUUUAGGGUUUUUAGUUUUUGUUAAUCAAAUUACGGUGAAUUGAAAACAUAUUUGAUCUGUGAUUCAUGCUUUCAUAUGUGUCUACAACAUGUUUGGCAACUUUUUUUGAGGGAAUCGUUUUCACCUGAAGAAUAUAUUAACACGUAAUAAAAUCUUGGAUCAAGAAAAAUAUCAUAACUUGUAAACAUAUAUACUAGGAAGUGUUGGCAAACAAUCAUACAUAAGUUAUGAUAAAUCUUAAUCGCUACUAAAGCCUUUGCGAUUUUGUUGUUUAUGUAAUAAAAUUUAUAUUCUUAUAAUUGUUUGGCCUCUUCUUGAAGCUAACAUGAAGGAACUAGCAAGAGAUUGAGAAGCUUGUGAAAUUCAAUCGCUUGGUACUUCUUAAACUAAGAGUCUAAGAUUCAUAACCAAAGAGGUUAGACAAAUAAAAUCUCCUCUCUCUUUUGUGCGGGAACAAUUUUGACUGCAUACCCUUUAUACUUAUGUGAAUAUCAGAAAAAAAAAAUCCUAUUUUUUUAGAAACACCAAAAGAGUCAAUCUCUUUUAUCUAUAAAUAUUUUAAUCUUGUUUCCUGUUUAUACCUUGUGUUUAUUCUUCUUGGUAUCACAGUGGUCAGAGAGAGAUUGUGCUUUUGUGUUUAGUUUAUAUGCCUGCAAUCUUUUUGUAUCAAGAAGUGUUUAGUUUAAUUGUUGUGAUAAAUUUACCUUGCAUUCGUGUCAAAGGGAAAGGAAUAUUGAAGACUGGGCAUGGAUAAACGUUAAGAGCAAUAUUCUAAUGGUUAAGAGAUCAAUAGAAAAUAUGUGUGCAAGCCUCACGAUUUGAUAUGAAACAGUAGAACAAGAUCAUUAGUGCUUAUAUAACACUCAUUAAAAAUGAAGUGUUGAUUCUAACAUAGUUUCUCUGAUUCUCCAUAUAGUGAAUAACAUUAUUUCCUUCUGUUUGAUGUUUAGGCUAAUAUGAUUUUGUUUUCUCUAUUUUUGUGAGGUUAAAUGGAGUGGUUGUGGAGACGAUUGGUACAAGUAGAGAACGCAAGAUAUAUUUAUCACAUCAACUAAAUCAAGGCAUAUUUAAAAGUGGUUGUUGUCUCAUUGAUUACCGGUUUGUGUUUAAUAUAGAGUUAAGCGUAUAAGUACACUUUCAUUCUUCUAUUUCCUUCUUCUUUAACCUUCAAUUUUCUCUGAAUUUCUCGUUUCCAUCUUCUUCAACCUUCUUCUUUAACCUGCUUCUUUAAUGGAUGAUAUGAAUCCAUUUUAUCAGUCUUCGGGUUUCAUAGACCUAUUGCAUAGUCAGCAAGAAGACAUAAUCGUUUUGCAAGUGGAUCAUCUGAAGUCCCAACCUUUAAUACACAAAUGUUUGAAGAAGGAAGUGAAGAUGAAGUAACACUCAUGGGUUGUACACAAGAUGAAGUCAAACCGAAGGUUGGUUUAUCACAAAAGAAAUGGUUUCCCAAAGAAGAUAUUGUUCUCGUCAGGGCAUGGCUUAACACUAACAAGGAUCAUGUGAUUGGUAAUGACCAACAAUGUCAAUCAUUCUUGAAACAGAUUGCAUCAUAUGUUGCAAUCAGUCCGCAACUUGAUUAUCUGCCAAAGAGAGAGCAUGCUAAAUGUAAGCAAAGGUGGUCAAAGGUCAAUAAAAGUGUGACCAAGUUUGUAGGUUGUUAUAAGACGGCAACAACUCAUAAAACUAGUGGACAAAGUGAGGAUGAUGUAAUGAAGUUGGCUUAUGAAAUCUACUACAAUGAUACCAAGAAGAAGUUCAACUUAGAGCAUACGUGGAGAAAGUUAAGGUAUGAUCAAAAAUGGUGUGAAGCUGCAACUAUUAAAGGGAAUAAAAAUGCUAAAAGAAAGUGUGUCGAUGGUUAUUGAUAUGGUUCAAAUUACCUAGAACUACUCUCUCAAAUAAGAGAUCAAUUGCAGUAUUUUAGGAUCGAAUUCACGGAGUUCUUUUGUUAAAACAGUUAGUUAAAUGUCGAGAUUAAGCUAGCAGGGUAAUAGUGAAAAUAAAGGAGAACAAAGUAAAAAGACAGCAGAUUGAUUGUGUUGUAAACGAUUUAAUAAAGAGCUAGGAACAGGGUAUUCUCAAGAAACUAUUGGUUAGUAGAUUUAAUGAAAGCUAGGUUGUUAUCGAACCAUUCUUAAACUCAAACUCUAAUUAUGGAAUAACCGGCGGGCUUGCCGCGAAACUCCCUAUAUCUAUAGCUAAUAAUAACCGGAGAAGCCGAGAAACUAUCAACAUAAAUAUGCAUUCUUAACGAGUUCAAUUGUUCAUCUUAGUAGAUAGGCCGAUUCUUAUUACACACCUAUAAACCAGAUUCAUCAUAUAAUAGAUCCAACUACAGAUACCUAUGGGCUAUGGCGGGCAUAUCUAUUGUCUGGAUUCAAGAUCUAGUUAAAUACUCUAGAUCUAGCAUUAGACAUGAUUAAAGAUGAAAAAUUCUACAUAUAACCUAGCAAAGGGGGCAAUCUACUAAACCAUAUGAAUCCCUAAUGAGAAACCCUAUUCCUAACAAGCAGACUACUCAGACAUAUUGGAUGAAGCAAACAACAUAUUCGAGUGUGAAAACAUAAACACAGUAAUAGAGGUAAGAGUUAGAAAAGAUCUCUUCACUGUAUUAAGAACUGGAAUGAAUCUCUCAAGAACAAAUGGAUGAAUAGCUUCUGUCUCUCACAAUAAGGUUUGCAAAGAACUUGAUAAAACAAACUUAGGUCUAAAAGCAAGAUAUAUAAAACCCUAAAAACGUCCAGGGACUAAUAAUGCAAAUAGGAAAGUUUCUGGGGCAAAUUUCCUCUUCUGUAAACUUGAAAGCGUCUAGGGUUUUUGCUGGGGCCGAAACUGGUGUCGAUUGACACCAAGAGUGUGUCGAUCGACACUCCUCGCUGAUUCCUGAACCAAAGUCAUCCUUAGCUUCCUUUUUCUUAGUGUUUGCUCCAAAAUGUCUCCUUAUCUCUAUUGUUGUCCCAUUGCAUAGAGUACCUGAAAAGACACUAAAAACACUCGAGAAAUAACAUAAAGACUCAAAAUCCUAUACCUAAAACAUAGUUAAAAUCGGUGAAAAUCGGGUUAUAUCAACUCCCCUAGACUUAGCUUUUGCUUGCCCUCAAGCAAAACACAAAAGCUGAACCCGUGGAAGAGGUUUUGAAAACAAAGGAACUCCCAACAUUCUCUAGCCUAUUGCCAUGAUCUUUCAAACUAAGUCCAUAUGCCUAACAAGUCUAAUCAAAUCCUAACCAACAUAUACUUCUCUGCAAGCUUACACAACAUUCUAGAUUCCAUACCUAAGUUCCACAACUAUAUCCACCAUGCUUUCAUCGCUGGGUCUCAUCAAACAAGCCAGCAUUCAAGAUCCUUCUAGACUCAUUCAUGUACUAUACCAUGAUAAAUUGACCAUUCUUUUAUAUAUUUUUUCUUUUUCGGUGUUCUUUCUCUACCCCAGACUUAUUCUUUUUAGAGAUUAAAGAAAGGGGAACUCGCAUACUGGAUCGACAUCCUCAGCAUUUUUCCAACCUUUGUAAUUGAUCAUUCCAAAUAAUGUAUAAUAAUGGGGUCAUAGAAAACAUUCCUACCCCUAUACACUAUCUGAAAGUCAUCUCAAUCUCUCAUUAUCUUUUUCUUUUUAUAAGGUGAGAGGAACAUAUUCUUUUUUAUCACAUUGGUCUCAAUAUCAGGUACGAACAAGGAGUCAAGAUGUAUGAAUACUAAUCGUUUGAAGAAGUAAAAGGAAGAGCAGUGAGAUUAGCUCCAGCCUUAGUGGUUGAGUUGGAAACUAGGAUAUCCUCAAGUCUGUUAGUUUGCCAACUAGAUUUUCCAAUAGUCGGAUUGACUCGAACCUGCAGCACUCAUCAAUCAGGCAAUAAACAAGUAAACUAAAGAAAACGUUUCUUUUUUUUUUUUUUUUUUAGAGUUAGAAAAUAAAAGAAAUAACCAAAUGAAUUGCAAAACGAAAAAUAAUAAGAAACAAAAAUAAAAGCCAUAUUAGUACGAACCUCCCCCAGACUUAAACGACAUUUUCCCCAGUGGCAUUCAAAUCCAGAGAAAGCGGGAAAAAUAAAUCAAAAAUAGAAGAAAAGAAAAGAGAGGGAAAAGAAAAAUCAAACCAGUGGGUUGCCUCCCACUAAGCGCUUGUUUUGAGUCAAUAGGUUGACUUGGCGGAGUUCAGGAUGUGGGUGGAGUGGUGGAGGAUUGAUGCUGCCUCCUCGCCUUCCAAGGCGGUGUGUAAACGGAUAUGGUUCGAGCAGCUUCUGGUGUCGAUCGACACUCAGGGGUGUGUCGAUCGACACUCAGGGGUGUGUCGAUCGACACUCUUCUCGUCACCUGCAAAAACAACAGGAGAAACAAGCUUUCGAGGAAUCUAGGCUUGUUAUCAUGUGAAGCAGUCUUCGAAUAAUCCAAAGAAUUAAUCAAAGAUAAAACAGGAGAAGAGAGAGAAGAGAACUUAUCACAUAGGUCCUCAAGUGGUGUGGGCUGAAGAGAAUCUGCAAAAUUCUCUGUCCGUGAAUCCCGAGGGUGUCGAUCGACAGGGGUAGUCACCGUUGCUCUACAACUCUCAUUGGCGAGCUGAACGUGUUGGAGCGUUGUGUGUUGCUCUAUGGUGGGAUUCUGAUCAGUCUGAGGAGGUGUGCCUAUGCUAGAAGCAAUGCAACUGAUAGGCUUAGUAAGCUUUGAACCAUCCAUGCCAAACUCCAUCUCCGAAUCACAAACCUUGAGAGAGAUUCUCCCUCUCUUCACAUCAAACCUAGCACCAGCUGUAACUAGGAAUGCUCUUCCAAGGAUAAGGGGAUCCUUGGGUUCCUUUUCAUAGUCCAGGACCACAAAAUCAGCAGGGAUAACAGAGUUACCAACCUUAACAGGAACAUCUUCAAGGAUUCGCUUGGAACGAUCCGCAAUGAGAAGAGUAAUGCGAGUAGGCUUGUAGUGAGUCAUGCCUAGUCUCUUAGUAACAGACUUAGGCAUGAGGUUGAUGCUUGAUCCCAGAUCACAUAAAGAGCGGCUGAAUCUGCUUGUGGAGAUAGAGCAAUCAAGAACAAAGCUACCUGGAUCUGGAAGCUUCUCGGUGCUCUGACCAGGAGUAAUGGUGCGGAUGUACUCAGCUAUGUCUACUCUCUAUGCCUUCUCCUUCUUGGCCUUAGGCAGCAUGAUUGCACUGAUGUCUCUGGUAAGUACCUUAGCUUCAUCUGAGCUAAUUUCAUUGUCAACAAGUCGCUUGACAUACAUGUUGAGUGAAGCAGAAGAUGUCUCAGAAGCAUCCUUAGGAAGAGUAUGGAGGAUCUUCUCCAUUAUGGAUGUGCACUUAGCAGCAUGAAUCUCUUGCUUAGAAAGACGCCUCCUCGGAUACGGGACAUGAGGAGUGUAGACAGACUCGGGCAGCAUAGGUAUUUGCACCUCAUAAGGUGUUGUCCGGAUCCAGUGUCGAUCGACACUAGAGGGGUAUCGAUCGACACCGUCGUAUUGAGUCGUCUCUGAGAAUAGCGUCCCAUAUGGUGCCGAUCAACACAGGAGGGUGUCGGUCGACACCAUCUCUGCAACUGCGAGCUCCAACUCGUCUUCAGUGUCCAAUUCCUCCCACACAUCAUCUCCUUCUCUGAUCAAGAUGGCAUUGCGGCUCUUCCUUGGGUUAGCAUCAGGAUUACCAGGAAGAAAACCCUCUUGUCUCUUGAUAGAUUGUGCAGUUUGAGCUUCUUGUACAUCUAGCUUCUUCAAGUGAGAGCUCUGAUUAUCGAUCUUCCCAUUAAGAUCUGUGUAGACAGCAUCAAACUUGCCAUUAAACUCCACAACAAGCUUAGUCUGGCUCUCUAGAAUCUGCUCAAGCAUCGAUUCCAUUCUUGUCUCUACUAAGGGUGGAGGGGGGGCUUGGUAAGUUGAAUUACCAUAGUUCCUUUGAAAGAUGCUUUGAGGAAAGGUCUUUUGGAAAGCAGGCUUUGGAGUGUAGUUGAAGGAACCCUAGUUCCCUGUAAACCUGUUGCCACUGAAGUUGCCCUGUGGCUGCCCAAACUUCCUGUAUCCCUGACCAUCUAUGUAGAAGACUCCUUCUUCUGACUCAGGCUCAGGCUCAAUAGUUUCUUCUUUAGCUGCAAAGUGGACAUGCUUCUUCCCUGUGAGCAAGUUAUGAACUGAAUCUAGCUUAGCAUUCACCUCUGCCAUCUGAUUUCCUGAAAUAGCUCCAGCAAUCUUCUUCCUCUCAAAAUCAGCAUUCUUGGUACUGUUGCUGCAAGCGAGGUUCUAUAUAAGGGUUGUAGCAUCAGCUGGGUAACGUGUAUUGAAGUUACCAUUGCUCGCUGCAUCUAGAGCCAUCUGGUAUCUCCAAUUAACUCCUCUAAAGAAGGUACCUAAAAGUUGUACCUCACGGAAACCAUGAUGUGGGCAAUCUCGUUGGUACUCCUUGAAACGAACCCAAGCAGCCUUGAAAGCUUCAGCUGGACCCUGUGUGAAGGUAGAGAGCUUAUUUCUCAACUCCUCAGACUUAGCAUCAUCGUAGAAAUUGUUCAAGAAGGCUAUCUUGAUGCUUCUCCAAGUCUUGAGGGAACCUGCUUUAAGUUGUUUCAGCCAAGAAGUUGCUUCCCCAGAAAGUGAAUAAGGGAAGAGCUUGCACACUAGGUAGUCCUCUGAGACUCCAUUAGCCUUGAUGCUCAGAACAAGGUCCUCUAAUCGCUCGAUAUGAUCCAUUGGUUGCUCAUGAGAUAAGCCAUGGAAAGGAUGCUCGCCAACUAAAGCAAAGUAGCCAGGCUUCAGCUCAUAGUCGUUUCUCUGGAAUGGUGGGGAUACAAUCGCUGAUCGAUUAGCAUAGAACCGGUCUGACCUGUUGAAAUCCCCAAGAGUACGACGUGGUUCCACAGCUAGAGGAAUAGCUGCAAGAAUCUGGUGUUGGUGUCGAUCGACACCUCUGUUGUGUCGUUCGACACCUAUUGCAUUUGCGUGCUGCUCCCGAUGGUGUCGAUCGACACCCAGUUGGUGUCGCUCGACACCGAGCCCUGCUGCAUCUCUAGCAGCUAACUGCGCAUUGAGGCGCGCUUGAUCCUCAUUGGCGUCCUCAGGUAGGAUGAGUCCAUGAUCAUCCAAUCUCUGACCAGCCUCAUUGUAGGCUUGUCCAUCCUCAUCUCUCAAAACUCCUUUUGCAUCAGCUCUGAUGACUCUCUCAGCCAUUGCUAAUUUCUUAGUUUUUGUUAAUCAAAUUACGGUGAAUUGAAAACAUAUUUGAUUUGUGAUUCAUGCUUUCAUAUGUGUCUACAACAUGUUUGGCAGCUUUUUUGAGGUAACCGUUUUCACCUGAAGAAUAUGUUAACACGUAAUGAAAUUUUGGAUCAAGAAAAAUAUCAUAACUUGUAAACAUAUAUACUAGGAAGUGUUGGCAAACAAUCUUACAUAAGUUAUGAUAAAUCUUAAUCGUUACUAAAGCCUUUGCGAUUUUGUUGUUUAUGUAAUAAAUUUAUAUUCUUAUAAUUGUUUGGCCUCUUCUUGAAGCUAACAGGAAGGAACUAGCAAGAGAUUGAGAAGCUUGUGAAAUUCAAUCGCUUGGUACUUCUUAAACUAAGAGUCUAAGAUUCAUAACCAAAGAGGUUAGACAAAUAAAAUCUCCUCUCUCUUUUGUGCGGGAACAAUUUUGAAUGCAUACCCUUUAUACUUAUGUGAAUAUCAAAAAAAAAAAAUCUUAUUUUUUUAGAAACUCCAAAAGAGUCAAUCUCUUUUAGCUAUAAAUAUUUUAAUCUUGUUUCCUGUUUAUACCUUGUGUUUAUUCUUCUUGGUAUCACAGUGGUCAGAGAGAGAUUGUGCUUUUGUGUUUAGUUUAUAUGCCUGCAAUCUUUUUGUAUCAAGAAGUGUUUAGUUUAAUUGUUGUGAUAAAUUUACCUUGCCUUCGUGUGAAAGGGAAAGGAAUAUUGAAGACUGGGCAUGGAUAAACGUUAAGAGCAAUAUUCUAAUGGUUAAGAGAUCAAUAGAAAAUAUGUGAGCAAGCCUCACGGUUUGAUAUGAAACAGUAGAACAAGAUCAUUAGUGCUUAUAUAACACUCAUUAAAAAUGAAGUGUUGAUUCUAACAUAGUUUCUCUGAUUCUCCAUAUAGUGAAUAACAUUAUUUCCUUCUGUUUGAUGUUUAUGCUAAUAUGAUUUUGUUUUCUCUAUUUUUGUGAGGUUAAAUGGAGUGGUUGUGGAGACGAUUGGUACAAGUAGAGAACGCACGAUAUAUUUAUCACAUCAACUAAAUCAAGGCAUAUUUAAAAGUGGUUGUUGUCUCAUUGAUUACCGGUUUGUGUUUGAUAUAGAGUUACGCGUAUAAGUACACUUUCAUUCUUUUAUUUCCUUCUUCUUUAACCUUCAAUUUUCUCUGAAUUUCUUGUUUCCAUCUUCUUCAACCUUCUUCUUUAACCUGCUUCUUUAAAAUGGAUGAUAUGAAUCCAUUUUAUCAGUCUUCGGGUUUGAUAGACUUAUUGCAUAGUCAGCAAGAAGACAUCAAUCGUUUUGCAAGUGGAUCAUCUGAAGUCCCAGCCUUUAAUACACAAAUGUUUGAAGAAGGAAGUAAAGAUAAAGUAACACUCAUGGGUUGUACACAAGAUGAAGUCAAACCGAAGGUUGGUUUAUCACAAAAGAAAUGGUUUCCCAAAGAAGAUAUUGUUCUUGUCAGGGCAUGGCUUAACACCAACAAGGAUCAUGUGAUUGGUAAUGACCAACAAUGUCAAUCAUUCUUGAAACAGAUUGCAUCAUAUGUUGAUAUCAGUCCGCAACUUGAUGAUCUGCCAAAGAGAGAGCAUGCUAAGUGUAAGCAAAGGUGGUCAAAGGUCAAUAAAAGUGUGACCAAGUUUGUAGGUUGUUAUAAGACGGCAACAACUCAUAAAACUAGUGGACAAAGUGAGGAUGAUGUAAUGAAGUUGGCUUAUGAAAUCUACUACAAUGAUACCAAGAAGAAGUUCAACUUAGAGCAUACGUGGAGAAAGUUAAGGUAUGAUCAAAAAUGGUGUGAAGCUGCAACUAUUAAAGGGAAUAAAAAUGCUAAAAGAAAGUGUGUCGAUGGUUAUUGAUAUGGUUCAAAUUACCUAGAACUACGCUAUCAAAUAAGAGAUCAAUUGCAGUAUUUUAGGAUCGAAUUCACGGAGUUCUUUUGUUCAAACAAUGAGUUAAAUGUCAAGAUUAAGCUAGCAGGGUAAUAGUGAAAAUAAAGGAGAACAAAGUAAAAAGACAACAGAUUGAUUGUGUUGUAAAUGAUUUAAUAAAGAGCUACGAACAAGGUAUUCUCAAGAAACUAUUGGUUAGUAGAUUUAAUGAAAGCUAGGUUGUUAUCGAACCAUUCUUAAAUUCAAACUCUAAUUAUGGAAUAACCGGUGGGCGUGCCGCAAAACUCCCUAUAUCUACAGCUAAUAAUAACCGGAGAAACCGAGAAACUAUCAACCUAAAUAUGCAUUCUUAACGAGUUCAAUUGUUCAUCUUAGUAGAUAGGCCGAUUCUUAUUACACACCUAUAAACCAGACUCAUCAAAUAAUAGAUCCAACUACAGAUACCUAUGGCGGGAAUAUCUAUUGUCUGGAUUCAAGAUCUAGUUAAUUACUCUAGAUCUAGCAUUAAGCAUAAUUAAAGAUGAAGAAUUCUACAGAUAACCUAGCAAAGGGGGCAAUCUACUAAACCAUAUGAAUCCCUAAUGAGAAACCCUAUUCCUAACAAGCAAAUUACUCAGACAUAUUGAAUGAGACAAACAACAUAAUUGAGUAUGAAAGCAUAAACACAUCAAAGGAGAUAAGAGUUAGAAAAGAUUUCUUCACUGUAUUAAGACUUGGAAUGAAUAUCUCAAGAACAAUGGAUGAAUAGCUUAUGUCUCUCCCAAUAGUGUUUGCAUAAAACUUGAUAAAAGACUUGAUAAUGAGAACUAGGUCUACAAACAAUAUAUAUAGACCCUAAAAAAGUCCAGGGACUAAUAAUGCAAAUAGGAAAAUCUUCUGGGGCAAAUUUGAUAUUCUGUAAACUCGAAAGCGUUUAGGGUUUUUGCUGGGCCGAAACUGGUGUCGAUCGACACCAAGAGUGUGUCGAUCGACACCAAGAGUGUGUCGAUCGACACUCCUCGCUGAUUCCUGAACCAAAAUCAGCCUUAGCUUUUGCUCCUAAAUGUCUCCUUAUCUUCAUUGUUGUUUCAUUGCAUAGAAUACCUGAAAAGACACUAAAAAGACUCGAGAAAUAACAUAAAGACUCAAAAUCCUAUACCUAAAAACAUGGAUAAAAUCAGUAAAAAUCGGGUUAUAUCAGCUACCAAUGUUUUUUUAAUCUUUUUGGCAUGGAUACAAAUCUUAGUGUUAAACUCUUUUUGUAAAGCCUCAAACUUUUAUUUUAUAUGAUAUUCACAUUCUUAUGAUAGCUUAAUAUACACAAAAGAUCUUUUCAAAAGAUCAAUUAAAAUAGGGGAAAUUAAAUCUAAAGGAGUUCUACAAACAAAAUUGUCCAUAUACACCUUUUUUUGGAGAAUGCCAAUUUGGACGAAAAUACCCUUACUCUAUAUUAUAAGCAUUUUUAAAAAAAUUUAACAUUGAUAACAUAUAGAUCUACAAGAAUAUAGAUAAUUUGUAAAAAAAAAAUUGUUAUUUAGUUGAAAGAAAGUUGAUUUUUUGAUAGAUAAAUUUUAGUCUAAAUUAUUUAGAAAACGAUUUCUAGUGAUCUACUUAAUUUAGAAUUUCUAUUCUAAUAUUUUGUACAUAUUUUACGAAUAUUUAGACUAUUUUUCUUUCUAACAAUCUUAGAAAAUAGGAUAUUCAAUAUCUAAUUAUUGUAGAACAUGUAUUCUAAAAUUUUCUUCUUGUUCUAAACUAUGUGUGAAAUUGUAUUCUAAGAAUUUCUAUAGUUUCUGAAAACAUUAGAAAACGUUUUCUAAGAAAUUUUCACUUUUAGAAUUCAUAUUCUAACCAAAUUUAGAAUUUUGUUUCUAAACUAUUUAGAAUUCCUAGAUAUAGAAAGUGAAUCUUUGAAAAAGGAAAGUAAAUAUUUAAUAAAUAUUUCGGUUUCACAAAAUACUUUCUGUUAAGAUUACGAUUUUUACUGGAUUUAGAAAACAAAUUCUAAUUUUUUAGAAUUAAAAGAAAAAACGCCAAAAGAAAACGUGCCUUAGUCGAUUAAUUUGUGCCCUAUCAUUGAUCUCUUCUUCUUCACGUUCUUCCUUUUUCAUCUCGUGUUCUGUUUUUCAUUAUGCAUAUCUAUGUGAGGAGUGGUAUUUGGAGAUUGUAUGAUAACAAGGAGUGGAGAUUUAUUGUUGAUGAAAAAAAUCGUGGGAGAUUGUUGUUUUUGGAAUUGAAUACAACUUUUGAAGAGCUUAAGCUGAUGGUCAGAGAAGACUAUGGAAUAGAACAGAGUACAAUCGAUGUGGAGUUAAGCUACUUACCCACGGAUCUUAGCGUUGAUUGUCCUCCUAAUGUUAUGAUAAAUAACAGACAGGUUAGUAAUUUUCUUUCCUAUUGCAAAAAGAAAAAAACCGUAAAGUUAUGUGUGACGUUCAAUGGUGGAGUUGAAGAUAAAGGAGGUAAAGAAAAUUUUGAUUUGAAUAAGGAACCAAAUGCUCCAAGCGAUGGAGAUGCUUGUUUUAAUGCUGACGAAAAAGUAUUAGGUAGAGAGGUGGAAAAGACAAACAGUCUGUCAUCGAUUUGGCCAAAAGUCCAAAAAAGCGAAAGCAUCAUCAGGGUGCAAGUGAUGGAGUGGGAUCAUCGUCGAAGUCUUUUUCUGUAAAAAAGGAGCAAUAUUUCAGAAGUAAAGAUGUUUUGAAGGCAACAAUGGAGUUGUAUGCGAUGAAGUAUAACUGCGACUACAUGAGUACAAAGUCUGAUAAGAAAUUUUGGUGUAUACGAUGCGUAGAUGUGGUCUGCAAGUGGAGUCUUCGAGCGGAGCGUUUAGAGAGAUCUCUGUAUUUUAAAGUCAACAAGUUUAUGGAUGACCAUUCAUGUGCUCCUUCCAGGAAAUUUUUUUUUGUCGCACAUCUUCAACCAAAACAAUUGGACGUCUCAUUAUGCAUAAUUAUGAACGUGUGUUAGAAGGUCCUAAACCGAAUGAUAUCAGCAAUAUUAUUCGCACACAAUACGGACACGAGCUAACUUAUCAUCAGGCGUGGGAGGCUCGUGAGUAUGCAGUUAACGAGGUCAGAUGAAUUCCUGAGAAAAGUUAUGGGAAGAUACCAAAAUACUUGUACAUGCUAGAACAAGCGAAUCCUGGUACUUAUACAAACUACGAAGUUGAUGGUGAGAAUAGAUUCAAAUAUCUAUUUAUAUCUUUCGGUCAGUCUAUUAGAGGGUUUUACAAGCCUAUUCGGAAAGUGAUUGUGGUUGACGGUACGUUUUUGAAAAGCAAAUACAAAGGAGUUAUGUUGGUAGCUACAGCAGUAGAUGGUAACUCCAAUUUGUAUCCAAUUGCAUUUGGAGUUGCUGAUUCCGAGAAUGAUUCUUCAUGGCAAUGGUUUUUUAUACAACUUAAGAAACUCAUAGCGGAUGAAGAAGACUUAGCUUUUGUGUCAGAUAGGCAUUUCUCGAUCACUAAAUCGCUUGAAAAAAUCUAUCCAUUGGCAUCUCAUGGUAUUUGCAUAGAAAAUCGAAGAGGCUUGUUUCCAAACACAAACCAGAGUUCAUGUUUCUUCCUAGUUACCAACUGUCUAGACAGUAAGCUAUGCAAACAGAGUAUCCUAAACGGUUUUCAAAUAUGGCAAAGACAUGUGCAAACAGAGGAUCACUCUUCACUUCCUUAUACUCUAGUGGCAUAGCUUUCUUGAUUCUCUUGAGGAGAGCUGUUUUGCAGAAGUUGUUGACUUUUCCAACAAGAGGCUCUCUACCAUGUCUGAAUAAGCGCUUCGGAUACUCCUUAUUAAUGUCUGCACAUAACAAUCACUUAUAUGUUAGUAAAACAAGAGAUAAUAGCUGCAGCGUUAUUAGUAAAUAGCUCUCAUGAGAAACAAAAAUAAAUUGUAUCUUAAAGUACUUGAACUCAUACUCGUGAUGCCUUCAUCGGUUUCCAUUAAGAAGCUACACCACAGAUAUAAUAUAGAUAAAAAACCUGAAAAAACAUAGUACCCACGUUAGCAAUCAAGAAGAGGAAAGACAAAACAAGAAGAAAAAUAUGACAUGAAAAUUAUCAAAGACCGCUAAUCACAUGACCACCAUCUCUUAGUUUCAAAGCAGUUAUCAUGAUAAGGUAAUGUGAAUAUGUGGAUCUUUGUCUCUAAAAAAUGAAGCUUCUUAAUGGAAACCGACUAUUGAUCACGUGAUUAAAUAGCAAUAGUCAGACAGGACUUUUGGAACCUCCCAUAUCAUCAUCAUCGUAAGUAAAUGAUUAAGAAUAAGAUAAGUAUCUCACCAUCUUAUUAAAUAGCAAUAGUCAAAAUAAGAUCACGUGAUCAAAUCCCAAUAACUAUGUGUUCAAACCCACAUAAAUCUUAUUCUAUAAAACCAACAAGCUUUAGAAGUCUCUCGUCUCUCUCUUUCUCUAACACACAUCUCUAUCCAAGAUUUUCAAGUUACAGUCACAGAGAAACAGAACAAUGUCAUAAACGAUUAUAUUGGAAACAAAAAAAAAGAAAACGAUAAGAGAGAGGGAGAGAUCUCUCACAGAUCAGUCCAAAUGAGUUAAUCACAUAAUUAUCAAACUUCCGAGCACUUUCGAAACUAAUGAUUGACAUUAUGAUUUCCCACUUAACUUUAUUAUUCUAAAACUUUAGUAUAUUAGUCCAAGUUGAACUCUUCAGCAAAUAUAUCUUAUAUAAUUGAUUGUUCUCAUAUUGUUUAAUAUAACGUUAGUAUAAACAAAGACUACAUCAACUUCGCAUUCGCACUAUAGAAACAGGAUAAUAAUUGUAUAUAUCAACUAAAAUUUCAUGAUAUUUUUUCUCAUCUACUAAGAUAUACUAGUAUAACUUUCUCUUUCUCUAACACACAUCUCUAUCCAAAAAUUUCAAGUUACAGUCACAGAGAAACAGAAAAAAAAAAAGUCAAAAGGUUUCAAGAGUCCUAAAAGAAAUUCCAAGAAGAGAACUCACAAUGAAGAGAUAUUGUUCAGUGGCUGAUGUUCUCUGUUAACGACGACACAUUCGAGUCAAGCUGUGAGAGAUUUGCUUGUAAGCAAGGAGAUGAAGAAAGAGCCACUUAAAGGAGAAAUAAACCAGAAAAUUGUGACAAUCAAAGACAUCAUGACGAGAUCCCAAACAUAUAAACACCAAAUGUAUAAACAAGAUAAACCUUCAAAUCAACUAAAGCUUCUUAUGCGUAAAAAACUAAAGCUUUCAAAGACUAAGAUGCCCAAGUUAAAAUCAAACCUUAAACCCAAAAUUGAGGCCCUAAAUUACAAGUAUGAAAAACGAAAUUCAUCUAACUAUGUCUUAAUCUAUAAUUUCAAACACAAACACAAAUACAUUAAAAUGAAUCAAAGAGCUAGAUGAGUUAUUAAGUCUACAUGCAAUCCCUUAAAAUUAAGAGUCAAGAAAUUGAAUCCUCUCUACAAGUAAUAUGAAUUCUAAGAAAUUAAGACGGACCUUGGCGGUUUUGGUGGCGGAGAAGGAAGGGAGGUUGAGAUGAGUGGUCACGACGGUGAUUGAAGAAGAUUCAAGUGACUUUGGACACGAUGGCGCCGACCACAGAGAAGGCAAAGAAAUCGCCGGCGACGACGAAAACGGAGAUGAUCCCGGAGAUGGCAAAGAAUGCGCCGGCGAGUGUGGAGAGUAAGUUUCGCCGGAAUUUUUUUUUUAAGAGCUGAAUGUUUUUUUUUUUUAAUCGAGUAAAGGAGGAAGAGAGAUAAAAGAUAGGGUUUCGAAAGACUCUAAUACAUUUAGAGGAUUUAGGUUCUCAAAAUUUUACUAAAAUUACUAUUUCUUUUGUGUAAAUAGAUUAGGAAAUUAUUGUUUUUUUUAAUUAUAAAAUAAAAUAAAGGUAAAUAAGACUUAGUUUUUUUUGAAAAACCUAUUUGACUAAUCUACAAAAAAAAGGAAUAGAUGGACAAUUUUUUUUAUAGAUAUCCUUUAAAUUUAAUUUUCCCAAUAAAAUAUACACAAAUCAAAACAAAGUAACUGCUAAAAGUUAUAAUUAUUAUUUCCUAUACAAAUUUACAUAAUAUACUUUAGCAGCAUCAUUUAGUUUCUCAAAAGUUUCAAUUCGUAAUAGUAGUGUGUUUUUCUAGAAUAAUGAAGAAAAAAAUGGAAUUUGGUGAAAAUGGCAACACAGAUUCAUUUCAGCCUCCAAAGAGGAACUGUUCCACUCCCAUUUCUAGAUUGUAAUAGAAUGUUACACAACAUAAUGCAUCAAAUGCUAAGCAAUGUGUUCCUCUAAAGUCUAAUUACGAUAGAGUAUUUGCAGAUCUUACAAAUUUAACUCAUGUUGUAAUAGAAGAACACAUUAUCCAUCAGGAAUCAGCCUGUCACAAUCUCAGCUAGGUGUGAAAAACCAUAUUAUAUCAUCCAUAUUUUUGUAAAUAGUUUAUAAAGUAUUUCAUAUCUUAAUUGAUGAUUAAUUUUCAAAAACUUAACUUAAUGGUUAUAUCUUUAUAGAUGCAGAUCGUUCAAAAUCAUACGUUACACCAAAUCGUAGUGAACAUUGUAUAUACCACAUUUGUUAUCACAAAGUCAUAAUUCUGAAAUUAUUGAUGAAUCUCCUCUAGACUCAGGUAAUCAGUAUGACAUAAACUCAGAAUGAAAUAUAUUUUCCUAAUAAUGUUUCUAUGAUAUACAAAUGAUAUAUUUAUUAUUUUAAACCCUUCACUACAACCUCUAACCAAGUUACAGAUCAAAUUAGGUGAUCAGAAAUUUACUCCGGUGAGAGUGAGACAAUCAAAGUCAACACUUGGAUUAGAUAAUUUGCUAUCUUCAAUAAGAUUAGAAGCUUUAACAAGUAAGAUUCAUUAUAUAAAACACUAGUUUCUUAUUUCAAAUUUAUAAUCUAAAACUUUAGUAGAAAUUAAUUCAAUCUUACUUUCCUAAUUAUAUUCAGGUACAGAAAAUGAAGAAAACCAUACAAAUCUUUUAUCAGUUCCUAUUAGUCAGUCAUAUUCUGAUAUAGGUAGAGAUCAUUAUUUUAAAGUAAUGUAAACCAUACAUCCACCAUAUAACUCAAUUCCAAAAUAAAACCCGUUCUGUAAUUUCUUUACAUGUCCCGUGAUUUUUUUUUAAAGUAGUAAUUUUUAAAAUUUAAAAAUUAUUUAUUAUGUAUAAAAGUUUUGCAAAUUGUAUCAUUCUCUAAUAUAUUUAUAUUUUAUAGUUUAAUUUUAUAUAUAGUAACAUUAUGCAUACCACAUAACAUUUUUGGUUUUAUAUAAUCUUUUUUAAAUUAGGAUGAUUUGAUAUGUUUAAUAUUAGUAGUCUUAAAAAAUAAUAAAUUAAAGAUUUAACUCGUAUUAAAACAGUGGAUUAAUUAUAUUUUACCUUUUUAUUAAUGUUGAUUCAAAAAUUCGUCUUGCCAAAAAGCCAUUUAUUUUAUUAAUAUUAAUUUUAUUUAUGAUAUGACUCUGAAUUAUACUCUAAAUAUUUUAGGUAAUAACAUAGGAGUGCACCAUAUUUAUUUAAUAGGGGAAUGUACCAUAUGACCCGAAUGCACUUUUACCCAAAUCCACCAAAAAAGUCUUGCAAAAAUACUAUAGAGAUAAGAAACGAUAGUCGGUUUUGAUAGGUAUAAGAUUAGCAAAUAUAUUAGUUAGCUUAAAUUAUUUAAAGAAUACAAAUUGAAAAGGUAAAUUACACUUUAUUCGAAUAUAGUAUCAAAACUUAUAUAACACAUAGAUUUGAUAAUUUUUUAAUUGUUGAAUACUUUUUUUUUGUGCUAAUUUUUAUGUGAUUAAGAUUUAAUUGAUUUCGUAUAUAAAAUAUUAAACUGUUUUACGAACUUAUUUGUUUAUAAUUUGGUAACAGAUAGAUAUUUGAAUAUUCAGUAUAUUUUGCUUCAGUUUAGUAAAUCUUUGAUGAACCGUCUUUAGAUCCAAUAAGCCCUAUAAUUAAGAGAUGAAUAUUGUCGUUAAAUGAUUUUGGUAACCUUAAUGAUGUCAUUAAAGGAUUUUGUUUUUGAUUAAAUUUUUCUAAUGGCAUUGUCAUGUAAUUAAUUACAAAAAUUAAGGUUACAUUUAAAAUGUACUACCCAAAUAAUAUAAUAGGAUUUUAAAUUGUGUAGCAGUAGAUAUUACUGGAUUUACUUAGAAAUAUAAAAUCAUAAAUCAGAUCAUUAUGAUAAAUGCGAAUAUAUCAUCCUAUAUAUGUUUAUUUAUAUGACGUGCACACAUUCAACAAUUUCUUAUAUACAUGUAUUUAAUAUAACAUGCAGAUGCUGAAAAUAUUAUUCCUAUUGGCAAUUCACAAAUACAUACCAUGCCACCACGAAUUAAUACCUCUCUUUCUUUUGUUUUCAAAGACUACUGAAGCAAAAUGAGAACCAUUAGAACUCAGCAAAUGGAAAACGAUAGAAUUUAUAUUUUACCAGCAGCAGAAAAAGGUUGGUUUAUAGAUUUUAUUGACAAACAUUUACAUUAAUUUGGAAAACAAAAAUAUAUCCAUCUUUGAUUAUUAUCAUUUUCUGUUAACAAUGAUCAAAUAAUUGGAAAGACAACUUCAAAAUCUAAAUCAAGUAAUCCAAAGUAUCGGAACUUAGAGGAAGAAUUUGAUGAUGCAAUAUAGACAUAAUAUUCUGAAGGCAAGUAUAAUUUAAACAUUAAUGAUUUUUUCAUUUUGAAAAUUUGUGAUAAGUUAUUGUUUUCAAAACUAUUGUAGAUGAUGUCGAGCAAACGUAUUUAUACAAUAGCAGUGAUGAGGAAGAUCUUACUCUGUCUGAAUCUGAUGAAGAACUGCCUACUAUCAACCAAGAUCUAUUUACAGGUGGAGACUUCAGUAAUCUAUCUACAAAGAGAAACAAUGUAAAACAACAAAGGAUGAUUCAGGUAUUUAAACAAGAAUUUUAUAUUUUAAUACAGAAAAUCUAUAAAAUUUGUAUAUAGUACUGCAUUUUUAUUAUUAGGUUAUCUAGAUCAUGGUGAUCCGACAUACAAGUGUCGUUUUUGUGGAGCUAUAAUGUGGUACGACGAGCAUUUUAACAAAGAAGGAGAUCUAAAAAUCCGACGUUUUUCUCUGCUGUUUGCAUGGGACUAUAAAACUUCCAUUUUUGAAAAAAUCUCCGGAAUGCCUAACAAAGUUACUUACAGGAAUAGAUCGACAAAGUAGACAUUUUCAAAAAAAUCUCAAACCGUACGGAAUAGAAUUUUUAAUGACUUCACUUGGUGGUAAAGUUGAUAGGUCAGUUCAAAAAGAAAAAUGAUCAAAUAUGUUUCAACUACAAGGAGCAAAUUAUCAUCUCACUGGAAGUAUGAAGCCUAAGGAAAACUAUUAUGCAAAGUUUUCACAACUUUACAUUGUUCAUACAGAAAAUGAAUUUACAAAUAGGGAAACUGUUUUAAGGUAAGCUAUGUAUUCUUAUUUUUUCCGACUAUAUGUUAAUAUAAAUGUUGACAUUUUUUAAUACUUUUUAUGCAGUAAGGGGAAAGACAGUUCAACUUAAAAAAGCAACAAUAAACUGAAGCAAAAAAUCAUUAAAAUGCUCAUCAAAAUGCUCGAUGAAGUCAACCCAUAUUUAGAAAACUUGAGAAUAGCUAGGGACAAAAUUUAAACUAAUACAAGUGAGACUUUCUAUAUGCGUAUUGUUAGUGAUCGUAUAGGUAAGGAUGGAAAGAAUUAUUACAACCAACAACAUCUGAAGUGGCUGUAGUGAUUCCUGGGGAUUUUGUGAAAGGAAUGUCAUCUCGUGACAUAAUCAUUAAAGACAAAACAACUGGCAGACUACAAAGGAUUAGUGAAAUUCAUCCCUCUUAUUCGCUACUACAAUAUCCUUUCAUUCUCUACUAUGGUGAAGAUUGUUUCAGAACUAAGAUACAGAAAGGAUACACUGGGAAAAGCAAUACCUGCAAGAUUAAGUCCACUAGUAUGGGACAAUGGUUUUCUUUUCGGGUUCAGGAAAAGGAGAAUGAAAGCCAUACUCUUCAAUUGUGUAGGAGAUUGUUUCAACAGUUCUUGGUUGAUGGUUAUUCAACAAUUGAAGCUAAUAGGUUGUCUUAUAUUAAAUUCAAUUAAUCAAAAAUUCGUUGUGAGAAAUUCAGUAACAUCAAAGAAGCGGCUGCAGCUGGAAACAAAAAAAUGAAUGAACAUGGAAGACCUUUGAUUAUUACUUCCUCAUUCACCGGUGGUCCUCGAGAUAUGGUACAACAAUAUUACGAUGCAAUGGCCAUAUGUAAACACUACGGAUUUCCAGAUCUAUUCAUCAGUUUUACGUGUAAUCCUAAGUGGCCAGAAAUUAUUAGGUAUUGUAAAGAACGUGGUUUGAAUCCUGAUGAUACUAUGAUAGACCAUAUAUUAUAUGUCGUGUUUUCAAGAUUAACCUUGAUUCACUUAUGUUUGAUUUGACUGAAAAACAUCUUCUUGGAAAACUGUCGCAGGUAAGUUAUCUAUAUAUUUAUUUAUUGCUUAAUAUAUAUACAUAUAUAUCUUAAAUAGUUUUGAAAAGUAAUGAUUAUAUUUUUCUCAUGCAGAUAUAUAUAUACAGUUGAAUUUCAAAAAGAGGUCUGCCACAUGCUCAUAUACUGUUAUUCAUGGCAUCUAGGAGUAAGCUACCAUCUUCUGAGGAUAUUAACUGGAUAAUUUGUGCUGAAAUACAAGACAAACAAAAGAACCUAGAAGUUUAUGAGGUCAUCAAAGAGUCGAUGAUACACGGCCCUUGCGGUGCAGCGUUUACAAAUUGUCCAUGUAUGGUAGAUGGUAAGUGUUCAAAGAUGUAUCCUAAGCCUCAUGCUAACUUGAUCUAAAGUAGGAUAUCGAGCUCAUAUCAAUGUGGAGUGGUGUAAUCAAACAGGUUCCAUCAAAUACUUAUAGGAGGCGGGAGACAUAAGAUUUUUUUGAAAAGUGUGGAUUUAAGUGUGACAACAGGUAUGCUGUACCUUACAAUGGGAAGUUAUCGUUGCGAUAUCGAGCUCAUAUCGAUGUGGAAUGGUGUAAUCAAACAGGUUCUAUCAAAUACUUAUUCACGUAUAUUAAUAAAAGACCUGAUCGUGUUGUUGUGGUUGUUGAGCCUAUAAACAAGAGUCAAACUUCAAAUACAGUUUCUGAGAACAUUCCUAAAUAAGAUAAGCAAAGAAGAAUGAAAUCAAGGAUUACUUUGAUCAAACUUUAAAUCAUGUUAGCAAGAAACAAUUUGUUAUAUAAUUUAUAAUAAGGAUAUUUUAUAUUAAAAUUUCUUUGUUUUGUAAUCAUUUGCGGAUAUGUAUCUGUUUCAGAAGCAAUAUAGAGGAUUUUUAAAUUCCCAAUUCAAUUUAGAACUACACUGGUGCAUAAGCUUUCUUUCCACAAAGAAGGAAAUCACCCGUGUUGUUUCGAUGAGGAUGAAGAUAUUUAAGAUGUUUUGGAAAAAAAAUAUGAAGAUUCUCAGUUUACUGCUUGGUUGUAUUUGAAUCAUGACAAUUUUGCAAAGACCCUCACUUAUUCUGAGAUACGAGUACAUUAUACUUGGGAUGGGAAGAACAAGCAAUGGAAUAUAUGUAUAAGAGGAUUCUCUUUAGGUAGGAUAAGUUACGUCCCACAAAAAAUGGAAGCUGAAUAUUUUAUGCGUAUAUUACUUAACAUAGUACGAGGUCCUACAUGUUUUGAUGAUAUCAAAACAUUCAAAUGGAUUGUUUACGAAACAUUUAAAGAAGCAUGUUAGGCACUUGAAAUUUUAGAUGAUGAUCAAAUUAUAUUGAUGGUAUCGUUGAUGCAAGCCAAUGGUUAUUUGGAGAUGAUCUUUAGAAUCUAUUUGCUAAUAUGAUGCUGUCUAAGUCUUUAUCAAGAGCAGAACAUGUUUGAGAAGCAACAUGACAUAUUUUAUCAGAAGAGAAGAGAGAAGAAUUUAAUAACCCAGGUUUGUACUAUGUUUCAUACGAACCAUUUUUAAUCAUUUGUUUAGAUUCAUAGUGAUUUGCUUCUUAUUUUUAGGACAUGUUAAUAUACGUUUCAGAUUUCAUUUUAUGUGAAGUUGACAAGAGAAAUUAUAAUCUUCAGGAGAUGGAGAAACUAUUUCUUAUGAAUGGUUAUUGUUUGACAAACCUUAAGACCUUUCCUUAUACAACAAGAGAAACAAUUGAUAAUUCUAAUAGAUUGAUUGUUGAUGAGAUGAGAUAUGACAUAAGUGAACAGAUAGAAAAGCACAACGAAUGGUUCACUAUGCUGACAAUGGAGAAAAAAACAAUUUUUGAUGAGAUAAUGUGUGUAGUUGAUUCUCAAUGAUGUGGAGUUUUCUUUGUUUAUGGUUUUGGAGGUACUGGCAACAAUUUUUGUGGAAAACAUUAUCAGCUGCUAUCAGAUCCAAAGGAAAAAUCGUGCUCAAUGCUGCAUCGAGUGGGAUAACUUCAUUACUUUUACCCGGUGGACUGACAGAACAUUCCAAAUUUGCUAUUCCUUUAAAUCCAGAUGAUACCUUAUAAUAUUUGAGAUUUAAUGAAGGAAGCUUCUCUUAUAAUAUGGGAUGAGACACCAAUGAUGAGUAAGUUUUGUUUAGAAUCAUUUGAUAGAAGUUUAAAUGAUGUGUGCUUGGAAAACAUGAUAACAUGCCUUUUGGUGGUAAGGUAAUUUUAGACAAAUUCUUCCCAUAAUCCAGGGGGCAGAAAGAGCUAAAAUAGUAUUAUCUUCAUUAAAUGCAUCUUCUCUGUGGGAGAAAUGCAAAUUACUAAAGCUAACUAAGAAUAUGCAACGUCUAACCAACAUAAUUCAAACAUGUUCACAACAUAACGACUUUUCUUAUCAAAACUUAAAAAAUUGAUAUUAUGUAGCUUGAAUAUUAUGUUGUGAACAUGUUUGAAUUAUGUUGUGUGUUUGAAUCAAGGUUCUUUGUUUGUUUAAUACAGUUUGAAGCAAGAUAUGUGUCUUUUGACAUCACUGAUAACAUGUAAGUUUACAUUAUCUUUGCUAUAUUAUUUUAUGUUCAGUUUGUAUUUUUUGGACCAAAACAUCAUUAUUUAUAAAAUGUUUUAAAAUUUUGUGGUUGAAGGGGAAAGGUUAUAACUUGUUUUGUAAAUGGUAGCUCUUGUCAGUUUUUCGUCACAAACUGGUUUAAGAAAAUAACUUAUGUGACUUAUAACUAUGAGCCAGUCCUCAUUGUUAUACGUUUCUUGAAAUUCUCGGAGUUCAAUGGUAAGUUUGUUAGAGUUUUCCAUUCGUGAACAAUGUUUGAAUGCAAUUAAACUGCAUUUUGUUUUUUCUUUUUGUUUAGGUAAUAACUGCAAUUAAACUUUACAUUAAUCCAACUUUUACUGAUUUUGACACUCGGAGAUACUUGUAAGUAACAUUCUAUCAUAUAAAGAGUAUAUACCAAACUUUAUUUUACAUGUUUUACACAGACAUGUCUUUGAAGUUGGACAAGUUUAUGAUUAUGUGAAAAUGGAGUUGGAUCAUGAUAACUAAAGUGGAUAUAGAUUGAUGUCUUAUUGUCGAUCGUCCGACGUAUUGCAUAGUCACCAAGAGUGUAUCGAUCGACACUCCUCGUUGAUUCCUGAACCAAAAUCGUCUUUAGCUUCCUUUUUCUUAGCUUUUGCUCCAAAAUGUCUCCUUAUCUCUAUUAUUGUCCCAUUGAAUAGAAUACCUGAAAAACACUAAAAACACUCGAGAAAUAACAUAAAAACUCAAAAUCCUAUACCUAAAACAUAGUUAAAAUCGGUGAAAAUCGGGUUAUAUCAGUAAUGCAAGUUCCCAACCAAUCAAUGUUGAAGAUGAUGGAAUAAUAAGUCGACCUCCGGGUGUCAAGGCAGCAAAAGCGAAAGGAUAGAAGUCAGCCACUAUUAAAGAAGGAAAGAAAUCUGCUAGUAUUAAAGGAGAAGCAGACCAGUCAUCAGUCGAACAUUUUCAGAGCUUAUAGGAGCUUAAGGAGAAGGAUUGGGAUCACAAAGAGAAGCAAAGCAAUCAGAUACUUGAAAGUCUCUUUAGUGACUUAAGUGUCAGAAGUUUUCUCUCUCUUAACUCUCUCAAAUCUUUUAGAGAGAAAAAACUUUGAAUCUUGUUCAUAUCUUUUGCUAAUCCGAUUAACAUCGGAUCUCUUUAGAUUUCGUUUUAUGUUUUAGCUUUCUGACUAUUUUUCAGAUCUAUCUCAAACUUCUUGUCGGUUUUUCUUCUAUACUUUGUUUCGAUUUGUAGUUUUUUUGUAAAGCCUUUUGCCUGUUCUUCAAAUCAACACUUCUAUGUUGUUGAAGUGUUAAAUCAUUGUGGUUUGAUGGGUCUUUGUUAGCUGUGUACUUGAUUCUUCGUCCAAUUGUUGGUAAAUCCUCGCUUGCCCAUAUGGGAUUAAAUUAAGCGAUUGUUCACUUUGGUCGUUUGAUUUCAAGUGGUUGUAGUUGAUUGAAUUGGAGUAUGUAGAUUUGGAGUCCCUGUCGUGUUUGAUAGUUUCUCUGAAGACUGCUUCGAUUUUUAGCGGUUAAAGAAGAAAUCCGAUGAGCAAAGUAAAUCAAGUCAAUUACUUCCAAUGUUCAUUGCAAAAGGCGAUUGGUAAAAAGAAAGGCUUAAUCUGGUAGAAGCUGUUCGAAGAUGAUGAAGAACUGGAAGGUAAAGAAAUAUGCCGGUGACUGGAAGUAAUUCCCCGACGACAAUGGAGUUAAUGAAGAAACAACUUUUCUCCAGACCUGCCACGUGCCCGUGUUUAUCUUUUGUUAAGACAUGUGUCUAUGAGCUGUAUUGAUAUAAGCUUUAAUCUGUGUCUUUGGUUUAUAUUAAAUAUUUAAAUGGGUCUUGUACUUUAUGUGUAAUGCCCUUUGGGCUCUUUAAUGAAAUGAAGUUUGACGAAAAGAAAAGAAAAGUGUCAGGCAAUUUUUUGGAAUAAACAAUCCUCAGUUAUUUCAGGUCAAGAUGACAAAGUAUUUUCCGAGCAGCUCGACAAACUUCACAGUCUAUUCAGGUUAUAAUCAUAAAAAACAAGCAACCAAGUUUGUGGAUGUGAUACUAAAAAGAAAAUUGAUGUCCUAUGCUGUAAUUUCCAAACAAACUCUCAAGAUUAUUAGACUAUUGGUGGUUCUUUGGAGAUUUAGAAAUAGGCUAGUCUUAUCAACAUUAUUAGAUUAUUGAUGUUCUCAAAUUGUCUAUUUUUUAGGGUUCUAAAUAGAUUAGUGAUAAAUAAUAAAUAAGAAAUAGGUGUUUGUAAACUGGAAAAAUGUUAAAUUUUAAAAUUCCUCCAAAUAUAUACCCACAAUGUUUCACUGUAAAUUGUCUCUCAAAUCAUAUGAUAUACAAUUUUACUACAACAUCCCAAUUUGCAAUAACGAGAGAUUUAAAAAUAUUUUUAUAAAUGUUUAAUCAAAGAACCAUAGAUUUGGCAUUACGACAAAAAAAAGAAAAGAAAAUAAACAUAGAUUUAGAAUGAUUUUAACAAAUGAAAUUUGGAACGGUAUAAUUAUAAUACAUUUGAGAAAAUCAUUGGUGCAAUAAGGGGUGAUAGUUUUUUAAAACACAAAUCCUCCCAAAUCAACAAUUCAGUAUGCCUCCUAUUAAUAAUAAUAAUAAUAAUUAAAAUUAAAAUUAAAAUUUCAAAUAUAAAUUACAAUGAAAAGGUGAAAAAUAGAUAUAACUAAAUCAGUAAAAAAUAUGUUUUCUUCACAUAUUUAUAUAUUUUCUUUAUUAAAAUGUUUAAUACAACAUUCCAUGAUUUUGUUUUUGUAAUGUAUACAAAAACAAACUAAAACAAUUUACUAAGUUAACAAACUUUAAAAUAUCAAAUGUGAACUAUAUCUGGGCGUAGAUAUAAAGACGAUGUUCUAGAUUUAUUGUUUAGUAUCGUGUAAUCUGUGGUUGAGUAAUAAGAAGAUUCUUAUACAGUAGCUAUCCAAAAUCAUCAUCAAUCACACCAUAAAAGAGAGAAAACUAAAUUUGUAAACUUAUUUUAUGGGUUCAUUGAUCUCCAGGAGUUCAUUAGCCCUGGACUGGAUUCCUUUGAGAUACUCGGUCAAGAUAAGCUGAUGGUAUGAACCAUCUUCCUGGUCUGAUCAAAAUAAAUUUGGUCAGAAUGAUAAAUUCUGGAAAACCGUAUUGGUAACCAUCUCGUUCAAACACAAAUCAAAACCCGGUUAGCCUCACACUCAUUGUGAACAGAUAUUUUAACCAUCUGUUCUAGCCUUGUCAAACCUUGUCAAAUCAAAUCUAUGGGCGUAUCAUUUGGGCCCGCUAGAUCUAUUAUUGGGCCGUAACACUUAUUCUUUGGUCCAUUAUAAUUUUAUUUUCCGAUAAGUAAGAAUAACCAUAUGACACUACAAGAAGAUAAGCUCUUUCCGACGGACGAAAUCGUCGGAAUAACGUCGGAAACAGCCGUAUUCGACGAAUUUUUAACGACAUAGAUGGUCGAGACUAUCUUGUCGGAAAUGUGAAUGUCGACGCAAACGUGUUACAAAUUACCAACGGGUUUCCGACGAGAUAUUUCCCGAUAAUUUCUCUAUGCUUUUCUAACGAUAACAUUGGUUGCGAAACUGGUUGGAACAUAGUCGGAAAUGAUCGUCGGAUCCUCGUCGAAAAUAGUUUCCGACUAUUUUCUAACGAAUAUUGUUGUCAGGCAUUGCAUCAGAACGUUGUUAAAAAUCGGUCGGUAUCUUCUUCGACGGUUUCCCGACAACGUUAUUCCCGAUGGAUUCCCGACGAAGUAUUUCCGAUGGGUUACUGACGUUGUUGUAUUUUCUGACGGGUUACUGACGUUGUUGUAUUUUCCGACGGGUUACCAAAAAUCGUUUAUUCUUCGGGUUUUUUAACAUUCUCCUUUGUCUCUUCUCUUCUCUUAUCUUCCCCAACACCCCCCCACCCCCCGCAUCAAUUUCAAAUCCUAAUCUUUCGAAUCGUGGAGAAAAACCCUAUGUUUCUGAAUCUAAUGGUGGUAGUUUUGUUUCUUUAUUGGCGAUGGCAAAAUUAGGGGAAACACACGGUGGAUUUAUCCGCUCUUGUUGGUCGAGACGCAGGGGAAUCUUUCCUUUCUCUCAAGUUUAAGACGACAGAGCUUUCUAAUAUCAGUAUCACCAACGGAUGCUACGCCUCUAUGCGCUCGCCAAGUGGUGUAAGUCAUUCUCUGUUUCUACAAGUAUUUUUAAUGAUGUGGUGGAAGAUUAGGGUAUGGUUUUGUUUAAUCAUGAUCGAUUAGUUUUGAACACAUUUCUCUAGGGAUGAUUUACAGAACUGGAAGAUCCUACGAUGAUUUGUGGUGGAAGAUUAGGGUAUGGUUUUGUUGAAUCAUGAUCGAUUAGUUUUGAACACAUUUCUCGUAGGAUGAUUCACAGAAUUGGAAGAUCCUAGGUUGUUGAUGCUUGCUUGUGUUCUCUAUGUGAAUUGAAUGUUGAUAUCUAGUGUUUUUGGUUGUUUUAAAACCUCUUUUCUCUUAAUUUUUUGUUGCUUUGCAUUCAUAUUUUGGGAUAUAGUAUUGCAUUUGCAUUUGCAUUUGGUUUUCUUAGGUACAUGAGUGGAGUUUAGAAUUUUGAAAGUAAAAUGCAGCAAAUGGAGCAAACAAAUGAGCUAAGACAAUGUAAAGUGACCAAGGAGGAGAAGCUAGGAGGACAAUAGACCAAGUGGUCGAUUGCGUGGUCGAUUGCGUGGUCGAUUGGUCAGGACCAGAGCUACGAAGAAAAUUUAAAUCUACCAAAGUGGUCGAUUGCGUGGUCGAUUGGUCAGGACCAGAGCUAUGGAGGAAAUUUGAAUCUACCAAAGUGGUCGAUUGCGUGGUCGAUUGGUCAAGGAUUAAUGAUGGGGACGAUAUUUGAAUCUACCAAGUGAUCUAUUGCUUGGUCGCUUGCUUUCCUAAACCGGGUCAAAAUCCGAUUUGUUCCGUGUUGAUCCGGUUUAUUUUCUCAUUACUAUAAAUACUCUUAACCUAGUUUUAGAGAGGCGAGCUUUUGUUUUAGAGAUCAAAACUUCUUUUAAGGUUCUUUAUCUUAAGUUUUUGUAUGAAUCUUGGUUAGUUGCGUUUUGAAUCAAAGUUUACCUUUUAAAUCUCUUAUCUACCUUCUCUAAUUAUGAUUACACAAAGACCAAACCUAUUCCUUUGUGCUUUCAUGAUCAUGAGUGAGUAGUCAUUUAGAGUUCUUUGGUUAGGGUAGAUUAGGAUGAUUUAGAUGUUGGGUUAUGGAGUUUAGGGCUAGAUCACUACAAGAAAAGUGAGUAUUAAUAGCACUGAGUUAUAGCGUUUUAUGUAGUAUUGCUAUUAAUGAGUAACCACUGAUUUUUAGAUAGCGUUUAGAAUUUAUAAAACGCUAUGAAAGGUUUUUACUAAAAAACGUGUUUAUUAAAGUUGGUAUAUAAGAGUUUUGAUUGCAGAUCCAUAUUAAAACGCUACGGAAUCAUAAGCGGGAACUAAAAAAUUUUGGGCUCCAAAAAGCCUUUGACCAAAGACUUAGGCUCCAAAAAUAAUUUUCCUCGACUGUUCUUCUCCUUUGACUGUUCUUCUCCUUUUCAUCUCUCUCUAGCUCUUGAACUUCUUCACUGCUAAAAAAUUAAGAGGUUCUAUCUUCACUCUUCCUUACCAUCUGAGAUUGUCGCAUCUAUCUUCACUCUUGCUCUCUCGUCGAAAUUCGUACUCGACCACAAAUCCCAUCCAUCGUCUUCGUCCGCUUCAAGGUUGUAAUUUUUAGGGUUAAUGCAUGUAUGAUUUUGGGGUUUAGAUCUUGUUUUGUUUUGUUUCAAUUGAAGUUUUAAGAGUUUGGGGUUUUGAUUUGUCACAAUUUUGCUUCUUUUUAAUUGAAUCGAUUUGGGUUCUCGAUUUAGUUCACUAGGCUUUGAAAUUCUUUCUUUGAUGUUUCGAUUAGGGGUCUUGGCAACUCACAUUCGCCGAACAUUGUCUGAAACUGACACCAGUAUUUAGGGUUUUGCUUCAUCAAAAUUGUUAUUGUUUCGAUUUGUAUUUGGAUUUUUAGAUCUAUAAAUUGUACAGCACGAAUAGUUAUAGUCGAUUAUGAUGUCUUGUUUUUGGUUUGAUUCUUGUGUUGUCUUUAUUUUAGUGGUUUGAUUCAUGUCUUGUUUUCUGCAGUUCGAGUUUCGCAUAGACGAAGGACUAGCACUAGCAGGUAAUGGUUGAGUGGUUUAGUUCUUCUCUUAACUCAGCUGUAUUGCGAUUCAUGGAAUAAAAGUUUGUGUUUUUUUGCAGUCUCGGGUUUUACAAUUCACAAGAUCCCUCAUAGAUUCUUCUUCUGUGCAGGUAUUUGGUUUCUCUUUGUGUGAUUACCUUUAUUUGAUCCUCAUGGUUGGUGUCUGACAUAUAGAGUAACUCUAAUACUUGUGUGUUUAACUGCUGGUCGAGCUUUGGAGUUAUUGUUUUAAUAUGGAGAAGUCUUGGGUUUGGCUGCCAAGGUAAGCUUAUGAUUGUUAUUUACGUUGUUCUCUUAUACUUACAGUGAUUAUAUUGGAGUUAAUUUGUUAAUUUUAUUGACUAACAGGGCUAGCCCUGAAUAUGGAGAAGGAGCUAAUAAUUUUGUUGAGGCGCCAGCCAGGAGAUUGGGUAAUCCUGAGGAUAUUUUAUGUCCCUGCAGUGAUUGCCGGAAUGUUUGCCAUCAACCAUUAGGGACAGUAGUAGAUCAUUUGGUGAUUAGAGGUAUGGAUCAAGAGUAUAAGAUGAAUACUUGUUGGAGCAAACAUGGAGAUAUCAGGGAUCAUCAGCGGACUGAUGUUCAGACUUCUGAGUUUGAGGCUUAUGACUUGAUUAGGACUGCAUUUUAUCAGGGAGAAGAAAAUCUGCAGUCUCAGACUGAGAGUGGUGAUCAGGGUUCUCAUGUUGAGAGUAAAGAAGAAUCAAAGAGUUUAGGCAGAAACUGAUUGAUGCAGAAACUCCUCUAUACUCGACGUGUCCCAGCUAUACUAAAGUUUCUGCAAUCAUGGCACUCUAUCGCAUAAAGGUUAAAAGUGGUAUGUCUGAGAACUACUUCGAUCAGCUCUUGUCAUUAGUGCACGACAUGCUACCCGUGGAUAAUGUUCUACCAAAAUCCACAGAUGAGAUGAAGAAGUUCUUGAAGCUAUUUGGUUUUGGUUAUGAAAUGAUUCACGCAUGCCAGAAUGAUUGCAUUCUGUAUAGGAAGCAGUAUGAGCAGUUAGUAAGCUGUCCACGAUGUAGUGCAUCAAGAUGGGAAAAGGAUAAGCACACAGGAGAGGAAAAGAAAGGGAUUCCAGCGAAGGUUUUACGGUAUUUUCCAAUCAAGGAUAGAUUCAGGAGGAUGUUUAGAUCAAAGAGAAUUUCUGAGGAGUUGCGUUGGCAUUUCAGUAAUGCAAGUGUAGACGGGUCAAUGAGACAUCCAGUUGAUUCAUUGACUUGGUUUCAGGUGAGGGAUAAAUAUCCAAAGUUUCCAGCUGAACUAAGGAACCUUCGUCUUGGGCUUUCCACAGAUGGGAUGAAUCCAUUCUCAAUGCAGAAUACGAAGUACAGUACAUGGCCGGUUAUGUUGGUGAACUAUAACAUGUGUCCGACUAAGUGUAUGAAAGCUGAGAACAUCAUGUUAACUAUGCUCAUUCCAGGACCUACUGCGCCGAGUAACAACAUAGACGUGUAUCUUGCACCUCUUAUAGAUGAUCUAAAUGAUCUUUGGAAAGAAGGAAUUGAGGUUUAUGAUUCUUAUGCUAAGGAGAAUUUUAGACUUAAAGCUAUAUUAUUGUGGACUAUCAGUGAUUAUCCGGCUUUAAGGACUCUAGCUGGCUGUAAGGUUAAAGGGAAACAGGCGUGUAACGUUUGUGGCAAAGAUACACCACAUAGGUGGCUAAAGUUUAGUCGGAAGCAUGUUUAUUUGGGAAACAGGAAGCGACUAAGGCCAGGACAUCCCUACAGAAGGAAAAAGGCUUGGUUUGACAACACAGUUGAGGAUGGAACUGUGAAUAGAAUUCAGACAGGAUCUGACAUAUUUGAGACACUUAAGGACUUUAGAAAUGAUUUCGGAAGACUUUUGGAUAAGAAAACAAAGAGGAGCAGAACAGAUUUGGGAGAUGAGGAUCUGGUUUUAGAAGAAGAAUAUGAAGAAUAUACAGAUCAGUGGCGGUGGAAGAAGAGGUCAAUACUCUAUGAAUUAGCAUACUGGAAGGUUUAGUUCAUUCAGAAGAAGUAUAGUGUUUUCUUUGUGAACUAGUUUUGUUGUUUGUCCUAACUUAUUUUUCUUAUUUUUCAGGAUAUGUCAGUCCGUCACAACAUAGAUGUGAUGCAUGUGGAGAAGAACUGCUUUGAUGCAUUAUUGUCCACUCUAAUGCAAAGUUCUAAAUCCAAAGAUGGAUGAAGGCAAGGAAGGAUUUGGAAGACAUAGGAAUUCGAUCACACUUACACACAGAGGUAAGAGGAAAGAAGACUUACUUGCAUCCUGCAGCUUAUUGGUUAUCUAAGACAUAGAAAAAGGGUUUUUGCAGUAGGCUAGCUAAAUUCAGAGGGCCUGAUGGUUAUUGCGCUAAUAUCUCAAAUUGUGUUUCAGUAGAUCCUCCAAUAAUUGGUGGCCUGAAGUCACACGAUCAUCAUGUACUUAUGCAAAAUCUCUUGCAUGUGGCGUUGCAAGGGUUUCUGCCUAAAGGCCCCAGAAUUGCAGUUACCCGUCUAUGCAAUUACUUCAGUAGACUGUGUCAGCGUGUCCUUGAUCCAGAGAAGCUUCUUGCAUUAGAAGCUGAAGUUGUUGAGACAAUGUGUGAAAUGGAGAGGUUCUUUCCUCCUUCACUUUUCGAUAUUAUGUUCCACCUUCCCAUACAUUUAGCAAGGGAAGCACGAUUGGGUGGCCCUGUUCAUUUUCGUUGGAUGUAUCCAUUUGAAAGGUACAUUUUCUUGAAGCUUUGUUUGGUCUGUCUCAAUUUUAAAAGUGAAAACCACUUAACUUUAUUUGUACUGUUUUGAAUGAUGAUGUCAGGUACAUGAAAACACUGAAAGCAUAUGUUAAAAACUAUGCUAGGCCAGAGGCAUGUAUGGCUGAGGGGUAUUUGGCUGGAGAAUGCAUAGCAUUCUGUACUGAGUUUCUUCAGAAUUCAUUACCACCCCAAGAAGAAGUCAAUCAAAAUGAAGACCUUGAAACAGAUGAGAAUAUCCUAGAGGGUCGACCGCUGAAUAAGGCUACUGAAGUUACUCUAACAGAGAGAGAGAGAGAUAUUGCACAUCGAUAUGUUUUAAUGAACAUGGCAAUAGUAGAUCCAUAUAUUGAGUAAGUUCUAUCUUCAUUCUUGUCAGUUUGUUCAGCUUAACUUGUAUAAUCAACUUACAGACCUUGUUACUGCAAGAUGCAUCUAGAGGAAUUGCAAGCAGUCGAUGCUAGAUGCUCUAAAAACGAAACUUUGUUAUGGAAACUUCAUAACGACAGGUUUCCUCAGUGGAUCAAAGAGAAGGUAAUGUUGUCAUCGAUUAGAGAAUGUUUGGUCUGUUGAUAAAAGAGACUUUAUGUGUCAUUGAUUAGUAUUUUGUACUGUUUUCCUGUUAGAUACCUACUAAUUCAAAGGAGCAUUCUACAAAGCUGAGAUGGCUUGCAUUUGGUCCAAGACUUGUUGCUCAGACCUAUAAGGGCUAUAUUAUAAAUGGUAAUCGGUUCCACACAGAGGAUGUAAGGCGAAAGACUCAAAACAGUGGUUUAACAUAUGAAGCUUUCAGUAUGUGUAGAUCAAGUGCCAAAGAUACUAGACACCAAGCAGACAUAGUAGCAUUUUACGGAGUGAUUAAGGAUAUCAUAAUGUUGGACUACCACAUGUUCCAGAUUCCCAUUUUCAAUUGUAGUUGGGCCAACAAAGGGAAUGGUGUGAAAGAAGAAGAUGGAUUUACACUUGUGAAUCUUCAUUUGAGUCAAGCUGCGUUUCUGCAAGAUCCUUACAUCCUGGCAUCACAAGCAAAACAAGUUUUCUAUUCUAGAGAAAGUGACUUGAGUCAGUGGUAUGUUGUUAUGAAGGCGCCACCAAGAGGGUAUCAUGAAUUAGAGACAGAAGAGGAGAGUGUUAGUCAGUUGUUAGUCCACCCAAUAGAAGACAUGGGAAAUCAAUCUUCAGAUGAUGAAAGUUUUUGUGCUAGAGAUGAUUGUGAAGGGCUCUUAGUAUUAGAAUAGUUGUUGACUUGUCAUUUUUAAUCACUUUUUAAAAAUUGAUCUUGUUGCAGGGGAACCAGAAUGAUGUCAAGUCAAGCUAACACCAAACCACGUCGCAGUAAGCGUCAACAGGGACUUGAGGUGAGUCCUUUUGAAGUAAGAAAAGUUAGGAAAAACAAGAAGCAAGCGAGUCCUCUUAAGCCUGUGAGAGAGGAAAACAAUGAGUUGAGUGUUGAUGAGGGAGAUGAGCAAGUUUCAGACCUUAAUGAAGAAGAUGCAGACCUUAAUGAAAGCAAUCAGGAUUUACCUGCUGAUGAUAAUGCACAGCAUGAGAGCAUUCAGGAGCCAAUCGAAGAAGACACAACUAGAGUUUCAAACCAGAGUGAAGAAGCACAAUCCCAUCAGUCAGGGACUAACAAAUAGAGAACUAGAGGUCCAUCUAAGAUGCGUAAACUGGCUAAACAUCUAGAUGAUAAGGUCGAUGUUGAAUUUACAGAAUUGGGUGAACACUUUGGGAAUGGUUCAGUCAAACUGUCGUCCUUUCUUGGUGCACUAGUCAGGGAGCAUGUACUUGUGAUACUUGAUGAUUGGAAGCACCUUGAUGAACUUACAAGACACGCACUUUGGGAGGAAAUUCAGGUAUGUAUAACAAUUUAUUUAGUUUACCAGAACGUUCCCUUGUGACUCUUAGUUAACAAUCUAAACUUAUGUAGGGGAGGUUUAAUCUGCAAGAAGAAUGGCAAAAACAAGCUAUUUUUAGGCAGAUGGGUUGUUUGUGGAGGUCCCAUAAAUCUAAGAUUCUCUCAAAGGUUAAAGCUGCAAAGACAAAGCUUAGAGUACUUGAGCUAAGACCAAGCAACAUCCCAUAUGUCGCAGUUUGGAGCAAUUGGGUGAAGAGUAGGACUAGCAGCACUUUUAAGGUUGUAUUCAUUGUGAAAUUUGAUUUUCUAAAGUAAAUUUACAAGAAAAUGUUAAUAAUGUUGCAUUGGGUUUGAUUUGUAGGUACAAAGUGACAAAUUUAGGCAAUUAAGGAGGGCACAAAUUCCACAUACUACCAGUCGAAAAGGAAUGAUUCGCCUGGCUCAAGAGAUGGUAAGUUUAUAUAGUUUUUGGUUACGAAUAUCUCCUUGAAAACAAUAGUGAGUUCUGCUGCUAUUUAAAUUAAUAUUUGGUCGUCGAAAAAAACGAGUUUAGACCCAAGGAAGGUGACAAGAAGCAAGGUUUGGGUAGCAGGACACACACAUUCUGAUGGGAGACCUGUGAAGCCAGAGUUUGAAGAGACCAUUGUAAGAAGUUGUCCUUUAUUCUAUUAUCAUUUUCUUGAUCAAUUUGUUUAUCAAGAUUUGUGUUUUGUUUCAGGAAAAAAUAAAGUCAAUUGACAGUGAAAUGGACUCCACAUCUAAUACUAAUAUUAGAGAAGAUGUUGUUAGUCAAGUAUUAGGAAAGGACAAACCCGGGAGAGUCAGAGGGAUGGGCAGAGGGGUUACUUUUUCUAAGCUAGCUUUCAUGCAAGUUAGAGAUUCACAUGUGCAGCAGCUUGAAGCUAAACAAGCUGAAUUGAUCAGCAAACUUGAAGACUUGCAGAAUGUCGUUCAUGACUUAGCUGGCAAAAAUGUAUGUUUCUCACCUCUGUUAUGAUAGUGAUGUAGUCUUUAUUUUACUGAUGCCCUUUUUUGUUCUUCACAGUUUCCAACAGAUAGUCACUCAAAAUCAGAAGCAACUAGUAUAGUAAAGUAGUUAGAUGUCAGCUACUGGAUUGGAAUGCGUCUACUGAAGUUGUUGUUGGAGAAGGAGAAUUCUGCUAAUUGAACAAACUUACAAGAUUGGUCGUAUAAGACUUGGUCCAAACGCAGCAGCUAUUAUUGUGAGGUCUGUCCUAGUCGAAGAUGCAUAUGUCUGGAGACCUACACCAACCAUUUGCUCACUUGGGCAAGCUUUGGGGAGUAAAAUUGCAUGGCCAGCUGAUAAGGUGAUAUUGGACAAUGAUGAGCACACAACUGAAAAUAAGACUGCUAGCUCCACGGUACUUUCUAACUUCUAACUUGAUUUAUUCUUAAAUGUGGAACUUAAGUGGAACUUUGCUGAUAUAUAUGCCUGAUUACAUAGGAUACAUCAACAGAUAGAGUUCGCAUUAUUGAUUGGACUUUUGAUGAAGUUAUAGCUGAAGGUAUAUUAUGUUCAACUGAUCCAAAAGAAAUGGUGAACAAUACUCAACUAGGUCUGAAUGUUGCAGUUGUUAAAGUUGAUCUGGUAAUUAAAGGCGAUGCUUUUUUGUGGAGACCAAGUAUUGAAAUGUCAAUGAUGAGUGAAGCACUUAAUGAGAACAUCGUCUGGCCUAUUCAGAAGAUACAAUUUAUAAGUUCAUCGUCGGUACAUGAAUCAGCUAACAGACCAUCACCACUACAGGAAUCACCUACCAGACCAUCAUCAACGGUAUGAUAUUUCAUCUUCUGUGAAUUUGUUUAGAUACAGUUGAGUAGCUGCAAUGGUGAGAACUGCUCUAAUACAUAUAUACAUUCAAAUUUUAAAUUGACAGACUCUAAGUAACACUUCGGGUAACAUCAAUGGUGGGAAACAGAAGUGUAUUUUGCUGGAUAUCAAUAACUUUAGCCAAAGAGUUGCAGAAGGCAAGGUUUGUUCAUCUAAACCUGCAGAUGUUGUCCACCAUGUCCCCUUAGGUCAGAAUGCUAGCAAGGUAUGGGUCGAAGUUUCAAAGAUUGGAGAUGCAAAAGUGUGGAGGCCAAAUUCAGAAAUUCAAUUCAUUUCCGAUGCAAUAGGCACUAUUGUAGCUUGGCCUAAUGACAGACUCAUGUUACUCUGAACUUGCUGAACUUGAUGUAAUUUUUUUACUUUUUUAUCACAAACAAAGAUUGUAUGAAUUUUAGAUGUUUUAUUGAUUUUAUGAAAUUUAAUUUCUUUUCAAAUUGAUUUUUACAAUUUGGUUGACCUGUCACAACAAUUAUUUCUGAAAUUGAAAUUAUUAAUUCGUAAAACGAAAUUAAAUUUUAUAUAUUUCCAGAAUUCAGUGAGAUAUAUAGUAACAUUUCACUAACGCUAUUUAUGAAUUAUUAAUAACAAAACAAUAGUGCUAUUAUAAAAUCUACAGUAGCAAACAAAUAAACGCUAUUAAAGAUAAUUUUAAGAUAGCAUAAACAAAAAGCGCUAUAUAAAGUGUUCGACCUAUUAUCGCGGUUGAUGAGAUAGCGUUUUUAUUAACGCUAUCUAUUUAUACGAUAGCGUUAUUCAGAUGUUAUUAAUUCUCGUUUUUCCUGUAGUGGAUUACUUAAGAUCCUUGUUUAUUGGUUGCUUUUAAGGAUAGAUCAACCUUGAUCAUGUUGAUUUAGACACUAGGAAUUUCAUGCCCGGAAGGUGUUCGAUGAAUUUCCCGAACCAAAAUCUUUAAGUGAUUUUCAUACCUUACCUUUGGAAAUUGUUGAUUAGGGUGAUUAAUGGCUAGAUAGACUUGUUAUUUAUGCUUAUUGAUCAACUGAUUGCCUUUGGAAAUUGUUGAUGAUAGAUUGAUUAGUAAAGGGAUUAAUAUCAUGGAAAUAUGUUAGUCUUGCUUAGUGUUCUAUGGCCUAAGGAUCAUUGCUUGUUAGAAGUUGUUUGAUGCUCCAUCUCUUUAUCAUUUCUAAUCGAUUACCUUAACCCGAGAAUUCGUCUUUAGUUAUCACUUAGUAAUUUGUUAAUUUUCCGCUUUGUUUACAUUUGAAACUUGUUAGUCUUUUGUUUCUUGCUUUCUUUUAUCUUGUUUUGCAUUGUUUGCUUGAUAAUGCAUUGUUACUAAGAUUUAGAAUACUUAAAAUCAUCUUGUUAGCUUAGAUUAAGCAAUUGUGUGUAUUCUUGGUGAGUUGAUUAAUUGCAAAUUAUGGUUCCAUAAACAAUUGAAAACAAAUGCUACAUCAAAUGUUAUGUGAUGCUGGAUUACAUGCUUGCUUGGGAGAAGUGUUUGUUCAUAGCCCUUAUCACAGUGAUUAUGUCUUCGGAGGAAACUGUGAUGUCAAUGAUCGAGUAAAGACUGUGUGGUAAGUGUCAAUACCAAGUAGUUAAUUUGGAAUUUGUGUUUCAUAUAAUCUUAAUACAAUUUUGUUGUGUCACAGCUGGAGGCAACGCUUAUUCAACUCUAAUGUCUGCAAGUUCCUCUUAUGAAUUACUUUCAUAUUUCAAGACCUUGAGAGCACAUUAUCUGCUCAUGACAUAUGCUUCACACAAGCUGCGGAUUCGCUCUACCUUAUUAUGCUUGAAUUUCUACAGCAAGUUCACGCUCCUGUCUAUGGUUAGAUUCUGAUAAACAUAUAUAAUUAACCUUGUUGUCAAUGAUCAAGUAAUGACUGUAGUAGUUGUAGUAUUUGCGUUUCAUUUGACAUUAAUAUUGUUUUGUUCUAUCAUAGCUGGAGCAUGACAGAAAGAAGUUGCAACUCAGUGAUACAUGAGGCAAUGUGAAGGAGUUGUUCAAUGAACGCAGAGCAAUAGUGUAAGUCUCUACAUUUGGGAAAAACGCUCUAUUUCCCGCCGAGAACUAUGGACAUCACGCCAGAUAGAGCAUGUUCUUUCACCUCGGUCUAUUUACCCAUGAGUUGGAAGUUAAAUGCUGAUUUCCCCACCAAAUCAAAGUUCUACAGCUUAAUGUCCCCGAGACUGUGUUUUCUUGGUUUGGUGAGUAAACCCUAUAGAAAACGAAAUACUGGUCAUAAGUAAACCAAAAAUAUAUCUUAUUCCUUUUAAAAACCAGACCCAAUAUUCAUCCCCAAAUUUUUAAAAUCAUUGCUCGAUAAAUUCCCAUCUAAGAACCCUGAAACAUCAAAAUUUUAAUUCCCUUCAGUUCGAUUAGAAAACUCGAAUUCAAUUUCGAUGAGCAAUCUAUCUACUAGUUUGACGGGAUCUACAAGUUCUCGUGGAAGAGGAAGAGUCGACAGAAUGCCAAAAAGAUGUUGGUGUAGGGAAGGAAUUGUUGCCCUAACAUCCAAAUCCGAUACGAAUCCUUAAAGAAGAUACUUUCGUUGUGGUUUUGCUGCAACAAACAAGGUAAUUUCAUUGAUAUUCAUCAAUGUUUAAGCUGAAUUAGAUUUUUUUACUUAUGAAUUUUAUUGUUCAUUGAUAGCUAAGGAAUGAUGAACACACUUUCAAGUGGGUUGAUGAAGCUUUGAUCAAUGAUUUAGACAAGUUUAAUGCAAAGAUUGGGGAAGUUGAACAACAAGUGAGAGAGCUUAGAACACAGAGUUUGGAGUUUGAGAAAAUGGUUUGUGAGAAAGUCCAAAUGAAGAUUGAGAAUGAGUUAUUUGAGAAAGUGGACGAUGCUUUGGCUGAAUCAAAAGAAGGCAAUAAGAAGAUGAUGAUCGUCGUAGUGAUAGGAUGUAUGAUCAUGAUUGGAUUGAGCAAAUUAGUCGGAUGAAUGUUUAUGUCUCGGUUUAGAUUGAACAAAGUAGUGUUAGGAUGCUUUGUGUUGUUACUCUUGUUUGUUACUUUGUUUGACUUUUAUGAUUAAGGUAUUUUGUUCGGAUGUUUAAGAAUGGUAUGUUGUUUCGAUGAAUGUUUAUGUCUCGGUUUUCAUCUCUUGUUGUCCUUUUGUUUGGCAUACAACUAUGAACAUUAAUCCACAAAAGAUGCAAUAACAAAAUAAAUACAAUAUUCAAAAGUAGUACAUAACAGCCAAGGAUACAUAAGAGUCAAAACAAGUACCCAUAAUAUCUGAGAAUACAAAAGAACUAAGGUUCAUAACAUCCGAGAUAAAAGAAGUGCCAUACUAGCCCUACUAAGCUAUUACAUAGAGAUCAAACUUGAGUGAGUGAAUCUUGACUUGGUUCAGGUUGAAAAAGCUGUGAAGCUGAUUGAGAAGCCUGUAAAAAAAGCUGAAUUAUGUUAGUAUAAUCCAACAGUAGCCACAUACAUAAAGAGAAUGUCACAAUUUUGUUACCACAUGUAAAGCAUUUUUUCAUAUUUUUUAUUUAAAUUUAAUAUUGUUUAUUUGUGCUCCAUAUUAAAAACUUUCCUGGAUCCGCCAACGGUAGUGUUUUUACGUAUAUCAUUUUUGCAUUUAUCUUUUUAAAAAAAUUUGGAUUUCAAAUCCAAAUUCCAACAAAAAGUUGCUAUGUCCAACUCAUCCCAAACCUAGAACUAAGUCCACAUCCCAUAUAGAUGAUGUGUCAAAAUACAAUCUGAAUCAUAUUAAUAAAAGAGCUGAUAGAUCGACUUCUAGUUGAAAGAAAAUGUUAGAAAGACAUGGGUUUUAGUUUAACUAUAUUGGUUAUAUUUUUCCUGAAAUAAUUUCAUAAAUCUAUUAAAAAUAUUGAUAAACUGAAACACUAAUUUUCUUAUAGUCAAAUUUAGUGACUCGGGUGUCGGAAAGUUUUUGAAAUAAACAAUCCUCAUAUAUUUUCAUACUUAGACAUAAGGUUUUUUGUUGCCGACCUAUAUGAUCUUUUCUUAAUUUGCGAAAAAGCCCACGUAAUCCCCAAAAAAAUAAAAAAAGUAUAAAUGUACUGUAAAAUAAUCCGGGCUACGUACGGACAUACAAAUCUCCAAUUUUAUAUUUUAUGUUAUUGAAAAAUCAACUUAUAUAUUAUAAAAUUGUCUUUUUAACAAUAAAAACCAACGUGUUUAUUGUUUGGCUGGAAACAGAAGUCGCACGGUCUUGCCAUUGGUUACUAUCUUACUGGUGGUGGUAGAUACCAUCAUCAACACGAAUAUUCUUUGGUUGUCGGCUAGAAUAUUUUAACAGGCCAUAUUUAGCUUUUGGUUGUUGGCUAGAAUAUUUUAACAGGCCAUAUAAAAUCACUUUAGGUUUCUUCUCUACAAAUCAUGUAUUUGGUAACAUAAGCUAGACUAAAUAAACAUUAGUUGAAAGUAAUAAUAUGGCAGAAAUUAACAGCACCUUGUAAAUUAUUUGAGAUUACAUAUAAUAUUAAUCUUAGUUGACGAAUUUUCAAUACAUAUUUAUUUUAUUCGUUUGUCUGUCGCUAGACUCAGCCAUAUUAACCAGCGACAAAUUACAUUGUUCGUUUGUCUGCUGUUAUAUUCAUCGAUCAAUUGCAGCGACUAUAAUUGUUGCUAUCUUUGCGGUUUAGUCUCCUGAGCCGGUUUUAUGUCUUGCGAACCGAUUCUUCAACUCCAUCAUUUAUUCUAUCAUUAGUCAAAAAUAAUAUCUCUUACGAACUACUUCGUUUAACCUAUAAAAAUCGUUAAAAAAAAACCCAGCUAUCUCAUACACGAAGCUGUCUAAACUCCGAAGCAAUUUAUAACAACGUACCUCAUACGUGAGAGUGGUGCAAGUUAAUCCCACCAUCACUAUAAUAGACGGUUUUCUAAAAGCUUGAAAAUAUGAGAGAUGACAAAGCUCGACAUUGAUAAGCUUUGAUAGAAGUUGAAAUAUGACUGUUCCAAAUAACGUAACAGUUAGAGAUAUAUGAGCUUUCCAAAUAACGGAACAGUUAGAAAUAUAUGAGCUUCUUUAUAUCUAUUCAUUAUAUCAUUCUGAAACGACUCAUAACAAACAAAAUAAAUCUACAUCUUCACAUGAUUGUGAUAUAAACACAAUGUAUUAAUCAGAGAAAUUGGAAAAAAAAAAAAGGAACUUGCUAAACAUCAACAACACCCAACGAAAACCCCUAGUGGUUAAAGAUAGAUACCACUAAGACUAACAGUAACAUAUGAAGUUCAAAAAACACAAGUAAUCUAAAUAAUCGAGCAUUCUUAUGGUCAUCGCCCAAACUGGAUAUUUGAUCACGUUUGUAUCAAUUCGUAAGGAUUAUAAUAAUAAAAAAUAUAAAAAUCAUAAGAUCACUUUUGUCGCUUGUACUGGUCACCAAACUGAUUAUGCACACUGAUAAGCAAUAUACUAUCAAUCUUUGUCCCAACAUCUGCUUGAGAAGUUUUUUUUUUUUUUCUACAAUGUUAUAUAUGCCUCGUCAAUUCUACAGCUUAACACUAUUAUCAAUGGUAGUUUCUCAUGCUAGCUCUUAGAUAAAUUAGGUAUUAAAUUUCAUGUUUAAAAUGAUUAAUUGUUAAGAAUGACUUUUAUAUAAGAGUCAGAUCUAAUAUUUCUUAGAUUAGUUCUUAGAUAAAUUAAGUAUUAAAUCCAAUAUUUCAAUUCAAUUAAUCUUAGUUCUUAGAUAAAUUAGGUAUACUAAAUCUAGUCGUUUUCGUUUAUGUUUACGUCAUAUUUGUUUAAACUUUUAUGUCAUGGAUCUUUUAAAUUUUAUGAGUUGUACUGAUUAUUAAGUUUUUCAAAAUUAAAAUGUUUAUAUUUUUUAUUUUAAAAUAUAUUUUUUUAAGAACUCCAAAUUAAGAGGCCACAACUGCAUAUCGUCAAAAUUUUAAUCUCUUAGCCAAAAUCUUAACAUCAAAAUUUUUAAAAUCAAUUAUAAAAAUAUUCCUAAGAACUAUAUUAAGAUUAUGCUAAGAAACUACCGUUGAUUAUCCUCCGAGUCCGAUUUACUUUUGUUCCUUGAAAAGAAAAAAAAAACACAGAAGAAUUAGAUACUGCCAAAAAAUAACAAUAACAUGCAAACCUUUAUGUGAAUUCCCUAAGACCUGCCUGCAAUCUAAUCCGUAUGAUGGAUUAACCUCUGAAAUCUAACCCAUAAAUUUUGAUGUGUCUCUAGAGAGCAUUGAGAAGCCUAAUUUAUAUUGAAUUUUAUUCGUUUGUGAUGAAAUUUAGAAGACGAAAGGGUAAUCUGGAAGAGAAAGAGAGGCGAGGAAGUGAAGAGAUGAAACGCUUCGGAAACCUAAUUUUUUCCGUUUACUUGCAACUAUUGGAUCCUUAAAAUGUUAAGCUAAGAGAUUGUGAAUCACAUUUUAAGAGUCUUUGGUUUCUUAAAAACUAACUAAUUAUUUAAAAACAAUUGUUGCUUUCACAGUAUAUUGUCAUAUUGUGGUGUAUAUCAAAAAGGCAAAAUCUUAACUAAACUCCAAUAUUUUGGAAAAAUGUGAACUACUUCCAAUUUUGGAUAUAUCAACAAAAACAAAAGACACUACAUCAUGACAAAGAAAAAAAAAAAGAGUCACUUUUGAUGACCAGUGAUAGAGAUGAAGAUUUGGUCGUAAAGUAGGGAAGAUUCAAAAAUUCACGACUCAUUACUAUAUACUAUUAACUUUCCUUUAGAAGAAAUAACACCGUAUCUCUCCAAUAUUUUAAACUAUAGUUAGAAUAUAGCUUGUUAAUAUUUUGUACAGCGCAUAGAGAUUUCCUUAUUGAUUCUGUUGUCUAGUCUAUAUAUAUCGUUGAAAGGUGUAUCUCGAGAAACACAACCAUCUUACUCUACAUUUCCCAUUUUUGAGACUCCUAAAUCAUUUUAACCUUCUUCCUCAAUCGUGACCAUCACCAAUGACGCUACACGUCAUUGAGACUGCCCGAGUCACCCCCACCGACUACUCAGUCAUCAACUCAGCCAACUUGCACAAACUUCCUUUAACUUUCUUCGACCUUCCAUGGCUACUAUUCCAGCCAGUCAAAAGAGUCUUCUUCUACGAGCUCACCGAGUCUACUCGUGACCAUUUCCACUCCAUUAUCCUCCCUAAGCUCAAGGACUCUCUGUCCCUUAUCCUCCGUAACUAUCUCCCUCUCACUGGCCACAUCACUUGGGAGCCAAACGAGCCAAAACCGAGCAUAAUCGUCUCGGAAAACGGCGUCGUUUUGGUGACUAUAGCCGAGAGUGACGCUGACUUUUCUCAUCUUUCCGGUUAUGGACAGCGUCCUUUGUCAGAGUUACAUGCCUUGGUUCCCAAGUUACCGGUUUCUGAUGACUCAGCGACCGCUUUCUCCAUACAAAUCACGUUGUUUCCUAACCAAGGAUUCUCCAUAGGUGUUGCAGCACACCAUGCUGUUUUAGACGGGAAAACGUCAAGCACUUUUAUCAAAGCUUGGGCUCAAAUCUGCAAACAAGAACUUCAAAGCAUGCCGGAGAAUCUAACUCCGUCUUAUGACCGGUCUUUGAUCAAAUAUCCGACCUAUCUUGAUGAAAAGAUGAUAGAGUUAGUGAGAUCUCUCAAAGAGGACCAAACCAACAUCAGAAGCUUGACUUCGCUUCCCUCUAGUAAACUCGGAGACGAUGUCGUGUUAGCCACGCUAGUUCUCUCUCGGGCUGAUAUUGAGAGACUUAGGGAACAAGUCAAGAACGUGUCACCGAGCCUCCACUUGUCGACUUUUGUCAUUGCUUACGCUUACGCGUGGACUUGUUUCGUGAAGGCACGUGGAGGUAAUAAAGACAGAUCAGUGAGUCUCUUGUUCGUAGGAGAUUUCAGAGACCGGUUAGAUCCGAAGCUCCCGGGGACUUACUUCGGAAACUGUAUGAUUCCGGUGGGCUGUUAUAACCGUAAGGCGGCGGAGUUUAUGGAAGAGAAGGGAUUUGUGACGGCGGCUGAGAUUAUUAGCGAUUUGGUGAAAGGGUUGAGUUCAAGAAAGAUAGAGACCAUUGCGGACACUUUCGUGGAAGGAUUUAGUUUUCAGAGUUGGAGUACACAGUUUGGGACGAUAGCCGGGUCGACCCGGUUGGGAGUAUACGAGGCGGAUUUCGGGUGGGGAAGACCCGUUAAAGUUGAUAUUGUCUCCAUUGACCAAGGAGAAGCGAUCGCAAUGGCUGAGAGACGUGAUGAGUCAGGUGGCGUUGAGAUUGGAAUGUGUUUGAAAAAGACUGAAAUGGAUUCGGUCGUGUCUUUUUUCAACAAUGGUUUACAUAGCUAAACUCUUGUUUUGUAAGAUUUUAAUAAUAAGGUAAUGCUUGGUUAGUUAUUCUUGUUUUUUUCUCACAAGAAGUAUUGGGCAUAAUUCUCCACUAAUAAAUAAGUUUAAAUAAAGAUAUAUUAGUAAAAGUCUCCAAAAACACAUAUAGAAGAAAACAAGAUUUCUUCAGAAACUAGAACAUUUAUACACUAGAAAAACAUCUCAAGCCAUCUCUUAAAAAAAGAUGAGAAUUUUAGACUAUCACUCUUCCACUAUGAAAAAUGUUAUAAGUCAUUCCAACCUAUUCAUCGUUAUAAUCAUUUUUUCAUCAAGUAUAUCUCUAAUUCAUUACUUGUAUCUCCAAUUUUUUAGAUUAUACAAAAAAAUAUAUCAUUUUGACAGCCAUCAUCAUAAAAAUGUCUCAGUCACUUGAUUCAUCUUUAUCUAUAGGAAGAUCUAGAGACAAAAGAUAAUGUUCUAGCAUAAUCACGGACAAAGAUAAUGUCCUAGCAUCACAUCCAUUCAUCACUACUGGAUCCCGUAUUGUCAUAUAUUAUGCACUAUCAUAUAUCAUGGACCAAUUAUGAAAAUAGCACUUAAAUGCUUAUCCCUUUGUAUGAAGCGACACUUUUUUGUAUCUUAUAACUUUAGGUAUUUCUUCCACUUUUUUUUACGGUUUUAUUCUUACGUUCCACCAAAUUUCUUCCACCUACAAAUUAUUUCUCUAUCUUUCUACCAUUCCCAGACCAGAUCAAAUUCAAACUGAUUUGUAGUAACGGUUCUUUCAUUUUGGAAUAUAGAACUCAAAAUCGAUAUUUUUAUUAUGAUUUUGGAUUUUCUAACUGAUUCAUAUUGAGUUUCCUAAAUAAAAAAUCCAUAAAUUACCAACAAAACUCAGCAGCAACAUAUAAACAAAUUAAAUCGAAUAUAAACUUCCAAAGGAGACAAAUUAGGCAAAACCCCAAAUAAAUUUCAAAACCCAGAAAACGAACCAAUCAAAUUUCAAAUUCGAAAUCUCAAAAUCAAAUUUUUAUCAAAAGUCUAUUUAAGGUUUUUCCUUGGGUUCCCUAUAUACUAUCAUCCUAGGGUUUACUUAUAUUGAGACAAUGGGUAUUUGUAUAAGAAAUAAUUUUUUGGGAUAAACAGAUUAAAAUUUUCUGGAAAAAAUUAGAACGAGAAGCAUAGGAAGAAAAUGAAAAAAGAAGGAAACGAUAAGAUAUUCCAGGAGCAAAAUCGUUAAACCAUCAGUUGAGAAAUACCCAUUCUUAUAAGCCAUGAUAAAUGUACAUUUUCUCAAGUUUUUAGGCUUAAAUAUGCCUAUUUGAACAAAAGCCCCCAUAGAUCAUACAAAAUUUCAAAACAAAAUGAUUCAAAAUGCAUCUUUUUCCUUGACCCAAAAUAAAUAAAAGUUUAAGUAAAUACAAUGCUAUGAGAUUUACCAUUACCUAAACCCAUCAAAUUCCACAAAAAUACAAUUCUUCACUCGAAUCUGUGAGCAUAACUUUUAUCUUCCACUUUAUUUCGUUUUCAACAACAACUAGUGCGUUGAAGCUUUUAAAUAGUGAAAGUUUCUGAUUUUUCUAUCAUAAAAUAUAUGAAAAUUGCACUCAACGGCCAUAAAAAUUUAACAAUAUGCCAACUAACAACAAAAAUCUAACAACUAUUAAAAAUAGAUGCGUUUAUGGAUAAUCUGUGACUGGCUGUAGCAAUAACGAUUAACAUAAAUUAAAAUCUACAAAAAUACAUACAAACUAUAAUUUAAAUUGAAAACCAAAAACUAUAUUAUUAUAAUAAAACUUCAAAAUUCUUAAACUAAUUAAAAAUAUUGAUUAACUUUAACAGUUUCAACCGUUUUUCCAUAUUUUGAAUGAUCUCAAAAAAAUGUAAAAACACUAUAAUUAAUCAUAAAGACGUCGGUCAAGAAACACUGCUUAAUAAUCAAAGUAUACCAAAAACUUUAGAACACUAAUUCAACAUUACAAUAAAAUAACAAAUAAAUGUGCACUAAAUUCUUUGCUUGGACUUUGGAUUUUUAAUGAUCCAUUCCAUCUAAUGGUAACAUUUCAUUUUUUUGUACUUUUAACAACUCGAAAUUCAUUUAUAAGAAGAUGAUAAAAUGUAAUUCUUCAUGUAAUUGCGAAAUUUAUUUGACAUAGGAAUAUUUAUUUGUAGAUAUCGAAAUCACUGGUAAAUAAAGAAAGAAAAACAUUCAUCUCACAUUUCUUCAAAGAGAUACCAAUCUCCAAACCACCAAUCUCAUCCCUCCUUGCCGACAUAGAAAACUCAUUGUUCUUGUAAAGAGACAUAACAUCAGUCUUAACAGGUCUUCCCCACCCGAAAUCCGACCCGUAUAUCCCAAAUUGGUUUGAUCCUGUAACAGUCACAUUCUGUGUAUCCAAUUUCAUAUUUUUUGUUCCAUCCUCAUACACUUCCCAUAUUGACUCAAUGUUUCGUGAACCCAAACCUCUAACCGAAUCACUUAAAAUCUCAACUCCGUUAACGUAUCCAUCUUUUCCUAGAAACGUUGUCGCUUUGUAUCCAUUGAAAUCAAUUGGUAAGACACAAUUCCCAAAAUAUGUCAAAGGAACCGGUGGAUCUAACCGGUUUCUGAAAUCAGCAGCAUACAUAAACCGAACCGGUCGAUUCGCGUCUCCUCCACACGACUUAACCAUGCAAGUCAACACAUAAGCGUACGAGACUACGAACGUUGAUAAAUGAAGAUCGGACCGGGUUGACUCGUUCUUGGCUCGUUCUUUAAGUUUUUCGAUAUCCACUUCCGUCAACUCGAGCGUGACCCGAACAACGUCGUUAUCGAUCUCUUUAGCCGGAGGAAGCGUUAAGGUUCUUGCAUAGUCUUUCUCCUCUGAGAUAUACGAAGAGAGCUGAAAGAUCUUUUGCUCGAGUCCGGCCGGAACAUUGAUGACCGUACGAUCUAAAACCGUAGGUAGAUCAAAAUCUUGAGGUGUGGUUCCGUGUUUACAUAUAUGAGCCCAAGAUUUAUGAAACUUUGACGCAGUUUUGCCGUCCAUGACGACAUGGUGAACUGUUGUUCCGAUGGAGAAACCUUGGUUUGGAAAGAGAGUGAUUUGUAGAGAAAGAAGAGACGCUGAGUCAGAGGAAACUUGUAACUCGGGGACAAGAGGACGUAAUUCAGUCUCCAGACGAAGUUCUUUGCUAGAGAUAUAAGAGAAGUCAGCUUCGGACUCGACCACUGUGAGAGAGACAGUGUCUUUGGGGAAGAUGACUAUGUGUGGUUUAGGAUCUUGGGGGUUCCAUUUGAGGUGACCGGAGAGUGGGAGGAAGUGGGAGAGGACGAGGGAGAGGGAUUGUUCGAGUUUGGGGAGGAUGGAAGAGAAGAAGGAGUCACGAGAUGACUCGGUGAGUUUGUAGAAGGUAACUCGCUCUAUGGGAUUGAGUUUUAGCCAUAGUAAAUCAAAGAAAGUGAGUGGGAGAACGAGUGGUUCGACUGAGUUAGUUACAAGGCUGACUCGAGAGAUCUUGAUCACGUUUAAGGCCAUCGUUGACGGAGACAAUCUCACUUGGACUCUUUUUUUUCAGACAGUUUUCAAACAGACUACUGUUUUGGUGUGCCAAAUAAACAUCUAUUCACUUAAUUAUCAAAAGCAUGGGAAUAAAAUAUGACAAUCCCACUACCAUAUGAAAGAUGCUUUUGGUAGGUAAAGAUGUUUUUUAGUUAUAUCAUACUGCAUUUCAAAACAAAAUGAUGCAAAAAAAAUUCCUUAGACCUCAAUGAUUAAAAGUUUUAGGUGAUUACAAUGUUAUGAGAUUUUCCAUUACCUAAACCCAUCAAAUUCCCUUUGAAUACAAUUUUUCACUAGAAUAUGUGCGCAUAACUUUUAUUUUCCUCUUUGUUUCGUUUUCAACUAAAACUAAUGCUUUGAAGCUUUUAAAAAUGAGAAAAAUGUCAGAAAAAAUUCCCAGUUGUGCAAAAGUAUUGAAAAACAAAAUCUUCACCUUACUAGGUGAUGAAAUAUAUAAUCAACUUUCGUUCAUUUCUAAUUAAAUCAUUAAAUUUUGUUGGUUUCUUAGUUUAAUAGUGAAAUUUAGCACUUUGCCAAAAUAGUCAAUUAGUCAUCAUGAAUUUGACUAACGAAAUAAAUUAACAUAAUUAAGUCUCGGCUGAAAAUCUUAAUAAGUGAACGUAGAUUUCAACAGAGACGUAACACUGUUAAUUUAUUUCGUCAUGCAAGCUUAACGACGUGACUAUUUUGGAAAACUGAACAAAAGUUUACGAUUAAAAUGAGAAGUCAACAAAACUUUACGAUUUAACUGAAAAAUCAGCAAAAAUUGAUUAUAUAUUCCAUUGAAGCCAAAGUUGGGGAUUUCUUUCAACAUUUUUUCACAGUUCAAGAUUUUUCCGACAUUUUUCUUUUUAAAAAUAGGGAAAUUUCUUUUUGUUUUUCUAUCAUAAAAUAUAGGAUAGUUGCACUGAACCAGCAUAAAAAUUAAAUAAUAUGCCAUCAAACCAUAAUUUUUUUAAUAACUAUUAAAAAUUUGUGACUCUUUCACAGCUUUCACAGCAGUAGCAACAAUGUUUUACAUAAAAUAUACCAAAAAUACAUACUAUGUAUAAUAUAUUUUGAGAACCCAUAAUUAUUUCCUCUAAAAAAAUUUCUUCAAAUUUGUUAAAAAGUUUUAAGAGAUUUACAACAUUUGAAUAUACAAAACAUUUUUAAUAGUUAUAAAUAUCUUUUCAUUUAAUUUAUAUAUAUAUAUAUAUAUAUUAUGUAUAUAAUAUUUAAGAAUCUGUUAUGAUAGUGUUUAACAAGAGAAAACAAUUAUUUAUUUAUUUUUAGUGAAUUAUUAUGACUAAUGUAGAUAAAAGGAAUUUUUUAAUUUUGGCGGAAAAAAGCUUUCAAAAUAUUUAGUUCAAACAAAUAUAUAGAUUUGUAGCAGUAUAAAAUGAUUUGCGUGAUUGUUGUUAAAAGCUAACAACCGUAACCGCCUACAAAACAUAAUGUUUGCUGGUAAUUGGCGAAAAACCAAUCAAGCAAAUUUAAAACAUGAAAAAAACAAAAUCAUACAUUAAACAGUGGAAAUUGGAGAGAUUUGAACUAAAAAAAAAAAAAUACAUUCCCCAUCAAAAUUAGAACUGACACCUCCACAAUUAUUAAACUAUCCAAACUUUAAAAUAUAUCUCGACUAAGAGAAAUCAAAACCUCUUCAUCGAUAUUCUCUUUCAGGCCUCCUCCGGAAAUGAUCACCUCUUAUAUCUAUACUAAGUUUUCUUCAUACUAAAAAGUACAUAUUGUCUUGCAUCAUAAGAUGAUCUUCUUAAAGAGACAAGUGCAUAUUCACUCGUUCAAGUUAGUAGAAAUCCGACUUUUCUUCUUGGGAUGGAAUAGAACACAAUCUCUCUUAAUAAUUCAUUCAGAUUUAUGGUUUUCGGUAGGGAUGUUAAAGAUGGGUAAAAGUCCAGUGGGAACCCGAAACCCGCUUAAAAUUUAAAGCCUAAAGAUCAAUGUAUUGUUAAAAAUAAAGUAGGCUCAAAACGAGCGGAUCUUAUUUACGUAGAGUUGUAUGUGGGCUUUACCCUGUCGGGUUAUGGAUAUCCAUGGACUUUUUUCCUUCUAAACUUAAUGUACUAAAACGACAUCAUUUUUUCUCUCCUAAAAUCCCUAAAUCCCCAAAUUUGGUUUCUCUACGUGUUCUUCUUCUCUACCAAUUUUAAUUCCUAAAUUUGAUUCAUCUCUAUCACUCUCUCUCUUCAAUUUGAUUUGUGAUAAACCCUAGUCUCUAGGCUCCGAAGCUCACUCUCGCCUCUCUAGGAUAAAAAAACAGAGAAGAAACUCAGAAACAGAGCAUUUGGGAGGAAGAAAACGGACCCAAUUCCCUUUGACCCACCGGUUACAAGAGUAGUCAUACCUUGAAGACUCCACCUGUUAAUAUCCAUUGUUGUGUUGUGUGUGUUACGACACUUAGUCACUAUAGCCACAAGUAUAAUCAGUUAGAAUGAUAAGUUUAACUAGAAUCUAACCCGUGGUACACCACGGAGCAAAUAUUUUAUUUAUAUAUAUAAUAAUAUUAAAUUUUACCGUUUUAUAUUUAGUAUUAAAGUUAUAUUAUUUUCUAUUAAUAGUAUAAUUAAAAAAAUUAGUGAUGAUAAAAAAAUAAAAUAAAUAUUUAACAUGUGUUAUAUCAAUCCAAACCCGUCUCCUUGUAUUUCAUAUCAAUCUAAACCCGUCCUGUUAUACUUCUCGUCUCAUGAUAUUUUAAUUUUUAUGUUUAAAUAUUAAUAAUGUUUCAUAAAAUUAAAAUAUAUCAAUAAUAUUCUUUAAAAAUAAUAAUUGUUUUUGACUUUAAUGUAAUGACAUUCUUUAUAAAUUCUUACUUUACUUCAAAAAUACUUCAAAAAGGUACUACAAAAGUACUUCAAAAAGGUACUUCAAAAUUUUUAAUAUAUAUAAUGUUAUGUUUUGGUAAAAAUUAUUAUAAAUAAAGAUUUAGUUUAAUCAUAAUUUGGGAUUGAUAUACAAUACUUGUGUUUUUGACUAUCUAUUUUUUAUUCUAAUAACCUAAAUUUAGACAUUUUGUUAAUCCUACUAUAUUAUUUGGGAAGUACAUUUUAAAUGUAACCUUAAUUUUUGUAAGUAAUUACAUAGGUAUGCCAUUAGAAAUAAAAUUUUAAAGAGUAUCUCUUUAAGGAUUAAAAAGUCAAAUACUAGUUUAAUUAAUUAAAUUUAAUUAAAAAACGAAAUACAUUAUUAAUUUCCAAAAAUAAUAACCAAUCAAAAUCAACAUAUAAGAUUUGAUAUCUAAAUUUUAAUUAAUUUAAUUUAAUUAGAAAAACGAAAUACAUUAUUAAUUUCCAAAAAAGUAACCAAUUAAAAUCAACAAAUUAUAUUUGAUAUCUAAAUUAUCAUAUUAAUUUUUUAUUAAUUAUUAUAGUUCAUUUCUCAUCUUUAUAUGAUUCUAUUUUUGCGGAAAAAUAAUAUCAUCAUUAUAAAAAAAUAAUUAGAGUUUUUUCCCAUAUGUCAUAAUUUGAAUUUUUAAAAACAAAUAUAAACUGUUCAAUACAUAAAAAAAUAUUAUAACGGAUAAAAAAUAGAUUUAAGAAAAUUUUCUACUGAGUAACGGGUCAUAAUUUGAAAUAUUUAUAUUCAAUUUCAUACAUAUUAUAUUGAAAAUUUAUAAUCUUAUAUACUACAAUAAUUAAUAACAUAUUAGAUGUGAUUCAAUUUUUAAUACAAGUUGAAAAUCCUAGAAUUGCAUGUUUAGAUCGAUAUUAAUACAAGAUGGUAUACUACAGGUGAAACUCUUAAAUUAACAAUCAAACUACAAGUGUAUAAUCUUAAACACUAAACAAUAUAGAUAAUAUCAACAAAACAUAUACAACUCACAGUUUACUAUACAUUUAAAAUCAAAUAAAAUAAUAUCAAAUAUUUUUAAAUCAUCUUUAUAAUAAAAAAAUUUAGUUUAACUAAAAUAUAUACCGCAGGUUAAUAUCUAGAUUAUAGGGCUUAUUGGAUCUAAAGACGGAUCAUCAAAGAUUUCUUAAACUGAAGCAAAAUAUAUUGAAUAUUCAAAUAUCUAUCUGUUACCAAAUUAUAAACAAAUAAGUCAAUUUAAUAUUUUAUAUACGAAAUCAAUUAAAUCUUAAUCACAUAAAAAUUAGCACAAAAAAGUAUUCAUCAAUUAAAAAAAUAUCAAAUCUCUGUGUUAUAUAAGUUUUGAUACUAUAUUCGAAUAAAGUGUAAUAUACCUUUUCAAUUUGUAUUCUUUAACUAACUUAAGCUAACUAAUAUAUUUGCUAAUCUUAUACCUAUCAAAACCGACUAUCGUUUCUUAUCUCUAUAGUAUUUUUGCAAGACUUUUUUGGUGGAUUUGGAUAAAAGUGCAUUCGGGUCAUAUGGUACAUUCUCCUAUUAAAUAAAUAUGGUGCACUCCUAUGUUAUUAUCUAAAAUAUUUACAUUCUAAUUCAGAGUCAUAUCAUUAAUAAAAUUAAUAUUAAUAAAAUUAAUAUUAACAAAAUAAAUAGCUUUUUGGCAAGACGGAUUUGGAGGGACGGAUUUUUGAAUCAACAUUAAUAAAAAAGUAAAAUAUAAUUAAUCCAUCGUUUUAAUACGGGUUAGAUCUUUAAUUUAUUAUUUUUUAAGACCACUAAUAUUAAACAUAUCAAAUCAUCCUAAUUUAGAAAAGAUUAUAUAAAACCAAAAAUGUAAUGUGGUAUGUAUAAUGUUACUAUAUAUAAAAUUAAACUAUAGAUAUAAAUGUAUUAGAGAAUGAUACAAUUUGCAAAACUUUUCUAUAUAAAAAAUUAUUCUUAAAUUUUAAAAAUUACUAUUUUAAAAAAAAAUCACGGGACGGUAAAAAAAUUACAGAACGAGUUCUAUUUUGGAAUUGGGUUAUAUGGUGGAUGUAUUUGAAUCAAUAUUUAUAAAAUUUUAAAAUAUUAUUAAUAUGCUGUUUUAAUAGGGGUUAAAACUUCAGUUUUUUAACAAUUAUCUCAUGGAUUCGUGGUAUACCGUUACUUAAUAACAAUUAUAAACUGUAUAAUAUAAAUAUUUUAUAAAAGUAAAAUUUGCAAGUUUUAAUAUAUACUACUUUUAAAAAAAAAAUCAUCCCACGGGUUACAAUCUAGUCUAUAUUAUUAAUUGGGAAGCAUUGUGUGAUUGAAGGGUAGUUUAUAACUAAUUAAAUAAAUUUUUUACAUAGGUAAUAUAGUAAUUUAACAACUAAUCCAAAACACAUUAAUGAGUUUAAUAGGCUAACAAAUAGUAUGGAUCUUUUAACACACACGCAAAAUAAUUCAAAAAUAGAAUUCAUGUUUGAAUUGAUUCGACUAAUUGUAUUUGACUACCUUGCGCACCCAACUUUAUUGUUCUUCAUGGAUGUACUUUGAAAAAUAUGCAUAGAUAAUCAUAUAUUAUUUAUAUAAAUUUGUGUUUGAACUAUAUAAUAUAAAUCGUAUAUAGUUACAAUAUGAUACGUACAAACAUAUAUAUGCAAUAUGGUUCAGUUCAUAUGGUCACAUGGAAGCUCAACUAAUAUAAUUAUAGAAAUCUGUUUCGAAUUAGAUUAGUUUGUUAUAUAAAUUAUACGGAGCAUUUUGAAUUAGAUUUGUUUGUUAUAUAAAUUAUAAAAAUCUGUAUAAAUCUAAACUAAUAUAUAUGGUAAUCAUUUAAUGCUCAAUAAUAUCCUAUUCGUUUGUUGUAAAUUCUAACAACACGGAGAAUAUUGUAGCAACAUGAAUAAUCAUUUAAUAUUUCUAACAAUUAUCAUAACUCUAAAAUUUUGGAUCAUUCUGAAAGUAAAAAACCACACACACGUUUUGAACAAUCUCUUUUUACUAAUACCAUUGCUUAUACAAAAAUGAAUGUACUUGCUUUGGUCACAGACCUUGCUAACGUAAAGCCUUUCAAAAUCGAAUGGAAAAAUCCAAGUUAAGAUUUUGUAUUCAUGGACUUAAUACACGGAAUACUCAGAAGAAACCAUGGAAAUGAUCCUACCUGAUAAAAAUGUAAGUAUUGAUUUUCGUUUAAAUCUAGGUUAUAUCAGGAUUGUAUCUUUUAUAUUAUUAACACAAUUGUAUUUCACUAAUUUACUAAUUUACAGGGAACUUUGAUACAUGCUACUAUUAAGAAACAACAUAUGAGAGCACGCAAAACCAAACUAUUUAUAUAAAUAAAACACUAAUAAAUGAUGCAAAAAUUGUUAAACUUUAAAUAACUAAAAUUUCUAUUCAAAUUUUAAAACUAAGAAACAGAAAAUAAACGUGUAAACCAAAGUAAUUUUAAGAACAAAAGAAAAAUUUCCAAUGAAAUAUUACUAUUAUGAUAUCUCUGCUACUAUAUAAUUCACUAACCCAAAAUAAAAUAAAAUCUUAACUAAAAGUUUUUGCAAAAAAUAUUGUUUUUACAUUACCUUCCAUACAUCUUAUUUUCAAAUAUUAUGAUAACUGAUAAAUUUAUGAUAUAUAUACUAUUAUAUAAUUCACUAACACAAAAAAAUUAAUACAAACUUUUAUCAAAACCAUAUGAUAAUACUUAUAACUCGCAUAUUGUGCGGUUCACAACAUUAGCUAUUGUAUCAUAAAUAACAAUUAUACACUUUUCUAUGCACAUUAUAAUUUAUAUAUUACAAUAUCUUUCACUAAAAAAUUAUUCCAAUACAUUUCUUAAAAUACGAAACCCCGCACGUACGUGCGGGUCAGAAUCUAGUAUUAUUUGAAUCAGCAAUAUCAACUUAAUACAUGUACAAUUUAUUUAUGCCAAAAAAAAAAACAAAAUUAUUUUGUACAAUUGCAAAUUUAAAACGAAAAAUAUGGAUUGAGAUAAUUUGGGUUUCAAUUUUUUAUUACGUAAUUAAAUUUUUAAUGAAAAUAUUAAAGCAUAUAUUGUAAUAUAAGAUUUGAUUCAUUUUAUUAACUGAAAAUAAAUGAUUUAAAACAAAAAAUCAGGGUGAUUAAUGCUAAUUGGAAAGAUUUAAAUGUUUUUGUGAUUUUUUUUUUAGUUUCCUAAACUUUAGUAACAUAAUAGAUUUUAUAUUUAGAUUUAAAAAUAAGUUUAGUAAAACAAUAAAUGUCGAUGGCAUGCCAUUAUAAAUCAGUGUCAGGAUUUAUUUAUUAAAGUGGCUGCAAAAAUGUAUAUGUAGAUGACGCUAAAUAUAAAUAUAUUCAGAAAAUACAGAAAAUGAAUACAAUUUAAAAUAUAUCUCUAUAUAAUUCGAGUACUUACAGAUAGUUUCAAAACACAUGGAUUUUUGGGAUUUUACCCACAAGUUCUAAAAUCCAUUCGAGUUUUUUUAAAAUUUGAGAUUUUUAUGGGUGGGUUCAAUUUGGGUUAGGGCUGGACUGUUUUUUUUUACCACGACAACAUCCCUAGCUUCCGGAGAUGUCACUAAACUUCAUGUCCAAUUCUGGUGGAAACUUUAGUGAAAAUUGGUGGAAACUUGGGCUAAUGGGUACAAAGAAGAAAGUCUCAUGAAUCAAAUCAAGACUGUAUUGAAUAAAUUAUUUAUCCGAAACGGGUCUAGAUCAUAUUAUUUCACAUCUUACUGUAAUGAUUGACUUUAAAGAAUAUAGAUCAAAAACCUAUAGUAUCACACACAUAAUACUCCAAAAUCAUUUAAAAAUAAAACCAAAGGAAUGUUAUUUUUAUUUAUAGAAAUUCUAAUAAAUCACCAAAAAUUUAUAGAAUUCACAUAAAUCCCACCAAUCUAAAAUCCACAAAAUCUUUGAAUCACUCUUUCAAUACAAAGUGUGUAUUACACAUAACUUUUUCAACUUUACAUUCAAAAUAUACACCUAACUACUUUACCAAAAUCUUUAAAACACAAAUAUAUGACAUACAAUGAUACAAAUAUAACGGAUAAAUCUGCAUUAAAUUCUUUGCUUGGACUUUGGAUUUUUUUUCAUGCCCCAUCGAAUGAAUUCAAGAUACAGAUUUUUCCUUUUAACAACUGAACUCACUUAUUUAGAAGACGAUACAAUGUAAUGAUCAUUUAAAUCCAGAUUUAACUUUCAAUUGUCAAAUCCAUUACUAAAUAAAGAAAGGAAAACAAUCAUCUCACAUCUCUUCAAAGAGACCCCAAUCUCAUCCCUCCUCGCUGACAUAGAAAAGCUAUUGUUCUUGUAAAGAGACAUAACAUCAGUAUUAACUGGUCUUCCCCACCCAAAAUCCGCCCCAUAUAUCCCAAACUGGUUCGACCCGGUAACAGUCAAUACUUUUGUACCAACCUUCAUGUUUUUAGUUCCUUCCUCGUACACCUCCCAAACUGACUCAAGACUUCGUGAACCCAAACCUUUGACCGAAUCACUUAAAAUCUCAACACCGUUGACGAAUCCAUCUUCUCCCAAAAAGGUCGUCGCUUCAUAUCCAUUAAAAUCAAUUGGUAAAACACAAUUCCCAAAAUAUGUUAAAGGAACCGGUGGAUCUAACCGGUUUCUAAAAUCAGCAGCAUAAAUAAACCGAAUCGGUCUAUCCACACUGCCCCAUGCGCCUUAAUCACACAAGUCAACACAUAAGUGUACGUGACGAAUGAUCAUUUCUUGUGUCCUUUUUUGGGACAACUAAUCUGCAAAACCACUUUAGAGUCUUCAUAUCCCCUUUGAGUUAAUGAUUUGUGUUAAGACGAAUUUAUCCCUGUAAUUUAUUUUGAAUGAAUAAUUAGAAUAAUUAAUAGAAAACAUUUUGAAAAAAAAAAAAACGGAAAAAGAAAAAAAAAAAGCUCGAGCACGAGCUCGACUUCUUCUUCGGGAUUCUUCCUCCGGCGAGCUCCGGCAAGCUCCGGCGAGCCGCAUUGUCGUUUUUCUCCUCCUGCAAGCUGCAUCAAUCUACUAAGUCCAGGUAUGAAGAGAGCUUCAAAAGCUUUGAAUUACAUAUUUUGAGGAUUUUGAGAUUCAAUCCAAUUAGAUUUGGGUUAUUGUGUUUUAGCACCUAUAUUAGAAGUUUAAGUAUAGAUUUAGGCUUCAUUUGGUCUGUUAAUGGGUAAGCAAUUGAUUUCACAUGCUGAUUCAUACUAAAUUGAACUCAAAUCGAAUAUUUGUUCUUGUCGCGAAAAUAAUACUGGUCGAACUAGCUAUAGUAGUACCGUAAUUUAUAUAGAUAGUAUGUUUUAAUAGCACCAAUAUUACUUAAACACGUAGUAUUUCAUAUAUGUAAUAGUAUUACUCACACAUGUAAUAUUUCAGAAUUAGUACUAGUAUUACUGUAAAUGUACUAGAAUCGGUAAUACUAGUAAUAUUGACUGAGUAUGUGUAUUGUUUUGGCAGGUUACAAUGAAAGAGAACAUGAUCAUAUAUUUUAAAUUCCAAGGUCGCAUGUAUAAUGUGAUGAUGAAGAGAUUAAGGGAGAAGAUUACUCUCUCAGUGUUAGAAGAUAGGAUAAUGACGAAGCUUGGAUUAGAUGCAAAUAAGGUAAAAUUGCAUAUGAGGUACAAUCCACGGUUGUUCGGAGUAGAGGAAGAAAUGAACGUUUGUGAUGAUGAGGAUGUCUUUGUUUAUGUAACAUCCGCAAAAAAUAAUCGGAGAAGUGUUUUGGUUGUGGAGGAGAUCUCUAAACCGCCCGAGCCGGGGCAAUUGCCCGAGCAAUUGUCUAGAGUUGGUAAAAGUUCUGUUGGUAAGAACUAUACGGAGUUGAAUUCAGAGGAGGAUGAAAUGAGAGUGGAUGAUGGUGCACUCAUCGUCUUAUUAGAAGAGGAACAAGGAACUCAACAUCAACUUGAGGCAAUAGUGGAGGAUCACGGGACUCAAUAUUAACUUGAGGCAAUAGUGGAGGAUCACGGAACUCAACAUCAACUUGAGGCAAUAGUGGAGGAUCACGGGACUCAAGAAGAUGAAACACGCUAUGAUGAGUCUAUGGAUAAUUCUGAUAGGGGGGAACAGUAUGUUGAGUCGCCACCUGCUGUAGAACCGGGUAUGUUUAAAAAAGAAUGGGAAGACGGAAUUGGGUUGACCUUACGUCAAGAAUUUCCAAACAAGGCGGCAUUGCACGAGGUGGUGGAUUGAGCUGCAUUUGCUAACAGUUUUGGUUAUGUGAUUAAGAAGUCGGAUAAGGAGCGCUAUGUCCUAAAGUGUGCCAAAGAGAGCUGUUCUUGGCGUUUACGAGCGUCCAAUAUCAGUAAUACUGAUAUAUUCUCGAUUAGAAGGUACAAUAAGAUGCAUAGUUGCACUCGGCUAAGUAAAGGUAGUAGUAGGCUCAGGAAAAAAAACGCAACCCACAAUUAGUCGCAGCUCUCCUUCAUGAUCAUUUUCCGGGAUAGUUGGAAACUCCGGUUCCAAGAAUUAUCAUGGAGCUAGUUCAGACGAAGUUAGGUGUGAAAGUAUCAUACUCGACAGCGCUAAGGGGGAAAUAUCAUGCGAUUUAUGAUUUAAAAGGUACCCCGGAAGAAAGCUACAAGGAUAUCAAUUGUUAUUUAUACAUGUUGAAGAAGGUAAAUGAUGGUACAGUUACUUAUCUGAAAUUGGAUGAGAAUGAUAAAUUUCAGUACGUAUUUGUAGCUUUGGGAGCUAGCAUUGAAGGUUUUAGAGUGAUGAGGAAAGUUUUAAUUGUGGACGUAUUCGUAGCUUUGGGAGCUAGCAUUGAAGGUUUUAGAGUGAUGAGGAAAGUUUUAAUUGUGGAUGCAACACAUUUGAAGAACGGAUAUGGCGGAGUGCUAGUGUUUGCCUCGGCUCAAGAUCCUAACCGUCACCAUUACAUCAUAACGUUUGCCGUACUCGACAGUGAGAAUGAUGCUAGUUGGGAGUGGUUUUUCGAGAAGCUAAAAACGGUUGUACCCGAUACUUAAGAAUUGGUUUUCAUGACGGAUAGAAAUGCAAGCCUCAUAAAGGCCAUACGGAACGUGUAUACCGCGGCUCAUCACGGGUAUUGUAUUUGGCAUUUGUCCCAAAAUGUGAAAGGUCAUGUUACUCACACCAACCGAGACGUACUCGCAUGGAAGUUUCAGGAGUUAAGUCGGGUCUACGUCGUGGCGGACUUCAACCGAGCGUAUGACGGGUUUAAGUUGAGAUAUCCUAAGGCGACCAAGUAUUUGGAGGAUACAACCGUGAAAGAAAAAUGGACAAGGUGUUGUUUUCCCGGAGAAAGAUACAACUUAGACACAAGCAAUUGUGUGGAAUCUUUGAACAAUGUGUUUAAAAACGCAAGGAAAUACUCGUUAAUACCAAUGCUUGAUGCGAUCAUCAAAAAAAUCUCCGUUUGGUUUAAUGAACAUCGGAUGGAAGCCGCGUCUGGAUCUUUAGAAAAUAAGAUGGUGCCUUUGGUCGAGAAUUAUUUGCAUGAUUUGUGGGUUUUUGCCGAGAAUAUGUAGUCACAUGCGACAAAGGAAUAGAUUAUACGGUGAGCUUGCUUUUGAAAACUUGCAGUUGCAAGGUUUUCGAUAUCCAAAAAUAUCCUUGUAUUCAUGCAUUAGCCGCUUUCAUUAACAUUAUGGAUGAUGAAGAUCGGAGAAGAGGUUUGGAGUUACAUGAUUUGGUUACAAAAUAUUAUUGGGCGGAGUUGUGGGUAUUGGCCUAUUAUAGGACUAUUUAUCUUGUUCCGGAUAGGUCGCAGUGGGAAAUACCAGAUGAAGUAAAGGCGUUGAAGAUAGUUCCGCUGUCUAAAAAACCGAAGAAAGGAAGGAAAAAUAUGCUAAGGUUUCCAUCAACCGGGGAAAAGCAGCCAAAACGACAAAGGACGCAAAACAAAAGGCGUCCAAGGCAAUCGUGUCAAUGAUUAUUAUUUGGGAAUACGCCUAUCUGAGUUUUUUACUUUGUUUCUGCAGUGAUUUGUUGUUUUUAUGGUAUGGACUUACUAUGUAAUACUGUAUUUCCCCUUUCUGUAAUACUAUGUCUGUUUCUAUUGUUUUUUUGUAAUAUUGGUUAUAACAAGUAAUAUCAUGUCUGUUUCUGUCGAAUUUGUGGUCAUAUUAGUACUACUGGUAAUACUAAGUUGGUGUUAUGGAGUUCGAAUUUGUUUACCUCAAAACUCAAUGAAAAUGAAUACAGUGAGUUAUAAACAGAUAAAAAUGUAUUAUUAAUCAUUUAUACUUAAUUAAGUUAGAAAUUUUAAUAUUAAAUCGUUUUAACUUAUUUUUAGUAGACUCAAUACAACAUAUCCCUUAUACUUUUAAGCUCACUUUUAAUAUUAUCACCAACUUAAAAUGAAAAAUUCACAUUGCUACAUAUAUUUAAUUUAUAAUUGCACAAAAUAUUUAAACCUCUAUAUUUAUAAAGUUCAAUCUAGUGUACUACUAAAUAAACAAAUUGUAAAUAUAGGAAAUACUGCUAAACAUGAAAAACAUGGAAAGUAAUACUAUUUGAGAAAUUGGCACUACCAAAACCUUAGAAAAUACUAUGCUGUAAAAAGGCUGCGCACAUGUCAAAAAUCUCCAAAAAACGGCGCACACGUGGGGAAUUAAUUUUUUUGGUUUUCCCCCAAAAUUUUUGGCGCCUAACAAAUUUUGAGAUUCCCUCCAAAACCAAAAAUUUCACUUUUUUCUUUUUCCUCUUUCUUUUUCGAUCUUUUCUUACAACUUUCUUUCAUCUCUCAUCUCUCUUCUCCCACAUCUCUCAUCUCUCUCUUCGACUCGAAUUCUCUCACAUCUCUCAUCUUUCUUUCAUCUUUCUACCAUGGAUAGACUGUGUGAGAGAGACCCCUACUACGAUGAUAUGAAAGUGGCGAAGAGAGCCAUUGAGCAAAUGGAAAUGGUUGCGAUGAUGGAAGGGAUUCCUAAGUUUUGUCCAUGCGGUGGUAGCAUUGUCGACACUCGAAAGGAUGAAAAGAGAUACUAUCAAUGCGAGAAGUUUAAGGUAUGUUGAUGUAGAGCACAAGUUUUUCAAGUUUGUGUAGAUCUAGAUCUAGAUAUAUUUGGUAUUUCAGAGUAUUUCCCGUUAUGGUAAUACUGCCUAGAACAAGUAAUACUGCACAAGUUUUUCUAGGUUUUGUAGAUCUAGAUCUAUAUUUGAUAAAUAUUUGGUACUUUGUAGGAUGAUAGAACUGAUUGUAUGCACAUCCGUAAACUUUGGGAUAAGGCUAUGGAAGAAGAGGUGAGUAGCUUAAGGGAGAGUGUUGAUUACAAUCGGAAGAAAGUUCUAAGUCAUGAGUAUCUCAUAGAAGAAAUGCAAAAAGAAUUGAAAGCCCACCGUGCAGAGAUUGUGAACGUGAGCAAAGUGUUAUUCCGUAAUCCUAUGGCUCCAAAGAAGUAAUGUGUUAUCCUAUUGUUCCUUAAUCUUAUUGUUAAUUUGCUUGUAAGACUUUCCCUAUGCUUUGUAAGACUUUCUGUAUGCUUUGUAAGACUUUCCCUUCGAUUGUAAGACUUCUCUUUGAUUGGUAAUACUAUGGUUGUUCAGUUUGAUAUUUCCAGUAUAUCUCUUAGUAGUAAUAGCACGAGGUAUUUCCCGUAUUUCAGUUAACAAUAUCAUAAAACAUCCUAAUACAUUAAUUGAAUACAAACAUAGUUUUACGAGUACUUGCGAAAUCCUAAAACAAAGUCAAAGUACAAGAAAUCAAAAUACAAAUCCGGAGAAGUUACACGAAUAGUUUUCACACGUUACUAGACUUUGCACGGGUUGAACGGGUCACUCGUUUGGGCACAACAGGAGCAGCCGCAUUUUCCUUAAUUGUUGAUUCCUCCUCAUCUGGUGGGUUCUGAGACAUCUACAUUGUUAAUUUAGUUAAACCUUGGUAUUACGCGAUAUUACCAAUUAUGGAACAGUAUAUCCGGUAUUACCCAGAUUUACCUUGGCUUUCAUCUCAUCCAUAAAUGCUUCGAACGUUGCUUGUUUUUCCUCUAUUUCCAUAAGCACCAACAAAGCUUCAUUCAGCUUAUCAUUGAUGGAAUGGAGCUUCUCCAUUACAUCAACUAACGUCGGGUCUCCCGGUCCAACAGCUGUGGGAACUUCCUCUUCAUUUGGGGCUUCCAUUCGUGCCUGCACAUCCUCGUUGUACACCUCCUCAAAUCUAAUUUCACGCCCUUGACCAAGACGCUUCAUCCAACUAUCAACUACAACAUCGUGCUUAUCAACAUCAUCCUCUACUCCCGUGAUUUCAGCCAAAAGAGGUACUUCUUCAGCCUUCUCUCUAAUUAUACUCUCAAUGACCUAUGGAAAUAAUAGACAAUGAAAUAUUAGAAAGAAAUAAAAUCAUAUUUGCUCAAGGAAUAAUAGGAAAUACUAACCUCAGUUGUUCCGAGUACAUGGUUGAUUUGCUCAAGGGUAAAUCCUUUCAUCUCGAUCCUCUUGAAAUUCACCUUGCACAUCCUUUGACAACCGGCAUGUGCACCCUCUUUUUCUUCUAUGAAUCUUUCCCUAAGUGAUGGAAUGGCUUCAAAUGCUAAAAACUACACAAACCACAUGAAAUUUAAUUGUUAGCUUCAAUUACGAAAAUGUAACAAGGAUAAAACAUGUGACUUACCUCAAGCGGCACACAGAAUCCGGGAACAGGCCAUGGUGACUGAGUGUUCGGGACGACACCGUUAAAAUGAUCCAAUUUGUGUGAGAUCGAUUUUAACAUGUACUCAAAUGAAUAUCUCCCCGAUGGAAAUAUCUUACAAAACGUAAGAUCACUUGCAGACCUCACACAGAAAUCAUCAAUUGGACUAGCCCUUUCUCCGGUCUUAGUAGGCAUGACAAUGAUGCUAGUUAGAAAAUAGAGGGCCGCCAUCCGCAACCUAUCCUUUGAUCUAGCCGGUUCCAUCUCCAUUAGCUUGGUUUUCACGUCUUCACGUCUAAUUACCCCGGUUUUGAAGUACCUGUUGGCGAAGUUCAUAUUACCAGCACUCUGAUAACUAGCUGGAUAGGCCUUGCAGUUGAAACCAGAGAUCAAAGCAUGCUCCCUAAUACCAUAGCGGAUGGGAACUCCAUUAACAACGAACCAAACCUCCUUCUUCUUCUCAAUAGAUGCCGUUCGAAGAAAAAGCAUCCACAUCCGCAUUAACUUGUGGGUAUAUCCGGAAGGCAGGUGGUAGAUGUGCUUGAAACUCGGAUGCUCCAUAAAAUAAUUCUUCUCAACAUGCGUUAGAGGAUGUUCCAAGUCAGCGAAGGUCUUCAACACCUCCGAGAUAUAACACCUCGUUGCUAACUUCAUCUUCUUGGGAUACUCCGACACCGGGAAGUACAUACCAAGUGGCUGCAUUGCCAUCGCUUCCUCCAUAUCCUGAAAGAAACAAACAUUCAUUCAUAUAUCACUCAAUUGUAAAUAGUACUGCCACAGUAUUACUCUGUAUUUCCAAAAGUAUUCCCCGAAAUUACCAGUAUUACACAAAUCCUACUAUUCAUAUAUCACUCAAUUGUAAAUAGUACUGCCACAGUAUUACUCUGAAUUUCUCAGAAGUAUUCCCCGUAAUUACCAGUAUUACACAGAUACUCCUAUUUUACUAUGUAGUAUUUCUCAAAGUUACUAGUACUAACUAUCGAUAAAUCACAAUUGUAGUAUUACUCUAAGGUAUUACCCACAUCCGCCAAUAUUACCUAAAUAUCAACAUAGCAUUUCCCAAUGUUACUAGUACUGUCCACAGUUCACAAUUGCAUUAUUACCCAAUUAGAUCGGUAUUACGAAAUGGAAUACUUACCACAUUUGCGAUGUCCUCGUCUAUGGUCCUCUCCUCCCCGGAUUUUUCCACUAUCACGUCCUCGUCUCUCUCGUCCUCGUGUCCCUCAUCCUCCACGGACUUUUCCACAUUGACGUCCUCGUCGCUCUCAGAGCUCCUCUCCUCCUCCUCCUCGAUAACGGUUAGGCCGUCAUCUUGUCUCUCCGCCUCUUCCACGGGAUUAGCACACGCGAGUUCUUUGUUUGUCUCCGUCUCCUCUGAAUCGGAAUCGGAGCCCAAGGUUCGGCUACUACUCCCUGAUUCUUCUUCUUCACUUGCUUCUUCUUUUCAUUUUCAUCUUCCACCUCAUCAGUUUGCAUAUUCUCUUGAAUUUCUUCAGCAGGAAUAUGCUUCAGAGCAUCAUAAAACGUAGAAUCAUCAAGCAUCGGGCUCUCCGUCGUUGGAGCCGUCGUUGGAGCCGUUGUCGUUGGAGCCGCUGUCGUUGGAGCCGCAUUGGUUGCCAUCGCCGUCGCAGUCGUUUGUGUUGGCGACUGCUCCUCAGCCGGCACUUUCUCUUUAUCUUUCUUCGCCGGCGCCUGAACCUUCGCUUUCUUCGCCGGCGCCUGAACCUUCGCUUUCUUCGACGGCGCCUGAACCUUCGCUUUCUUCGCCGGCACCUUCUCCUUCACUUUCUCCGCCGGCGCCUUCCUUCACUUUCUCCGCCGGUGCCUUAACUUUCUCUGUCUUCGCCGGCGCCGACGCUUCUAUCUCAUUUCUUUUCCCUUGACCUCCUCCACGCGUCUUAGGCGGCAUGACUGAUUUCGAAUCGGAAAUAGAACGGAAAUACUGGUGAAAGGAAGAAGAACGAUCGAUUGAAUUUAAAGAAAUAGGGAAUGUUGCGGUUAAUUUCAGCGGUUACUAAGGAGAAGAAGAAGAAAAAUCAAAAACGGUUGUAAUGAGAAAAAGAAUGAAAUUCGAAUUGGGAAAUCCCUGGAAAUAUUAGAGUUUUUCUUAUUUGAUUUUCAAAUAAAGAGUAAAGGUGGUUCGGGUGGUUUGGUUCGGAAACGAACCAUGAUUUUUCUGGUAAUUAAUAGGUUCGGAUGGGGAUAUACUAGUAAUAUCCAUAUAUUUCGAAUUAAAAAAAAAAAAAAUUAUUUCUGUUUUUUACAAGGAUUUUUUGGCUUCCUCUUUGCAAAAAAGGGACUGGCCAGAUGAUUUUUCGUACGUGACUACAAACGUUGAUAGAAGAAGAUCGGACCAAGUUGACUCGUUCUUGGCUUGUUCUUUAAGUUUCUUGAUGUUCGCUUCACUCAACUCGAGCGUGACCCGAACCACGUUGAUGUUCUCUUUAGCGGGAGGCAGCAUUAAAUUUCUUGCAUUGACUUUCUCCUUUGAGAGAUAUGGCAAGAGUUGAAAGAGUUUUGGUUCGAGUCCGGCCGGAACAUUGAUGACCGUACGAUCUAAAACCAUAGGUAGAUCAAAAUCUUGUGGUAUGUUCCCGUGUUUACAUAUAUGAGCCCAAGCUUUGUAAAACUUGGACGCUGUUUUGCCGUCCAUGACGACAUGGUGAACUAUGGUUCCAAUGGAAAAGCCUUGGUUUGGGAAAAAAGUGAUUUGUAUAGACAGAAUCGAUGCUGAGUCAGAGGAAACUUGUAACUCGGGGACAAGAGGACGUAAUUCAGCCUCCAGACGAAGUUCUUUGCUAGAGAUAUAAGAGAAGUCAGCUUCGGACUCGACCACUGUGAGAGAGACAGUGUCUUUGGGGAAGAUGACUAUGUGUGGUUUAGGAUCUUGGGGGUUCCAUUUGAGGUAACCGGAUAGUGGGAGAAAGUGUGAGAGGAAGAGGGAGAGGGAUUAUUCGAGCUUGGGUUGGAUCGAGGAGAAGAAGGAGUCACGAGAUGACUCGGUGAGUUUGUAGAAGGUGACUCUCUCUGUGGGAUAAAGUUUUAGCCAAAGUAAAUCAAAGAAAGUGAGUGGAAGAACGAGUAGUUCGACUGAGUUAGUUGCAGGGCUCACUCGAGCGAUCUAGAUCACGUUUAAGGCCAUCGUUGACGGAGACAAUCUAUCUUGGGCAGUCUUCGAACAGACGAGUGUUUGGUGUGUGCCAAAGUAAAACUUUAUUCACCAAUUAUCAAAAGCAUAUGAAAGAUGCUCAGGGUAGGUAAAGCCCACUACAGGAAAAUUGAGUAUUCUUAGCGGUCGAAUAAGCUAUCUAACGAGAUGAUAGCGGAGUAGAAAGCGCUAUAUCUUCGUCCAUGAUAAUAGGUCGAUGACUUCUAAUAGCAGUUUUAAGUAGUGCUAUAUUUUGAUUAUAUAUUAUAGCGUGUUCUUUUUGCAAUUUAAUAUUAUUUAAUAAUGAUUAUAUUUUGUUAUUAAUUAUUAAAUAACAGUAUUUAAUAUAUGCAAUUUAAUAAAUUGGAAUAACAUUUAUAAUAUGCAAUUUAUUCAAUUAAAAUAGCAUUUAUAUAUAUGCAAUUUAUUCCACUAAAAUAGCUUUUGUAUUAUCAUUAUUUCGGUUUGUUAUAUUUGUAAUUAUAUAUUAUUUUAAUUUAUGAGGUUUUUUGGAUAAAUUGAGUAUUGACAUAUAAAUAUAUUAUAUUUUAUUACAUUAUAUGAAAUCAUAACACAAAAACAAUAUAUUACAAAGUAUAUACAAAUUUUUUUUAAAAAAAAGUAAAAGUACAUAUAUUAGUAGAAACUCUUAUAUGAACUAGAUGAGUACCCGCACUACGUGCGGGCUUAUGUAGUUUACGACUCUUAAAGUUAUUUUUAUUCAAUAUUAAAUUAUCUAUUCCUAUAAAAUUGAGAGACUACCACAUAAACCUUGUGUAGAAAUGUAACACAUCAACAAGGUUAACAUAAACCUUGUGUAGAAAUGUAACACAUCAACAAGAUUAGCAUCUGUUCUUUUGAUGCUUCCGGCCUUUGACAUCUUUGUCCGUUGUUUUAUUUUUAACCUAUCCAAUUCGUGUUAUAAAUCCAGUGUUUUGUGUAAUUUGAAAUUUAGAUGUUUAGGCAAAUAGAAUACCUUGAAGAGCAAGCCUUCCCACCGUUAUAUUCUCCUUUGCCGCAUCACCAUCGUCAGGAUUGUCACCAUUGCUCUCGUCCUUGGUCAUGAUAUAUUAAUAAUUAAUCAAUAGAUAAAUAUACCUCAGUUUCUUCUCCUCCAUCUACAUGUAGCACAUGUUAAUGAUUGUAGUUGAUUUUGUUCUUGCAAUCUGAAAAAAGAAAACAUAUGAAUAUAUGAUGUUAGUUUACUCUUACAAUCCCAAGAAAUAAUUUAAAAGAGAUUGAAAAGUAAGACAUGCAUGUAUUUAUAAUUUUAUAUGGGAGCUAAUUAAAUAUUUACGUUAUGUAACAUAUAAGUGGAUAUGAUUAGAAGUUUAAAAGUUAUUAAAAAUUAAAAUGAAAUUAAUACCAAUAAGUUGUAUACAUCAUGCUCUUGGGGAAGUUUGGAUAAGAAUAGUUGGGUAUUUGAAACGUCCAAAUAUUAUUCAUGAAUCAUGAAUAGUUGAGUACUUCGUAAAUGCAUAAUCGUGGAUAUGAGAUUUUAUGUAGAUUAAAUCCUGGCUUUACUUAGAGCUGAUUAAUUAUUUAUUUGUUUAUUUUAAUAGGUACACGUGGCGAGCUAUUAGAUGCUGACGUGUCAAGCAGAUGGAGAAAGAUAGCCUCCUUUCAUAUAUAUGAUUCAUCUUGUAAACCUCACUGUAAACAUGACACCAAUUUUCGCUGCAUCCAACACACACAAAGCCUUUAUCCUGCAAACACCAAAUUCUCAUUAACACUGAUAAUAGGUUUUUAAGAUCAAUUAAUCCUAAAGCACUAUCAUGUUGUUGUAGUACUGAAGGUUGUCAAUUCAAAUGGGUAUGAUGCUAACAAUCAAGAUGUGAUCAGAAGUCACUAAGUCAAGCCAAGCAAUAACAGGUUUUGGUGUGUUCUAGCAGUCCUAAGUGAACAUGCAGAAAACAGAAAAUCAAAUAGAAACAGUAAAACACUCGACCAACACAGCUCUUUGCAGAGCACUGGGUGAGGUCGAGUAACAGACAGAAAGUAUAACACAGAUACUCGACUGCACAGUCUGUUGCCAGACAACUGGGUGGUCGAGUAUGAGGUCGAGUAACAAGAAAGAAUUGUAGAAAUUAAGCAACAAAUGACAAGAUGCAGUAAACAACAGUAAAGUAAACAAAGAAUUCAAUCAGAUAAAGAAUUCCCGAGGAUGGGGUAAUUGAGUAGUUUCGUUUCCUCAGUUUACAAGUGAUUGUCAUGCUCAAUAAAUUGUCCCUAGACAACAAGUUCAUUAACCAAAUCUAAGUGCCACCGCAACAGAGACCCUCAAGUUAACCUAGUCCCAGACUCAAUCACCAUUGACGAGAGCUAACCUAACAUGCAUUACGAAUCAACAAGUUAAAGCCAAAACGCUCUCUGCAUCCAAUACCUUGGUACAUGGCCACGAAUCUCUGGAAUUAGUGGUUCAGACAUUUCAUCGAACACCUUUUGGGCGCGGAGAUGUCUGGGCUCAAAUUCCAGUUGAUCAGAAAGCAAUAAGCAUUAAGAACAACUAAUCCAGAAGGGAUCUAUCAAUCAAUACUCAACCACCUAGCAUACUAAGAAUUCUACACUUACUCUAACCCAUCCUCAGAAACCUAUUCACUACUCAGACAUCAUAGCAGAAAGCAUAAACGUUGAACAAGUUGAAAACAUGAUAACAACAGUGUAACAACAGGAUGAUAACAGAAUGAACAACAGUAAACUAAAAUCAAGAACAAAUACUGAAUACUUAAUAGAUAAAGAGAAAUCCGGAUUACAAAAGGUCUAGAACACAGUGUCUGCAGAAUAAAACUAGAUAAAAACUUGUUUGCGAAAAUGUGAAGUACAUGCUACUUAUAGCCAAAUAUUCUGAAACCCUAAUACUUAAAACGACGCAGUAUUGGGACGGAUUAAGAACUGUACUCGACCCAUGUGGUCGAGUGGGAGGUCGAGUGAAUAGCUGGAGUCUUCUUUUCUUCCUUGUUCUCGAGUGUUUGGUUGAGUACGGAAUGAAGAAGACUCUGAAGCUUGCCAGCGAGUGUGUAGUCGAAUGGUGGUGAUGGUGAUACUCGACUUCCUGGUAGAGUGAUGUGGUCGAGUGAUGAUCAGGUAAUGGAGGUGAAGACACUCGACCUCGGGGUCGAGUGAUGUGAUCGAGUGGUGGUAAGGUGAUGGAGAUGAAGACACUCGACCUCGUGGUCGAGUGGUGAGGUGAAGUGGUGAUGUCCUCUACUCGACCAGGGGGUCGAGUGGUCUGCUGAGGUUGUGAAUCGUCUACUCGACCUAGGGGUCGAGUGGUUUUGCAUGAUCAGGUCCGCUUCUUCCAAUUAGCUCGUCAACAACUCCGAAUCACCUGAAAACAACACAAAUAUGCAACAUGCAUGCAAAACUAUCCUAAACAUGCAAAGUGAUGACAAAUGAUGAGAAAUGAUAUAAAAUAGUGAUGAUAUGAUGCUAAAGUGAUGACAAAUGGAUGCUCAAAACAUGCAAAAUACACACUUAUCAAACACCUCACAUCAAUUUCUUAAAGUACCAAUUCUACUUAAUCUAGACAUUUGCGCCAAUUCAAAUUACAGAAAUAUAUAAUUCUCAGAUCCCACUAGGCACUAGUUAUGGCCUCAGACAAAUCCAAGUAACAUAAUGUUGUAAAUCUUUGUUUUCAUAUUUCUCAUUGUCUUACACAACAUCACUACCACAUUUAAUUAACAAAAAAAAUUUAUAGAAGAAAAUAAGACAACAACUCUUUAACCACUACACAACCAUUCCCACUAGACUUACUUAACUCUUAAACUUAGUUUAGUCUUUACUUAAAAAAAUAAAAUACAAAUUGAUGCAAAAGAAAACCAAAGAAAACAGAUUGCUUGUCAAACAAGCAAAACAAAUUUUGAUGAAAAUAACUGAAGAGCUUGAGAGGAAGUUUUUUUUUUCUCACUUAAAGAUUUUCAUUAUAUAAUACAUCGGAGAAAUAUAUUUUUGGGAUGCGUUUUUGAAAUACAAAAGCCGGGGCAAAACAAAAAUAUCUCCGAAAGAUAAAGCCCGAUACACCGGAAACAGAAGGAAAUAUACUAAAGUCAAAAAGAAAAGCUCUCGAAAUCAUUAGAAAAGUCGGAGGAGAACAAUAACUGCGGGAUUAAGAGCUUAAAGGUCAAAGUCUAGAAAACCCACAAUCGCGGAAUUUAGAGCUCAAAGGUCUCGAACAUACCUAGCAAUCUCAAAUAUGAGUCUCCUUCUUAGAUUUGAGUAUAGCAUGUUGAUUUCGGAUGAGUAAGAUUCAAAGAAACUAGCUCAAUACACACAAUUGGACAAGCAAAAGCCACAAAUAAUCAUUCAAUUGUAAAUUUAGAAUCUUGACACCAUUGACAAACCCAUAUUCCCACAAAAAUGCCAUCGAAAAACAUUCAUCUCACAUUUCUUCAAACAUAUACUAAUCUCCACACCACCUAUUUCAUCCCUCCUCGCUGACAUAGAAAACUCACCGUUUUGGUAAAGAGACAUCAUUUAAGUGUUAACCGGUCUUCCCCACCCAAAAUCCAAUCCAUAUAACCAAUAUUGGUUUGACCCGGUAACAGUUAAUACUUGUGUACCCAACUUCAUGUGUUUAGUUCCUUCUUCGUACACUUCCCACAAUGACUCAACACGUCGUGAACCCAAACUUUUGAUGGAAUCACUUAGAAUCUCCACGCCAUUCACAAACCCAUCUUCUCCCAAAAUGUAUGUCAAUUGGUAAGACACAAUUCCCAAAGUAUGUCAAAGGAACCGGAGGGUCUAAACGGUUUCUAAAAUCAGCAGCGUACAUAAACCGAAUUGGUCUAUCUACAUUGCCUCCACGCGCCUUAACCACACAAGUCAACACAUAAGCAUACUUGACUACAAACGUUGACAAGUAAAGAUCAGACCGAGUUGACUCAUUCUUGGUUCGUUCUUUAAGUUUCUUGAUAUUUUCUUGAGACAGCUGGAGCGUGACCCGGACAAGGUCGUCGUCAAUCUCUUUAGCGGAAGGAGACUUUAAGGUUCUUGUGUCGUUGUCUACGUCUCCUGAUAGAUACGACAGGAGUUGCAAGAUCUUAAAUUCGAGUCCGACAGAAACAUUGAUCACCGUACGAUCCGAAUGUGUAGGUAAAACAAAACCUUGUGGUAUGGUUCCGUAUUUACAUAUAUGAGCCCAAGAUUUGUGAAAAUUUGUUGAGGUUUUGCCGUCCAUGAUGACAUGAUGGGUUGUGAGCCCAAGAGAGAAGCCUUGGUUUGGGAAGAGAGUGAUUUGUAGAGCAAGAAUAGAUGAAGAGUUAGAGGAAGUUUCUAACGUAGGGAUAAGAGAACGUAACUUGCUCUCGAGACGAGGCUCUUUGCCGGAGAGUCUUGAGAAGUC
rnacentral:lncRNA from 1 species